UGAUUCAGGGAUAUGACCAUGUAGUAUAUUAUUUGAUAAAUCUAAUGAAACCAAAGUUAUAAGACCCCCAAAUGUGGAUAAGAUAUCGCCCGUGAGAAGAUUCCUUGAUAAAUUUAGUUUCAGUAGACUCCUCAAAUUUCCAACAUCAAUAGCAUGUGAAUUGUGAAGAUGGUUUGAUGAUAAGUCUAUUUCUAAGAUAUCUUUAAGAUUCCACAAAGUUGAGGGUAUUGUAGAACUCAAUUUGUUGGAAUCUAAGUAAAGAUAUCCCAAAGAAGUAAUAUUACCCAAACAAGAGGGUAUGGAUCCAUGCAGCUUAUUCAACCCUAAAUACAUCUUGUAUAGUCUCUCCAAAUCACAAAGGCUUUAUGAGAUGGGCCCUCCUAAUUUAUUAGAGGAAAGAUAUAGACCUUGGAGAUUUCUCAUUCCUCCUAUUGAUGCUGGAAUCAAUCCACUUAAUUUAUUAUAGUCAAGUUGUAAAAGCAAUAGGUUGGUUAAGUUACCUAUUUCCAUAGGAAUAAUGCCUUGAAGCUCACACUCAUCGGCAUAAAAGUAUUGAAGGGAUUUUGAAAGGUUCCCAAUAUAAGUAGGAAGAACGCCACUCAAUGGAUUUCCUGAAACACCUAUUUUUCUCAAAUUCCUACAAUUCGUCAAAGAAGAAAGAAAGCUCCACUCAUGAUCAGUAGCAGAUCCUGUGAUCAAAUUAUUGUCAAAGAUUUUGAGCACUUCAAGGUGUUUUAAGCUGCCAAGCAUUUUAGGGAUUGGGCCAGAGAAUAAGUUUCGUGACAACUCUAGUUUCUUAAGCAUGGAAGCAUUGGAGAUAGAGUUGGGAAUGUUUCCGCUAAGUUUAUUUCUCCACAAUAAAAGAAUCUCAAGCUUUGGAGCAUUGGUGAUUGGUGGUAAAUCACCUGUGAAAUAGCAUCUUUUAGUAUACACAUUCAUUGAAUACCAAAUUCACAAAAUAUAUAAUACAUUAAAAUAAAAACUGUAAAACUUUAAAUCAAUUAAGAAUAAAAUUUUGGCAUGGAAAAAUGUGAUGAAAUCAAUUAGAAAGUUGAGACAUAAUAAGAAGUUUUGAGUAGUAAUUACUCAUGAUUUCUAUAGACAAAACAUAUAAUACACUGAUAAUUUUUUAAAAAAUAUUGUAAAACCUGAAAUAAAAUAAAAAAUAAAAGUUUGGCAUGAGAAUGUGGCAUCUAAUCAUUCUUAAAAAUAAGACUAACAUUGAAUAAUAAUUAGUUAUGAUUUGAGAAACAAAAAUGUUAAAGAUGUAAACUGGUAUGAUUUUUAUCUAUUGGGUUAAUUAUUUAUUUUUAUUAAAUUAUAUAUAGUGUAAAAUUUAAAGAUUAUUAUUUGCUCAAAAUUUUUGUAUUUUUCGUAUAUUUGAAAUUUAAUCUUUAUAUUUUUUAUUUUCUGUGAUUUAGUCUCUCUACUUUUUGAAUUGAAAAUUUUAAGUUUAUUUAUUAACACUGUUAAAAAGUUUUUGUGUUAGUAUGGCAUUUUGAAAAAUAAAAUAAAAUUGAUAUCUAUGUUUUUAAUUAUUCCAAAUAUUGUUUUACUAUUUCAAGAUAAACUUUUUGUGUCUAUACCAAUAUCUUAAGAACUAUUGUUGCAUGUUUAAUUAUUCUAAAGAUUUGUUGAUUGAGUCUUGGUUGAAGUGCAUUAUUCUCCUAUUUAUGAAUUGGGGAGUUGAUAAAGUACUUUAUUUUAAUAUAUUUUAAAAUAUUAAAAAUUUAUUAAAAUAUUUUUUAUAAAACUUGAUUGUACCACAAUAUACAAUUUUAAUAUCAAAUUUUUAAUUGUUUUUUAAAAAUAUUAGCGAAUAUAUACUUUAUUUCAAGUUACACAAUUUUUACUAGCUUUUAACUUUUUUUAAAAUUUUUAUCGUCUUUUAUAAUUUCUAAUAAUUUUUUAUAAUUUUUUACAAUAUUUACAAUUUCUAACAAUUUUUAAUAAUUUUAUUAUUUAUUUCAAAUUUAAAAAUUAACAAAUUUUUAUUUUUUUAAAACAAUUAUAUAUUUAUAAUGUAGUUAUUUUUUUAUAAUUUUUUUUUGAAAUUUAAAGAUUUUUUUGGUUUUUUUUUUCUAGAUGAUGAUGCCAUCAUGAUGCCAUCAUAUGCCACAUGCCUUCUAAUUUGUUGUCAUAUAGACAUAUUUCUUCGAGCGUAGUUGAAUUAAAAAUACUUGAUGGAAUCUGACCUGCACACAUAGUCGAAAAUUGAAGUGAAAAGCAUACCUUCUAAGCUGUUAAACUAAAAAUACUUUAAGCAUAUUUUAUUUUCCAUCAAAUUAACUAUUUUGCCUUGAAUGAAAUAAAAUGUUCUUAUUUUUGUUAUCUAUUACAAAUCAAACUCUUUUAUGAAAAAACUAUUUUAAAUUAAAGAAACAAAGAAAAUUCAAUAUCUUCUAAGUUAUUCCACUCCAAAUAUAAUCUUCAGUGAAGAAAUCUUGAAGAUGGAAGAUGGAACCUUACCAGAUAAUUGAUUGAAUCCCAAGCUCAAGGACUCUAGAUUAGACAUGUUAACAAGUGUUUCAGGGAUUGUGCCUAUAAAGUUAUUAUUUUUCAUUUUCAGCCUUCGAACUCCCUGUAAGUUCCCAAGCCAUGAUGGAAUUUCCCCAUUAAGACUGUUGUAUUUUAAUCGAAGGAUCCUCAAACGAUGCAAUUGGCCCAAUUCUUUAGGGAGAUGGCCAUAGAAAUGGUUUCUACUCAAGUCGAGAGAGAGUAGAAAUGAAAGAUUUCCAAGGUGUGGAGGGAUACUACCCCUAAGAUUCAUGCUUUUAAGUUUCAAAGCUAUAACUCUUUUAUGGAGGAUGCCACAAGAAACACCAAUCCAAUUGCAAACAGAGGUUGAGGCCGUCCAAUUGUUUGCCAAGACAUUUUGAGGACCGGCAAUGCGAUCCUUAAACUCGAGAAGUGCAAACUGAUCGGAGUUGAGAUUCCUGACUGUCAUACCCCAGCAAAGUCCGGAACAUGGUACGAAUAAAGCUAAAAGAAGAUGAAAGCAAGUGUUGUAGUUCAUGAUAGCAAGACGGAAUAAGCCAAGAAAAUAAAAAAAAGUAGGACAAGGGAAGUUGAGUUGAUAAAAUAGUUUGGAUGAUGAAGAAAAGCCCAGAGAGCAUGCUUUAAUAUGUUUUGAAGAAAUUUCAAAAUAAAUUUCAAAAUAAAUUUCAAAAUAAAAAUUUAAAAAGGAAAGCAAAGUUUUGAAGAAAUUUCAAAAUAAAUUUCAAGUCUUCUUCUUUAAAAAAUACGUACAAAGAGCGAAUUUUCAAAAUUUCUCCUAAAUUUUCUUCACAUUACUCCACAUAAUCCAUUAAAAAAACUUAAAAAAUAUAUUUUAUUAAUUACUAUACAUUCUUUUACUUUCAGAAUAAUAAAUUGUUUAAAAUUUGCUAUUAGUCCCUGUAAUUUAAAAGUUAAAAAAAAAAUUCAAUCCUCCUACUUUUCUAAUUUAAAAAUUCUAGUUCAAUCAAUUUUAAUUUUAAAAUCUUUGUAUAAAAGGUGUUUUUUUUUUGUGACCGAUCACACUUAACCAAUAUUUAAAAAUUAUUAAAAAAUAUUUUUUUUUGAAAUUUAAAGUGAUCUAAAAACAUAUUUUUAAGUACUUUGGACAGUCUAUUGUUGAUUUCCUUAUUAUAUUAAGUGUUUGCAAUCACUCCUAAUAUAUUGUGCUUGAGUUGUGACAAAGUCGAUCAUCAAAUUGCCAUAAUGAUCUAUUGAUGCUGAAAUUAAAGUUUUUGUUAUAUUGAUAGAGCUUGUCCUUCAACGCGUACAACGUGUUUGUUAUUUUUCUCCCUUCAAAUUGUAUGAUCUUAUUCAUUAAAUGAAUUAAUGAAUUUCCCUUUUAAAAAGAUAUAUUUUUAAAAAUUAAAUACUUUAUAAAAUAUUUAAAAAUUUGUAAGCCUUAAAACAAUCAACAAAAUAUUUUUGAAAUUUUAUAAAUAUAUUUUAAAAUUAUAGUAACGCUACAAAAUAUAUAUAUUUACUAAUUAUAUGCACCUUUUUUAUUUUUUUUCCUAACAUAUCAUUAUUUUCAACACUAUCGUAAUCCUGUUUUGAUAAUUCCCUUUCCAUACAUCCUUUUUCUACAUAGAAUUUCAAAAGAAAAUGUGAAUUAAUGUAAACGUGAGAAGACUUAAUUACAUUUAUUAGUUUAUCAAUCAAAACUUAAUUAGAAUCCAUCAAUAUUUCACACAUCAAAAACCCAAACAUAAAAUUCACUUUUAAAUUAUUUGAAGAUACAUUUGUAUUAUAGGAAAUGGAUUAAAUUAGUCUUUUAUUAUUAAAUGUAUUAUUUUAAUCUUUGUAUUAGGUAUGAAUUGUAUCUCCUAGAUUGAAGCCAAAGCUAUUCUUGAAAGACUGAAAUUAAGAUUCAGAUGUGUUGAGAUGGAAAGUGGCAACACAAUGUUGAUUGAAACUAUUUAUAACGGGUUGGCUACAAUAAGUAGUGCUGCCGAAGUAAGACAGAUUCACGAUUGGUGUUCCAAAAAUUGGGAAGUCAAAUUUCGACAUAUUCAACGAAAUGCCAAUAAAGUUGUUGAUUGCAUAGCUAAGGCAAAUGGAGGCGUAAUUGAGCAGCUGGUUAUCUUGGAAGAUCCUCUGCAUUAUGUGAGAUGCUAGCUUGAAGAAGAUAUUAGACAGUCACUAGUGACUGAUGAUAAUUUUCAUUUGGACUGAUGAGCGCUUAAUUUUCUAAGCUUAUGUUCAACAAAAAAAAAUUUAAAUACGUCUAAAUUGUAAUAGAGUUAACAUUUAGUGUUUAAAAAAUAUCUUAAAAAUUAUUUUUUUCCAAUUGCAGUUCAAUUCCACAAAUAUCGACGAUGAACCCGGACAUAAAAAUUACAGAAAAAAAAACACAUCUAUUAUCAAACCAGCAAUCCAUGUCUAAACUUAAAUUAACAAAAUUUGCCACACAACGCCCGGUACACUAUUAUAUAUCUAUACUAGAUUUAUUCUAGAUGCACAUGUUUUAUUAUAUUUAAAAAUUAAAAUGUAUGGUUGACUAAGUUUUAGUUGAGUUAGUAUUGAUAUUAUUGUCAGUGUAGGAAAAUGUGAGUUUAAUCACGCUCAAAUGUGUUUUAUCCUCCAAUUCAAGGGUUAGGAAAAGGUUAUUGAUAAUUAAAUUAUACCAACUUUUAUAAUAUUAAAAAAAAGGAUUUAUAAAUAAUAUAAGGAAAAGAAAAAAAGAGAAACAUAUUCAUAUUGAUGGGCUCUUUCAAUAUUAGACUUUUUUUUCUAUCACAAGUAAAAAUAUCAAAGGUGAUAAUAAUUAAAUUAUAAAAUUUAAAUUGAGAAAAUAGGGGAUAAAAUUUAUAAGUUUUAAAGUAUAAAGAAUGAAUUUAUAACUAACAACAUAUUUUAACCACAUAAUAAAAGUAGUUAUGGAGAGGAUCAUAUAAAAUGCAAAAAUGAAAUAAUAGAAAAGAAAUAAGUGUUGGGUAUAGUGGCAAUGUAUAUUAUACUUCUAAGGGGAGAUCAAGAUUUUAGACAAGGGAAGAAUUUUAAACCUGCUUUUUUCUCUAGAACUCAACGCAAACCUCAAAUUUAUCUUUUUAAAAGAAUUUAAAAAUAUCUAUAUAAAAGGUGAUUUUUUACCGAUCACACUUAACAAAAUUAAAAAAAAAUUGAAAUUUAAAGUGAUCUAAAAACAUAUUUUAAAGUGCUUUUGACCAUCUUGUGCUGAUUUCUUUAGUAAUUUGAUUUGUUCAAUAUAGAUUUUGGUGACUUAAAACAAAAUUAAUAAAAAAAUAUUUUAUCAGAUAUCUUUUUAAUGUUUAAUAAUAAGUUAAUUUAUAAAAUAUACUUUCAUUGGACACAGGGCCUCCAAGGCGGUGAACCACUAAUCAAAUUAAUUUUGAGAUACUUAAAUUUGUUUUCAUCAAUUAAGAAAUUAAAAAAAUUUGUUGAGACCUCAUGAUUAUGUUUUAUAAUUUCAGGCUUAUCAACUAUUUUGAAAAACAACAAAACGUCUUACACCAAAAACUAAAAAAAUAAAAACGUCGACAUUAAAUUUGUUGCCAUGCAAUCAAUUUUAAGAUGGUUUUUGGAGUUAUAUAUCACCUUAGCAUUGACUUACUUUUCUACACUUAGUCUUCUCCAACAAGUUAAAUAUUUCAAUUUUAACAACAUUGACAGGUCUUUGGGGUAGGGUCGAGCAAAACUCAAUAUAGGCUGAGUUGGCUCGGCCAAGUCGAGUCGACUUGUUCAAAUUAUUUAAAUUCGUAAUUUUUAAGGUGCAGUUAGAAUUUUUUGUUUUGAGAUGCUAAGAUUAAAAUAUUUCAGUUGCUAAAACAAAAUAUUUGUAUUUAAAAAGGCAUAAAUUAAAUAAUUAAGUUUUUCGAGUUUCCAUUUAAUCAAAGGUUAAAAGGACUAAAUUGAAGCUUUUUAUUUUUAAGAAAGGCUGAAUGACAAAUUGCCCAAAGCCAUGCCCCUAGCUAUACAACUAACUUCUCUAUGAUUAGUCCUUCGUUUGCUUUGGGUGAAAUCUUCCAACUAGCCUCAUCCUUGGUUUUACUUUCCAACAAUUAGUGUAUCACGAGUUUUGUUUUCUUUAAAAAAUAUUUGUGGAUAUUAGGAGAUAAUGAAAAUUAUUUUACUAUGAAAUUUUAAUAAAACUGGAAAAUAAGUAAUUUAUUUUAAGAGGUCGCAAUUAAACGUUAGAUUUCCAAUUUUUAAAUUUUAAUUUUUUUUUGACAAUUGCAUAAUAUUUUGAGUGUUGUAGGAAUGCCAUAAUAUAACCUUCCCUAAACAUAAUCGACUCUUGAGCAUGAUGGAUCCUAGAACUUCUCCUCUAUUCUCGUACCGCAAAUUGCUUCAAGUGUGGGUUCGAACAAUCACAAAUUAAACACAAAACCAGAAAUGAUUUAUUACUUUCAAUAGCAAGGUAAUUCUCUCUCAAUAGAAACCAAUAGAAGUGUAAUUCUUAGAAAAUAAAAUUUAUUUUUUGAAAAUAUAUUCUCACUACUUUCUAGCAGAAUAACAAUAUGUGAAACUUAUGUCUUGUGUUAAUAGCUCUACCAGUACUCUCUAUUUAUAGGGAGAGAUACGAGAAUCCUGGUUGAAUUAGUAAAACACGAAUAAUAUUUAUUUCAUAGAAAACAAUAUUCCACCCUAAGUAGAUCAAGUUUGUAUGACGCAUGGAUCAAAGCUCAAUCUAGGAGGAAAAAAAUAAAGGAAUUUUCUUUGUAAAGAAAAUUUGAGAUUGUACUAUUUUCAAAGUUAUAAAUAAAAUUAUACGCCAAAUUUUUAAGUCAAUUUCAACUCCAAUUUUGUAUGCACAAAUUUCUAGUACACUUGGUGGGACAUUCUUUGACUUUUAUCUAUUCUCUCAAAAAGUUAAAGUUCAAAGUUACAUUAAACUCAAAGAAGAUAAUCAUUAGUAAACCACCUCACAAGCCUGCUCAAACUAAUCCUACAACUCAUUCCACUUCAUCAUCAAACACCAAUGUUCUUGCUUAUCCUUAUGGAAUUAAACAGUCUCAUUUUCUGCAUUUUGGGUACACACCUGGUUUUAUUUGAUGCUAAAACAGUCCCCGAGCACUCCAAAGCCUAUAAUUGAACAAAUAAUACUAAUUUAAUCUUACAUAACAUGAUCCCAAAUUGAACUUGUAUCGAGGUUUUAACCCAUAAGUGACUAAACCUUACCUUCAACCGAGUGAACAGUAAUUCCCACACAAACUAAGACUCCGAUUGAAGAUUACGAGCCAUUGAAUCCUCCCCUAAUUGGCAUAAACAAAACACUUCAAAAGAAAGUCAACAAAUGGAGACAAAUCACUUAUCUAAAACUUACCGAACGAUCACAGACAAACGUGAAGCGACACGAGGCAGAGUGGGAAAAGAAAAAUCAAGAGGAUGAAGGGUGAAAGAGAGCAGAAAUUCGGUAGCAAUGAAGAGAAAAACGGCAAGAAAGUGGAGGGAUUUUGGGGAAAGUAAAAAAAAAGAUGAAUAGAAUAUUUGAUAACUACCCCAAUCCCUUAUUUCUCUCUAUCAAACUCCCCACUAAAUCCACUACUCAAAUUUUUAGUCCAUCUCAAACUCUCCUGGACGCACGAGCAAAAAAUAAUGCCCAUGCCAAAAUUUAAACAAAAGACCUCCUUCACACCAACACUCCACUUAUCCACCAGACCAAUAGGCUCAUUCUUUUAAUUAUUUUCCAACUUUUACUUAAAAGCCUACUGACCAAAGAUAGGGCUUAUUCAUAAAAAUACCAAAUUUUGCCCAAGACCUGGCUUGAACUUGGGACCUCCCAAACACACCCAGAACACAUAACCACUAAAGCAGACAUAAAUUUUGUGUCACACAUUCACAAUACCCAAAAUUAAAAUUUUAGGGCGUUACAAAAACACAUUAAAUAAUAUCGCAUAAAAUAAUCACAGUUAGAUAACAGUUCAGAAUGUCGAUUUUACAAUUUAACCACCAAUAGUAUCACAGUAUUCACAGUUGUAAUUUCAGAAUAUCAAAUUUCCACAUGAUUCACAAUAUUCACACAUAUAUAAAUAUAUCAUAAUAGAAUUCCAGAUUUGUAUGCACAUGAUUUAGAAGAUGCCAUACAAUUUUGGUUUUUAACAGAAUAAAUCCUACCCCACGUUACAUACCAUAAUGGGAGUUCCCCUAAACUCCCUUCUCCAACACACUAGGUUAUGGAUAAACCACUAUUGGUUCACAAAUAAUAACUGUCAUUUGGCUGUGGACACACAGCAAGUCCCCACAAUUGGAUUCUAGAUUUGGUUGUGGAUUCACAGCAAAAAAAUCCUACAAAUGAAGCCUGCUUUUGCCUGUAGAUUAUACAACAUAUACCCGCAGUUGGAAUCUGUCUUUGGCUGUGGAUGCAGUGUAACACCGCAAACUCGACCUGGACAUUAUGGCUGAAUCUUGAUGAUUUACUUUAACUCGCUAGAAAACCCACGAAUUUACUUUAAAAUCAUGUGGUUAAACUAGUGUUCACUUUGAUAAAUUGUUUUCCAGUUUUAGAGAAAUUUCUUGUUAAAACUGUUACUUUAUUACAAUAAAACAUUAAAGUAAUUGUAUCAUUUUGUAGUGGAAUCUACUAAGCUAUAAGGUUUUGAAAAUCGUGAUUUAGUUUGCAACAAAUCAUUUUGCAAAUAGAAAUUUAAUACUACUUAAUUUGGAAAAUCACGCUAAAACGAAAGCAAAGUCCAAAAUAAUUUACGGUUUGAAAUUCUAAAAAGCCCAAAUUAGACAUAAAGUCUAUUUAAACCAAUUUAUUGAAAGUGUAACACCCUAAACCCGGCCUAUAUGUUAUGGCCAAAUCUAGAUGUGUUACGAAAAAAAGUUUAUAAAAUGACUUCCUUGUUAUUGGCAAACCAUCGUAACCAUUAUUACUUAGUAUAUCUGAUUUGUUUGGAAAACUUAUUGAUAUACUUAUUUGAUUUAAAAUCGUUGCUCGCUUAUGCCUUUUUAUUAAACCAAAUAUUUUGCAGCGGAGUUUCUUUACAACAUCAUAUUUUGGAAAAUCAAAUUGUUUCUUGAAAAUCGUUAUUUUAGAAAAGUUUUCAUUUUCAGAAAAAUUAUUUUAUCAGUUGUUAUGCUGAGAAAACAAAAUAAAAUCCAAAACCAAAAAUAAUCGCAAAAAGUCUAGAGAGUCCCAAAAUGACAAUACUCUUAAAACUAGACAAGCUUAAACUAAUUUUAAAAGAAUGAAAUUUUACAGAAAUGUGGACACCACUGAGCUUCCGUCGCACCGACCCACCUAAAUCUGAGGGUUACUUGAACAGAACAAACAAACAGAGAGUGAGUUUUGAAACUUAGUGUCUAACGCAUAUAUAAACAAAAAUUCAGAAUCAAUCUCAUGCAGAACAGAUACAAGUGUAAACCUUUUAUAAAAUUAGAAUUGUACAGAUACAAAUAUGCAACAUCCUACCCUCAUCCUCUACACACCAACUCCGACCAUCCUAUCACACCACGUGGGGUAUAAAAUACCCAUCCAGCCCUACACACCGUAUAGUGUUUAUAUGACACUUUUUGGAAUAAUCGCAGCAGAGUUGCCAGUAUAUAUGCGAGAUAUCACCUCACAUAGAACACUUCCUCCUCAUAAUACAAAUCCCGCCUCAUAGCUAGAUACAGACAAAAUAUGAUGUAAAAUAAAUUAACAGAUACUAGAGUUAACAUAUCACGCGUGAGCGUAUAAUAGAUAUUACACAUGCUUAUGCAUAACAAAAUAGAUCAUACAUAUUGUAUUCCAUAAUACUCAUAUAAAUGUUAUUUACGUCAAUCUCAAUCUAACAGAGUAGCAGAUUUCAUGCUUUAACGCUUAUACCACACAUAUAGACCCUAUAGAAGGCCCACAGUCGAUCGAGACAACAUGUAUGUCGCUAGGGAAAAAAUUUGUAAUUUGGGCCCAUAUACAUGUAUGAGCCCACACACCCAAAAUGGCCUUGCCCAUGUGGCUCACCAACCUAGCACUCAGCCCAUACGGUCCAAAAUGGCCUAGGUCGUGUGUCACACACAGCCGCAUGUUGCACACAGCCUACCACAUAGCCAGUCACAAAACUGUUUGGAGUUGAAAAGCCCAAUUUUUGGCUUUCGUCAAUCAUCAUUUUCUUACGUUUUCAUUACACACCUGGUUUGAUUCUGACGCAAAAGCAACCCUAUGUCCACCGAAACCUAAAAAUAGCAUUCCAACGCCCAAUUUCAGUGAACAUUUACAAAACUCAAACAAAAACUAUCCAAAAACAUAGCCUCACAAUAGCAUCCAACGCACUCGCACACUUAUCGUCAACAAAUAGGAAACACCCAACACUCAAUUCGUUGGCGGAGCACCAAUUAUGAUAAUGCAAAAAUUUUAUGGAUUCUCAACACUAUCGAUCCGAAUGUAAGAUUGAUGCUUUCCAAUUAUGAUAAUGCGAAAAUUUUGUGGGAUGGUUUACAUGAAUUUUUUUUGUUGUCAACGAUCAACGUAUUCAAUAAUUAAAAUAAAAUAUUAGUCGUUUUUAGAAAACCAAGACUAUGAGUGUUGUAGUUUAUUUCAGUAAAUUAAAGGUUUUGUGGGAUGAACUAGAUAAUCAUGAACCAUUGAUUUGUUGCAAGUGUGGACAAUGUUUAUGUAACUUAGGGAAGGCGCAUGAACAAUGUCGUGAGCAUGAUUGACUUCAUCAAUUACUUCUUGCUCUCUAUUGUAAUUGUUAUGCUCAAACUAGGUUUACACUGUUUUACCAAGAUCCUUUGCCUUCCUUAAAUCAGGCAUUCCAACAAAUUACUUAGGAGGAACAUGUACGUGGAAUUACACUGAUUAAGGAAGAGAAGUCUGAUAUUUUAGGCUUUGCUAUGCGUACAGAGGGUCAUAACAAAGGCCGAGCUAAUUGUAUUGAUAAGUCAACCUUGUUGUGCACUCAUUGCCAUCGCAAAAGGCAUGAGAUGGCUACCCAUUUUGAAUUACAUAGCCACUUGGAUUGGCGGCUUAAGAAGUAUGGGAAGCCAGAGAAGAAAAGUGAUGAUCGUGGUGGUAAGACAAGUGCCACAUCUUCCACGUAAGUGUUUUAUUUCAAAGGAUCACAAUUAAACAUUAGAUUUCUCAUUUUUAAUUUUUUUAUUUUUUUAACAGCUACGUAAUUAACGAGUACCAAUUUUGGGUGUUGUAGGGGUUCUAUAACUUUCCCUAUAUGUAAUCGACUCUUGCACCCACUUUUUUUUCUCUAGAAUUCAAUGCAAACCUUAGAUUUAUCUUUUUAAAAGAAUUUUAAAAUCUCUUUAUAAAAGACGAUUUUUUUAGGUGACCAAUCACACUUAAGAAAAACAAAUCGGUGGCAACUCCUUUCUAAUAAAUGUAAAAAACUUUUUAAACAAAAUAAGGUUGAAAUAAUCUAGUUGUCGUUAUACUUUGAUAAAAUUUUAGAUUUAGUCCUUAUACUUAAAAGGUUAAAAAUUAAGUCUUGUUUUUAUUUAAAAAUCUUAGUCCUAUCGUUAAUAUUGUUUUUUUUUGUCAAAAUUUGUCAAGUUGACAUAUUAAUUAGGUUUCUCUUAUAUAUCGUGGUAUAUGACUAACACAAAAUAAACAAGUUGACAAAAUCUACAAAAAAUAUCAAAGAUGAUAAUAGUUUAAUUAAAAUUUUUAAAUUAAAAAAGUAAGGGAUUAAAUUUAUAACUUUUAAAGUACAAUGAAUGAAAUUAUUGAAAUACAAGAACUAACAACAUAUUUUAAAAUAUUACUAGUAAAUUAUAUAUCUACAACAAGAAUUGUAACCUCUUAUAUUAUAUUCUUGUAUCUAUUUUUGCAUCUUUCAUUAUAAUAUGAUUUAUUAAUUUUAAUAUUUUUAUAGAAUAAUAUGCUUUAAAUAGUUUUUUGUAUAAUUUAUAAAAAUUAUAAUAAACUUACAAAAUAAUUUAAUGAUAUUUAAUUAUUAACCAAAAAAAAUGAUAUCAUAUAUAUUAUGUAUAUAUUAAGAUUCCGAAUCAUUAAUUAUAUAUCUACGCAUUAUAAUAAAUUCAUCUUUCAAAAUUUUCCUUAUAAUUAAAGCAUAAAUUAUAUUUAUAAUAUUAUAAAUAUAUUUUAUCAUAAAUAUUCUUUCAAAUAUUUUUUAAUGUUUAAUAAUAAGUUAAUUUAUAAAAUAUUUUUUCAAUAAAUUAAUGUGAUGAGAUCGUUAGGUGCUUGGAUUUGGUGAAGGGGGAUGAAGAGAAAAGGGAUGGAAGUGAAUAAAAAUGUUGAGAAAUCGAAAGGGUUAGCGAGGGAAGCCGCCAUGAAAGGUGGUUCAAUGGAUAUGAACCAUCAAGCUUUUGUGGAUGAUGUUACUCAAGGUUGUUGCAAGUAAAUUAAAAAAUAUUUUUUUAAAUUAUUUUUUUGUUAAAAAACAUUUUUUAUUUUUUAUGUGGCAUGCCACAUUAUCAUAGUAUCAUGUGACAACUUCUGGUGAUUUCUGUCUGUAACAUUAGUCAAAUCAACAGUUAAAUCGUUCAACUCACAGUUUUUGUUAAAUGAAGAGGUCAAUUGGUUUUUUUGGAAUCAUUGAGUACUCAAUUGGUGCACUUUUAUCAUAAAGGCUAAAUUAAUUUUUUUAAUUUGUUAUUGUUGAGGGCUAUAACAAUAAAAAAAUUAAUGUAAAAUGAAAAAAAUGUUAGAGCUAAAUUUGUCAUUAUAACUAAAAUGUAAAACCAAAAUUUUUUGAAAAAUGAAAAAAAUGGAAAAUCACAAAUUCUAUCACUUAUGUUUGCUUAAAAUUAUAGUUUUGGUCACCAAUCUUUUGAAGUAAAUAUAUGGUCACCAAUAACUCACCUUAAAGUUAUACCCCUACGCAAGAAAGGAUUAAAUGACAUUGGAAUACCAUAAAACUUGUAUCUUUUUUUAUUCAUCUAAUACCAUUUUAACAUUUUCAUUUUAAAAAAUUGACAUAUCAUUUUGAAUUUGAUCUUUUUCAUGGUAUCUCAAAUUCAUUUAAUCUUUCCCUCUCUAAAAAAGCUAAUGUAACACAUUAAUGACAUCAUUUCAAACAAAGUUUUAGGUCAAAUUAUUCAUCUAGUCCUUGUAAUUGUUUUUAUAGGUGAAUUUCAUUAUUAUUCUUUUAUUUUCUUAGGCUUAAAUACACAUUUACCCCUAAUUUUAUCCCAUUCUCCUUAAUUGGUAUUUAUGGUUUAGAAAAUUUUAUAAAUAUAUUAUUUUUUAAGAAAUUAUAAGAAGAUUACAAAAAUUCCAAAAUAAUAUAAAAAAGCCAAGGAAAACCUAGAAAUUCAAAAAAAAAAAAAAAACGUCGACAUUGAAUUUGCUGUUUCACAUUCAAUUUUUGGAGAAGUAGAAUUUUCUAACUUAUUUUCCAUCAACUUGACUUCAAUUUUCAAUCACAAUCAAUUGCAUUCAAGAGCACCACAUCUGUUUGGAUGAAACAAACCUCUCAAUUUUAAGAUAAACGGGUCUUUAGGGUUAUAAAUUGAGGGCCUUUUCCACAAUUGCGGGUGAUUCGUUGAUAAUAACCUCAACAUUUCUGUAUCACAUUUCAAUUUUUAAUUUUUAGAGAGAUGAUUGGGUUACAAGACUGGUUUGAAGUGAAGAUAUUUCAAAAGAAGAUCGAAUACUCUACCAAUAGUCAUAAUUUAAAAUUCAGGUUAUGUUUCAUUUCAGCUAAGUUAAAUGUUAAGAUUGAGGUUAAACCUUUUAGAGGUUGCUCACAAAAGGAUCAAACCUUUAUAAAAUUGCCUAAAUGAAGGUUAAACCUUUUAAAAUAGACAAAUAAGGGCCUAACCUUUUAAAAGGUGUUCAAAUAAGGGUUUCUCAAACGUUGUAUAUCAGGUUAUGUGUUUUACUCUAAACACAUCGACAUUUACCUAUUUUUUCUAUAAAUUUGGUUGAAGUGCAUGAAAAAUCCUUAUUUGAGCACUUUUGUAAAGGUUAAUCUCUUAUUUGACCAUUUUGAAAGGUUUGAUCCUUAUAUAAGUAACCUCUAAAAGAUUGAGCACUAAUUUGACAAGUUUGAGAAAUAUCUAAAUUUGUUUUCAUGAAUCAAGAAAUUAAAAAAGAAAUGUUGAGAAAUAUUUUAGAGAUUCUUAGCUUUGACAAGUUCCCUCCACCAUCUCCCUGCCUCCAGUCCCACCUCUUCUCUUAUGCUCCUUCCAGCUUCUUGCCUUUUGUGUGUUGAAAAUUCAAAGGAACAAAAUAUCAACCUACAUCAUAAGGCACGAUCGCCAGAACUUUACUUUCUAGCCUGUCGAUCCGAUCCAAUCCAAUGAAAGAAGAACAAGGAGUCUUAAGAUCUGUCAACUUUAUUUCAUUUUCAUUUUCUUUGUCAUUUUCUAUGUUUCAUGUCGAAUACAAUGAAAGAAGAACAUAGAAAAAUGUGGCCUAUUUAUUUCCCAAUCAUCAUGAAAUUACUUGCCAUUGACUUAGAAUUUUCUCACCAAUUUUCAAGCAAUCUGACAUGAUUUCUCAAUCACAAUUAAUUGAAUUCAAGAUCUUUUUAGAUGACACAAACAUUUCAAUUUUAACACAAACCAAUAUUUCGGUUAUACUUCAGUGCUUGACAAGCACUUUCACAUUUGUGGGAUAAGAACUCUUAACAUUUUAGGAUCACAUUUAAUUCAAUUGCAUUUAAGACCUCAUGGUUUUAUUCUAUAAUUUCAGUCUUAUCAGCCUUUUCGGAAACAAUAAAACGUCGACAUUAAAUUUGUUGUUGAUGCAUUCAAUUUUUUGAGGGGUCUUUGGAGUUAUAUGUGACUUUAGCAUUGACUGACUUUUUUAUAAUUUAUCUUUUAUAAUAAGGUAAAUAUAUUAAUUUUAAUAACAUCGACAUGUUUUUUAGUAGGGUCGAGCAAAACCCAAUUAAAAUCGAUGAUAUUGGCUUAGUUGACUCGGUCAAGUCCAUUAGAUUGAUAAAAUCAUUUUUAAAAUCAGUUAUAAUGGAUAAAGGUAAUUAAUUAUCGAGUAAUGAAAUACAUAAUCAAAUCAAUUGAUUUUGUUAGAAACUAAAAGAAAAAGGGCUAAGCUGAAAAUUGAUUGCCCUUUAUUAAAAUUAACGAAUCUGUCUUUUACGUAUUAGAUAAUAUGAACAUCGCAUAUAUAAUAAGAAAAAUUACGUAUGAUUAUUUAUUAUCAUAAAAGGUUAGUUUAAAUUUAAAGUAAUCUAAUAUGUUUAUUGAACUUCAACUAUUAAAUAAAGUAUAAGCUAAAUAAGUAUAAAUAUUCUAGAAACCAUUUCUAACUGAUGAUAGGCUAAUUCGAUUAAUUUAUAAAAACUAGAUAGUAGGGUUAUAGUCCUCAAACUACACCUAAUUUAAUAACAUUUAUAUUUUUUUUAGCCUUAAACAUUUAUAGUUUUUGUUAAUUUGGUCCUUACUCUUUAAAAUUACAUAAAAAUUGCAAAAAAAUUAAAAAUUAAUUUUUAUCAUGAUUUUAAUAACAUUUAUAUUUUUUUUGUGGUUUGGUAACUUAUCAACUUGACUCUUACUUGUAACCAACUUUUCUAACCUUUUUCGUACCCUUAACCUAAGUCCCGUUACAAUUUCUAAAGACCUCUUGAUUGGUGUAUCAUCUCGAUUUGUUUUUAUAGUGGUGGAGAUUUGUUUUUUGUAGUGGCAUGAUUGCCAGAACUUUACUUUCUAUCCUGUCGAUCCGAUCCAAUGAAAGAAUAACAAAGAGUCUUAAGAUCUGUCAACUUUAUUUCAUUUUCAUUUUCUUUGUCAUUUUCUAUGUUUCUUGUCACAUACAAUGAAAGAAGAACAUAGAAAAAUGUUGCCUAUUUAUUUCCCAAUCAUCAUUCUAACAGGCCGAAUUAGCCCAGGCCCAAACAUUAAUAAAAUGUCCAGAUUACAAAAUAACCAACCAAAAAUUAAAAGCCCAAAAUAAUAAAAUAAAACCCAUUACAUUAACCCAAAACUCCAGCCCAAUUACAUUGAAGCCCAAAAAAAUAGUUUUUAGAAACCCCUAGGGUUUCUGGAACAAUCCGCGCCGCUCCUCCAUCCGCUUCUCCACGCACGCUGCACCUUUCCACGUGCGCCUCCAGCUGGCAGUGUACCUCCAAUGCAACAAACAAAGCAACAAGCAGCAAAAGAAAUGGAAAAACAACAAAAAAAAAAAGAAAGGAGCAACAAUGUAUAACAGAUUGAUAACAAAUAAUAGAAAAAAUAGCAGUAAAUAGGAAAAAAAAUUAAAAAAUAAUGAGGGUAAUUUCAUUUUUUUCUCUGUUUUGGCUAUAAAGAGAGCCGGUCAAAAUCUCUAAAGGGGGAUUUAGAAAUCAAUCAGAAAACAAGUAUUUUGUACCAACAAUUAGAGAAAAAAAAUACAAAAAUAGGGAUUGAAGGUUUUUUUUUCUUUCGUUUCGAUUUAUUUUAAAAUAGCAUAGAAAAUAAAAAGAAGGCUUACCUUGCGACGCCUUCAGAUCCUCUCGAAAAGGGGCUAAAAGGCCCUAUGUGGCACAGAUUUGACCACUGUUCACGGUGGAACCGCAGCGGAGGCGCAGAGGAUUGGCAUCAAUUUAGGCAGGGUUUGAAACCCUAGCAGAGAAAAAAUUAGGGUUGAUAGAUUUUUUUUAAAAAAAUGGCAAAAUGUUGUUUUAAAAAAUUUUGUUUUAAAAAAAAUUGUUGCUUUUAUAAAGGGUGUAAAACGGCGUCGUUUAGGGCAUGUUUCGAUGGCCCCAAAACGGCGCCUUAUAAGGCAACCCCCGACGACCCGACCUGCUCCAUGGGGGAUCCGCGUGGUUUUUGUUAAAUGGGUUAUGUCUAACCCUGGCCCUUCUACUUUUUAUACUUGUUUUAAUUUGAUCCUCUUUUUAUUUAUUUUUAUUUCUUUAAAUUAAGCCUGAUAAUUUUUUUCCAUUACAUUUUAAUCCUUAAUGAAACGGCGCGUUUUAGAGGAGAAGGGAAAAUUACCCUUCUAGUCCCUUCUUGUUAUUCGAGUGUUCAGAAGGGUCCUUUUUUGUUUAUUUUUUAUUUGCCCCAAAAUUUUGUUUUAAAGCUUAAUUUAGUCCUAUUUUGUUAUUUUAGCUAUUUUAUUAUUAGAUUAAUUAAUUUAAUAUUAUUAUUACUGCUAUUAUUUUACCCCUAUUAUUUAUAUAUUUAUUAUUAUAACUAUAUCAUUAAAUCAAUUAGUUUUUACAUUAUUAUUUCCAUUCUGUUUUUUAUUUACUUACUUAAAUACUUUAAAUGCAUUUAUUUUAUUUCUUAUUUUUUUAUGAAAUUUCAAAACUUUAGACUAUUUUUUUGUUACUAUAACCCUAAUUUCAUUCAUUUUAUAAUAGUUUUUUUUUAAAAUAUUUCUUAGAUUAAUUCCCUCGAUGUUAUUUUGUAUAUUUAUUUAUCUUUUUAAAUUUUCGAUAUUGUCUUAUUGUAUUAUUGUUGUUACUAUCAUUAUUCAUUAUUAUUGUUGAUUUUAUUCUUCUUUGAUUAAUGUUUAUGUUAGAGUAAUAGGUGUUAUGUGAUCAUUGUUAUUAUAUGUUAUAAUUUGUUGACACUCGUAUUGUAGUCAUUCGUCAGCUUAAUAUUUUGAGUAACAUUUUAAAUAUUACAUUAAUUUUGACCCAAAUGCAUAAUUUUUUAAUAAGUAAUAUUUCGUAUUGUGGAAUUUGAGAGAUCAUUCCCUAACUUACGGGGUCUCGAUUUUUUUGAUAAAUCUGAAUAUAAGAACUAUUUUAAAAAAAUACGUUUUAAAAUUAUCUCGGGAAUUUAAAAAGAAGCGUGUUCUAACUUACGGAAUAUGAUCUUUUUUUAAAAAUCGAGAUAAUCAAAUAUCUUUCAAAUAAAUAAACUUUUCGUGUUUAUUCUCGUUUUAGGAUUUAAGAUAUUGUGUCCUAACUCACGGGACACAAUUCUUUUUCUCGAUUAACGUGAAAUACGCCCUUUUUAAUUUUAUCUUUUUAAGUGAUUUUAACAAAAGGAUUGUAUUUUAAAUCUCUUCAAAAUUUUCAAUUUUUCGACAUUGAGACAUUAACUAAUCAAUUAGGUACCAAUUUUGGGCGUUACAAGGGUGUUAACCCUUCCUUGUACAUAACCGACUCCCGAACCUAUUUUUCUGAAUAUUAUAGGCCAAAAUUGUUUUAAUAAAUUAAACCCUUAAGAGGUGACUCGAUCACAGCUCAUAAAAAUUAUCGGUGGCGACCCUUGUUUUAAAAAAGGUGGUUUCAACAGCUUGGCGACUCCGCUGGGGACAAAAAUAAGAGUCAAGCCGCGAGUUGAUUAUUUCUUAUCUUUUUGUCAGAAAUUGUGAAUUCGAUUUAAAUUUAUGAUCUUUUCAUUGCAUUUUAUGGUCUGCAUCAUUUUUAUAUGCUUGCUUUACUACUUCGAGUCUUUUAAUCUUCGCAUAUUGUAUUGCAUAACCGUUCGGUUAUACCCUUUUAAGCGGGAGUGAGAAAUUAUUCUUUCGUGAGGUUUUCACCUUCGUAUAGGAUAGUGGAUUACUUUCAGGAUACAUCCAUACCUAUGUCUUCGUGAGAUUCUCAUCUCCGUAUAGUCAUAGGGAAAUGUAUUCCCCUGAACUGAACUCAGUCCGUAUGAGCCUAUAAUGGGUGAGGAUUGAGGAAUCUGCUGGUUCAGGUACCCUUUCUUUAGAACUAAACCGCAUGUAGUGAGCCCUAAGAGCAUACCCUAGGUAGAACCACUCCAAACCCCUAGUGGUCACCCAAAUAGGUGCUCUAUUUAUUUUUGCUUGCUUGUUUUUGCCUUGUACUAACCUAUUUGUUAUGGUUAUGAGUGCAUUGCAUUUUUAUCAUAAAAAAGAUGUGUUGAUUCACGUUCAGUUGCUAAAUAGAGAGCUUGUCAUGGAAAACGAAUUUCUUGAUAAAGUGGAAGACAAUGCGGUUGUCCGGAUAUGGUCCAAGAAAAUGUGAAGAAAGAAGGGUGAUAGUCUAAUGGAGGACUACACGACCUUGCUUUGUUGCCUGAUGAUUCAAGUUGACAAAGAUUAUUCGAGAGUCUUCAAUGUCCCGACCUUUUUAAAGAAGCUAACGAGCGUCACGAGGAUGAGCGAGUAAUGAGUUGCGGCCCGGAUCAAGCAAAAAAAAGAUAGAGGAGACACCCUUUUUGAAGAGUUCACGAGAUUUAUCUUAACAUCUAGACGAAGAAAAAGAUCAAUCUCUUUGCCUAGAGUAUGAGGGCAAAGCCGUAUAUAUCCGCUUUAUGUAAAUAAAUUUGUUUUCUAGUAAAGUUUUUCUAAUAGGAUUGAAUCAGAAUCAACGUCUCUUUUUGCAUUCAUUCCAUUCAUCUGCAUUGCAUUUCAUUGCAUCUAGAAUUUCACAAAAGGACCCUAAUUAAUCGAAAUUGUUAUAGCUACCUUGAAAAACUAACGAAAAUUUACCAAUUAAAUAUUCCUAUGGUACCCAUUGCAAAACUAAAGUAAUGGAUCAAAUAUUAGAAAGAUUAGAACAAAUGCUGAAGGAUAAACAUAACUGCUUUGGCUUAGGGUACAAGCCAGAUACAAGACAAAGAAGAAAUAGGAAAGGAGAACACGUUUGAGCGGGGAUGAGGUCAAAUGGGAGGGAUUAUUCAUCCCAGGCGAAGAAUGCCAAGAGAAGAAAAUAUUGAAAACAUGUUGGGAAACGUUCACAUCAAUGCCAUAUACGAAGAAGCAAUUGAAGGAGUGACCUUGUUAGAUAUCCGCCCUUAUGAACCUAAGAGUGUGCUAAACAAUUGGACUGCAGAAGAAAUUCUUGUAGUGUUUAGAGCUUACUCAUAGUAAUGUUCAGAACACACUUGUUGCUUUUAGCCUAGAAGUGAUAAGAAUCCCUCUGUGAAAUAGGCUCAUGUAUAAACAUCAUUAUUUUAAUGAAGUACAUCUUUGCAUUCAUUUUGAGCAAAUAUUCUUUUAUUCUUUUCAUACGAGUAAUUAUUUUGGAUUCUUUAAUUCUUUUGGGAUUUUCUUCCAAAAUCAUUCUUUUAUUACAUCCAUAAUCAUACUGUACAAAUAAUGUAAUAGCCUGAAUUUUCAGUGGUGUCGGAAUGGUGAUUCAAGAUCACUAAGUCUGACAAAUGAGUAGAAAAUAUUAUUAAUUUAGUAAGAAUAAGUAAAUGUGAAGUUAGGAAAAUUUUUGAAAUAGUGAAUAGUGUACUAGGAAUAAAUAUUAAAAUAAUUAAAAUAAAAAAUGAGGUAUCGAGACCUCGAAGAUUUUAAACCAAGCCAUAAGUACUUUUAGAAGUAUUUUUAGAGUGUCAUUGAGUUGGUAUUAAAGUUUCGUUAGAAAAUUUUAACGCUCGGAUAGUUAAUUAACCAAAAAGGACUAAAUUGAAAAUAGUGUAAAAUUUGUUAAAUUGUGAUUAAAUAGCUUAAGUGAUUAAAAAGGAGGGAUUUAAAAGGCAAUUAGGCCCAAAUUAUAUGGGCUGGACGGUUGGGUAAGAAAAAUCAGCAGAAUGUAAGGAGAAACAGGGGCAAAAUUGGAAACUUAACAAAUUAAACAUAUAAAACAAAGACAAAAGUGAAAAAUCUAGAGAUCUGCUCACAAUUUAUCAGCAAAAAUGCCAUAGGAGGUCUGAAAGAAGCUGGUUUUUCAUAUAUUUGAAUCAUGUAAGUUUAAUUCUUGAUUAUUUCUUCUAAUUUUUGUGAUUUUGAUACUUUUACAAUUAGGUCCAACUAAUUAUUUCAUUAGUUUUUGAUUUCAUGGCUGAUUUUGAAAGUUACCAUUGAUGAGUGUUGGAUUUUUAUGAUGAAUAAACAUGGAAUUAAAGCUUUAAUUUUGUUAUAUGAUGAUUUUAUUAAGUAAUUUUGAUAGAAAUUGAUUUUUGGGACCUAAUUGUGAAAAAGUUUGGAAUUAGGGUUUGGUGUUGCGGUUUUGAAUAUGAAAGUCUAUGUAGUAGUCUAAAAUAGUUGGAAAAGGUGUUAAUUGAGAAAAAUUAGAUCAAUUGAGGGGUUAAUUGAGUAGGACCAAAUUGUAAAAACUGUAAAGUUUGAGGUAAAAGUGUAAUUUCGAAAAUUUAAGGGCAUAAAUUGUGAAGUGAAUUAGAAUAGAAUUAUAUGCUGAUGAAUGAAUAAAUUUGUAUUUUAGAUCGAGAACCCGAAGCAAGCCGAGGAAAAGAAAAAGUAGUUGAUUAGUCCCUGAACUUUUACAAAUUCUGCAAAUCGACCCAGGUAAGUUCAUAUGGCUGAAAUUUAAUGAUUAAAUGUUAAUUUCAUGAAUUAUGUAAUGUAUGAUGAAAUGUAUUUAGUGUUGAAAUGAGAGUAAAAUAAAAAUGCGAAAAUCGAAUAAAUGAUCAAAUUAAGCGGAACGCCGGAUUUGAGUACUUCUGAUCAAGAGACAAAGUGAUAAGUGGUAGCUUUAGCUACACUUAUCUGAUCAAGUGAAAAAGUGAUAAGUGCUACACUUAUCUGAUCAAGAGACAAAGUGAUAAGUGGUAGCUUUAGCUCACUUAUCUGAUCAAGUGAAAAAGUGAUAAGUGCUAUACUUAUCUGAUCAAGUGACAAAGUGAUAAGUGGUAGCUUAGCUACACUUAUCUGAUCAGGGCCAAAUGAUAAGUGAUCAUACGUAAGACCAUAGUUAUACUAUGGCCAAGUGAAAGUGAAGUACUCAAUUUUCCGUAACCGUUCCUUAAUUUUGAUCAAGGAUGGUAAGUGACAAAUAGGCCCAAAGAAAUUAUGGUAAAAGAAUAAGUAGUAGUGAGUUUAUACCAAGGAACUCUCCAAAGAUUGUGGUUGACAAGUAAACUUAGUAAUGGUGUAUAUUGUAUAAGUGUACAAAUGUUUGGUAAGAUUUAUGUUUGUGCCUAUGAACUUACUAAGCUUUUCUAUAAGCUUACAUGUGUGUGUUUAUUGUUUUUCUAGAUUAACGUAUUUAUACAUUCGGAGGAUCGGAUCUACUUCGAGAAUCACACUAUCCAGAUAUACUCCGGUAGAUUUUGUUAAACAACUUUUUGGAUUUAUAUGGCAUGUACAUAGAAUUGAAGUAAAAAGUAAUAGAAUGAAUGACUGAGUAUGCAAAGUAAAUUUGAAUGUGAUGGUUGUGUUAGAUAUUGAAAAAUACAUGUUUUUAGUUUGAAAUGGUUGAUUGGCUGAACUUCGUUAGUAUUCAAGUGAAGUAGUUGAAAUACUGGAAUUGGUUGUGAUUUGAAAUUUGCAGGGAAGGUUAGAUAAAUAUAAAGGGGUUAUAUUGAUUUUUUUUAAAAAUUUCAAUGGAAUAAUUUUUGGACAGCAGCAUUGAUGUAACUUUUAAAAAUCACCAAAAAUAGUGGAAAUAGAAUUAGAAGUUGAAUGAGAUAUGAAAUUAAAUCUGAAUGAGUCUAAUUUCACAUGAAAGAAGUAGAAUAAGAAAAAGAGUUAUAUAUUUUUAGAUAUUUGAAUUUUAGUGAAACAGGGCAAGAAUGUUUUUGAAGUCCCCUGUUCUGACUUUAGAAAUUUAGUAAAAAUUGUACAAAAGGAAUUAUGAAUUAUAAUUUAUAUGUUUAAAUUCCGUAAUGAGUAUAUUUUAAGUAGAAAUAAUUGGAACCACCAUAUGAAGUCUUUGCAAUGAGAUAAUUGAAUUUUAGCGACAAGAGGUCAGGAUAGUCAAUUAGUGAAAUAGGGGAGACUUCAACUAAUAAACUGUAUUAAUUUGCUAAACCAAAAAUUCUGAAAAAUUUAUGGUGAAUAUACAUAUGAGUCUAGUUUGAGGGAAAAUUUACGGAUCUAAAUUUUUAGUUUCGUAUCUUGAGUUAUAAUUAUUUUAGUGACUACUGCGCAUGUGGACAGCUUUGUUGUGAAUGGUGAAAUUAAUUUUUAAAGUAAAUUUUUAUGCCCCGAACUUUUAAGUUCAGUCAAGUAACGCCUUAUGCUCGACUCCGGCAACCGUCUUGGGUAAGGGGUGUUAUAAAUAAUUAUUCUUAAAUUCAUACAUUCUUUGUAUAUUAUUUUGUACCUACAAUAGGUCCCUAGAUAUUAACAACAUGAGUGACGUUGCUACAGACUCAGAAUUUCCUUUUAAACAAGACAUGUGUUUAGAGGGAUCCCAUGGCUUUGAAGAUGACGUAGACUGUGGCUUAUCUCUGAAUUUGUUAAGGAUGGUAAAACAAGAGGAGAAGCAAAUCCUACCUCACAAGGAAUCAAUGGAAAUUGUGAGCUCAGAAGGGGGAAAAGAGGUGAAGAUUGAGACUAACAUUGCCACAAAGACAAAGCAUGACCUCGUUGAGUUACUCCAAGAAUUUAAAGAUGUCUUCGCAUGGUCAUACCAGGAUACUCCCGGGUUAAGUACUGGCAUUGUAGUACACUACCUUCUUAUAAAAGAAGAUUGCAAGCCAGUUUAGCAGAAACUCUGAAGGAUGAUGCCUGAUAUUGUGCUAAAAAUAAAAGAAGAAGUUAAAAAGCAAUUUGAUGUUGGGUUCUUACAAGUGGUUAAAUAUUCAGAAUGAGUAGCCAACAUCGUCUCAGUCUCUAAAAAAGAUGGGAAAGUACGAAUGUGCAUAGAUUACAGAGACAUGAACAAGGCCAGCCAAAAAGAAAAUUUCCCAUUGCCUCACAUUGACACUUUGGUGGAUAAUACAGUAGGCUACUCACUGUUUUCCUUCAUGGACGACUUCUCUGGAUACAACCAGAUAAAGAUGCAUCCCAAAAACAUGGGAAAGACUACAUUCGUGACCCUAUGGGGAAUGUUUUGCUAUAAAAUGAUGUCAUUCGGAUUAAAGAAUGUGGGAGCGACGUAUCAAAGGGAAUGGUAACCUUGUUUCAUGACAUGAUGUACAAGGAAAUCGAGGUUUAUGUUGGCGAUAUGAUUGCAAAAUCCAGAACAGAAGAGGAACAUGUGUAGGCCCUAAGAAAAUUAUUCUUAAGACUGAGAAAGUUCCAGCUCAAGCUUUCCAACGAAAUGCACAUUCAGAGCUAGGUUAGGAAAGCUGUUAGGCUUCACAGUUAGUGAAAAAGGAAUCGAGAUCAACCCAGAUAAAGUCAAGGCGAUACGAGAUUUACCUCUACCAUGCACUCAGAAGGAAGCUCGAGGUUUCCUAGGAAGACUGAAUUACAUUGCUCGAUACAUUUCACAACUAACCGAAAAAUGUGACACCAUAUUAAAAUAAAAAUAGAUUAAAUUGUAAGUAAAACAUAAUUUAAACAUAUGAAUACAUCAAAUUAAUAAUACUAAAUGAAUACAGUUAUUUAUGAUGAUGUUGUUGCCAAUUCCUAAUUUGGUGUCUAGUUAAUUUGUGACAUCAUAAAUUUAAGUGAUAAAUUUAAGGUUUUAUGUAUUGAUGUGGAUUCAAAUAUCACCAUAAUUUUUGUAAAUAAAAAACUAAUAAGAUAACUUAUAUUAAGUACGAAAGGGUAUUUUUAUAAUUUCUCUAAUCGAGUUGGUGCCCGGUUGACUCAUGACACUAACUCAAUCAGAAGCUUUAAUAAUAAUAUAGAUAUUCAUGUUAAAAAAACAAAAAAAAAGUACUUUAGUUCCAAAUAAUUAUAUAACAAGUAAAUUUAUAAUUGAUGAAUAAAUUUAUAAAUAAUAUAUUUAUAUGAUCUAAUAUAUUAUAUUUAUAUUAAUUAUAUAUCAUCUACAAACUUUGAAGAUCAAUUUAUUAAGUAAAAAUGAAAUUGUUAACACUAAAUCAAUUUUUAGAUUUUGUAUAGAUGAUUUAGUGAUGAUAAAAACAUUAUUAACACUAUUUUUUAAUUAACAAAAAAUUAGUGAUAUAUUUAAAUUAUAUUUAUCAUUUAUUAUUUUUAAUAAUAUUUUUUAAUUAUAUGAAGUAAAAUUAUAUUGUAUACUAAAUAUGGUACAUAUACUCUAAUUAUAACUUGAAAUUUUAUUAUAUAAAUUAAUAUAAAUUUGAAUAACAAAAUAAAAAAAAACUAAUUAGAAUAAUUUUAAAAAACAUUAUUUAAAAGUAGUUAAAAAUCACGUGCAACAGGUGAGAUCAAUGGUCUUUAGAGAAGAAAUGUUGAAGAUCAAAGUUGGAAUCUGGCCUAUAAGGCCUUUAAUUGCUUUAAUAUUAAGCAGUUCCAAACCAAGAAGAUUACCGAUUUCCUCAGGAAUUUGACCUGCACACAUGGUCGAAAAAUCAAUGUGUCAAACUACCUAUUUUGUUAGCAUAAGUCAAAGAGGUUUUCUUUUCUAUUCUACAUAAUUUGCAGAUGUUAGAUUUUAAUAUUUUUAAGCAUAUUUGUUUUCAUCAAAUUAACUAUUUUGAACUAUUUUGCCUUGAAUGAAAUAAAAUGCUCUUACUUUUGUUAUCUAUUACUAAUCAAACUCUUUUAUAAAAAAAAUACUUUAAACUAAAGAAACCAAGAAAAUUCAAUACCUUCUAGGUUAUUCAACCCCAAAUAUAAUUCUUUGAGUCGUGUCGGAUUUCCAAUACUUCUUGGAAUGAUCCCCAUCAAUUGAUUAUAGGAAAAUGACAAAAUUUUAAGGUUGUUGCAUUUGCUUAUACUUGACGGAAUGUUACCAUAUAAUUCAUUCCGACUCAAGUAAAGCCCUUCAAGCUUGGAAAGAUGUGACACAUAUCAUUAGGCAAGCUACCUGAUAGGCUAUUGUUGGAGAGAUCAAUGGCCUUCAGAGAAGAAAUGUUGAAGAUCGAAGUUGGAAUCUGACCUGUAAGGCCUUUAAUUGCUUUAAUAUUAAGCAGUUCCAAACCAAGAAGAUUACCGAUUUCCUCAAGAAUUUGACCUGCACACAUGGUCGAAAAAUCAAUGUGUCAAACUACCUAUUUUGUUAGCAUAAGUCAAAGAGGUUUUCUUUUCUGUUCUAUAGUAAUUUGGUGAUGUUAGAUUUUAAUAUAAUUCAGCACAUGUUUUUCAUCAAAUGAAAUAAAAAGUUUUUCCUUUUGUUAUCUAUUACAAAUCAAGCUCUUUUAUUAAAAAAAUACUUUAAAUUCAAGAAAUCAAGGAAAUUAAUUACCUUCUAAAUUAUUAAACCCCAAAUAUAAUUCCUGGAGUCGUGUUAGAUUUCCAAUACUUCUUGGAAUGAUCCCCAUAAAUUGAUUAUGGGGCAACAACAAAUUUUUAAGGAUGUUUCAUUUGCCUAUGCUUGACGGAAUGUUACCAGAUAACUCAUUGCUAUGCAAGUGAAGCCCUUCAAGCUCGGGAAGAUGUUGACACAUAUCAUUAGGCAAACUACCUAAUAGGCUAUUCCUGGAGAGAGCAAUAGUCUUGAGAGAAAAAUGUUGAAGAUCGAAGUCGGAAUCUGAUCUGUAAGGCCUUUAAUUGCUUGAAUAUUAAGCAUUUCCAAACUAAAAAGAUUACCGAUUUCUUCAGGAAUUUGACCUGCAGACAUAGUCGAAACAUCAAGGUGUUAAAUUUCCUAUUUUGUUAGUGUAAAUCAAAGAGGCUUUUUAUUUUUUUUCGUUAUGAAAUAAUAUGGAUAUGUUCGAUUCUAAUCAUAUUUAAGUAUAUAUUAGUUCUUGAAAGAAUGAGUUCUUAUUUUUGGUAUUUAUAUUGCAAAUAUAUAUUUUUUUAAAUUUAAAAGAAGGGAGGGGGCAAAUGUGUUUAAACUAAAGACAUCAAGGAAAAGGCAUACCAAGUAUAAUUGUUUAAGUUGUGUCAAAUUCCCAAUGCUUUUUGGAAUGAUCCCACUAAAUUGAUUAAUAGACAAUUCCAAAAUUUGAAGGUUGCAGCAUUUGUCUAUACUUGAUGGAAUAGAACUUGAUAAUUCAUUUCUACUCAAGUAAAGCUCUUUCAGCUUGGGAAGAUGGACACACAAAUCAUCGGGCAAGCCACCAGAAAGACUAUUAUCACAAAAAUGAAUCCUUUUCAAAGAAGAAAUGUUAAAGAUGGAAGAUGGAACCUGGCCAGAUAAUUGAUUGAAUCCCAAGUUCAAGAUCUCUAGAUUGGACAAGUUGACAAGUGUUUGAGGGAUCGUGCCUGUGAAGUUAUUAUUUCUCAUUUCCAACCUUUGAACUCUGUGCAAGUUCCCAAGCCAUGGUGGAAUUUCCCCAUUAAGACGGUUGUAGCUUAAUCGAAUGAUCCUCAAACGAUGCAAUUGGCCUAAUUCUUUAGCCAGAUGGCCGUAGAAAUUGUUGUUGCUCAAGUCGAUAGAAAAUAGAAAUGAAAGAUUUCCAAGGUGUGGAGGGAUAGUACCCCUAAGAUUCAUGUUUGUAAGAUUAAUCAAAGCUACAACUCUUUCAUGGAUGAUGCCACAAGAAACACCAACCCACUUACAGACAGAGGUAGAGUUCGUCCAAUUGUUUGCCAACACAUUUUGAGGAUCGACAAUGCGAUCUUUAAACUCAAAGAGUGCAAACUGAUCGGAGUUGAGAUUCCGGACUGUCAUAGCCAAGGAAACAAUAGAACAUUGUAUGAAUAAAAGUGAAAGAAGAUGAAAGCAAGUGUUGUAGUUCAUGAUGGCAAGACGAAAUAAGCCAGGAAAAGGGAAGUUGAAUUGAUGAAGAAAUAGCCAGCCAACAUGCUUAAAUAGGCUUCAACCCUUGCACACUUCUCAUACAUAAAGUUCGCUGCCAUUACAACAAGAAAACUCAUAUCUCCAUUCGUACCUAUCCAUACUUUAUUUGACUAACUUUUCCCUAACAAGUGUUCAGUAAGGAGAUAAAUCAGUUUGGAGCUAUUCACCGGCUUCUCCAAUCUUGGUUUCAAACUCCUAACCCAUCAAUUCACUUUAAUUGAAACGAUAUACACGAGUCUUUCGGCUUAUAUUUUUAAUUUAAUUUUUGUUACUUUUCAUAAUAUUUUUUGAGAAAUCCAAAUAUUCCAGUCUGAAAUUUCUUCAUUGCCACGUCUAUCUCCUGGGUAAGUCCGUGGUUAGGCAGCCCACUUUGGGAGCAGGAUUGUAAUUGUAAUUCUAUCCGACUCAUUUUACUAUUUAGAAAUAUAAAAGUAAUAUUAUAUUAUUUUUUAUAUUUUUAUAAAUUUAAUUUUAAUUAUAAUUUUUAAACAAUAAAACGAGUCAUUUGUAUUUGCCUAGUCUAAAUUGAAUCAGGAGUCAAAAAAAUUUUAAUCAUAAUUUACUAUUAUUUUAAUUAAUUAAAAUUUAACCUACUACAACUAGUAGUUGCAGAAAAAAUGUCAUUCCUUUAGAAAAACGAAAAUCCUUUAGAAAAAUGAGAACUUAUGAAGCAUUCAAUAAGAGUCAUUGGAAUAAAUGGUAACGAAAUCAUAAUUCAAUAUAAAGCUAAAAAAUGUACCAAUCUAUAUAAAUAAUGUAAGAUUUGUGAUACCUAAAUUAUUAUAUUUUCCAUAAAUAUAUGAAGAUAUUUUAUUAGGAAAUAAUUUUAUAUAUAAAAUUUUUUAUUUUCUUUUGAUAGAAAUUUAAUUAUGUUAUCUGUAGAAAAAAAUAUUUAUAGAAAUAUUAUUAGUAGAAAAUCAUAAAUUUGUGUGUGGCAAAAAAAAUUCACCACCAAGAAAGGGGCAAAUUAAACAACUUGAAACAAGUCAUUGGUUGUUUAAAAUAUUAGAUAAUAAUUUCAGUGAAGAAUCAUUAAAAUUAUGACAAAAUAACCCUAGAUAUUGUAGUAUUAAAUUGGAAAAUCUCAAUAAUAUUAUUAGAGUAAAACCUAUGAUCUAUCUAAACAAGAUAUAGAAGAUUUUGAUAUACAAAUUAAGGUUAGAAAUCAUGCGGAAAUAAAAAAGAAAAAAAAGCUAGUAUGGUCAUUAAUUAUAAAAGAUUAAAUCAAAAUAUUAUUUUUUUAUAGUUACUUGAAUUAAUCAGGCUAAACAAACAAAAUAUUUUAGUAAAUUUGACUGCAAAUCAGGAUUCUAGCAAAUCAUGAUAACAGAAAAGUCCAAACCUUUAACGGCUUUUAGUGCACCCAAUGGACAUUACCAAUGGAAAGUGAUGUCAUUUCAAUUAUGUGAUGCACCACAAAUCUUCCAAAGACGAAUGGAUUUUAUAUUUAAUAAAUAUAAAAAAAUUCUAUGUAGUCUACAUAGAUGAUAUUUUUUAUAUUUUUAGAUACACUAGAAUUACAUAAGAAACAUUUAAAUAUUAUUUCUUAAGAAUUCAUAAAAUAUAGAAUCAUAUUAAACCCUAAAAAUAUAGAGUUAGAAAAAAGAGAGAGAAUUUUUAUAAUAGUGGAAAUAAAAAAUUGUCCUCAAAAGAUUGAAGAAAAAAAGAACUUCCAACAAUUUCUAAUAUAUUCCUCCCAAAUUUUCAGUUUCAAUUUUAUUACAGAAUUUCUUUGCCGACAAUAAGAAAUUAAGAGCGCUCUUUAAGUUGAAUAUAGUCCGUCAGAUAUGGCUAUCUAUAACAUGGAACCUUUGGUUUUCAAGCUGAAUAGGAGAAUUGAUUCACUUGAUAAGUAUGAAAAAUUGAAACUGCUAAAUUUAAGUGCACUAACUCUGGAUAUCAUCAUUAUUUUUCUGUACAUUAAAGUACCUGUUUGAUAUGCGAUUUCUGCCUCAAACUAUCAACAUCUUUAACAUCCUUUUGCUAUAGUUAGCAUGGGUACUUCCUUUUAGAUUAACAGUUAGGUUUGAACUGUGAAUUAGAUUUCUGUGGCUGCUGGGAUUGAAGAAGUUAGUAUGCGAAUGACAUUGGACAAAUUUGGCAAAGUCUUCUCCAUCAGUGAAGAAAACCCCUUGGCGUAUGAAAAAUGUUCACCAUCUUAGACAUUUGUUUUCUUAUUGUAAGAAUAUUUUUAACAUUGUAACUUUUAACAUUAUUGUAAGAAUAUUUUGAAUUAUACUUCAGUUAUCAAUUUAUAUCAUAUAUCUUUUGUUGAAUUUGAAGUAUAAUUUAUAUUUGCUGUUUUUGGUUAGAUUUCAUGCUAUAGGAAGGGUUGUAUAUGGAUAGAAAUUGAAUGUUACAAAUCUGCCAAAGUUAGUGGCGUUUUUUCAUAAGAGCUGCUAAAGAAUGCUAUUUUUGGCGGUGUUUGUAAUAAAAGAGCCGCUAAAGGUCAUGUUCUUUAGCGAUGUUUGUGGGUAAAGCGCCGCUAAAGAUCAUGUUCUGUAGCGGUGUUUGUGGAUAAAGCGCCGCUAAAGAACAUGACCUUUAGCAGCGUAUUUUCACAUAAACGCCGCAAAAUUUAGCGGCUUUGUCUAUAGCGACUUUUUUUGCAGCGCUUUAAGUUUUAGCGGCGCUUUUAGGCCUAAAAAAGGGCCGCUAAAAGCCUGUUUUGCUGUAGUGAGCAUAUUUACAUUUUCGUCCCAAUUUCAACUAACACCCCAUCUAUUUCCCACUUCCCUUUUUCGGGCAAUUUCAACUAACACCUUCAUAUCAAACAUAACUAUUUUUCAAUUUUUCUUCUUUAUUUCAUUAAUAAAAUUAUCAAUCUAUUUGUUUUUAAAUAUAUAAUUUCAUUAAUAUUUUUUAAAUUAUAAUAUAAGAGUUGUUGUUUAUUUAUAGUUUUAUUACAUUAUUUACUCUCUCUUUUCUAUCAAGUUUUUUAAAUUAUAAUAUAAGAUUUAUUUUAUCAAUUUGUGGCUUAUCCAGUAUUCAUCUAUUUUAAUAAUAACUUGAGUUCCAGUCAUUAUCAUACCAGAAAGAGUUCCAUUUAUUCUUUAUCGUAAAUUUUAUAAAAAAAUAUACAUUUUAUUAUAAUACUAUAUGUGUUACGAAUAAUAUUUUAUUGUGGAUGCCCAUAAUUUUCAAAGUUGUAACCUCUAAUGUAGUAACCUUAAUGAAAUUAUGAGGCUUUUAUAUUGUAAUCAAGCCUCUAUUUAUUCUUUGUAACUUAAACAGAAGCAUAUUUUCUAUUAUAUUGAUAUUUUUUAUAGAUAUAUAUAUAUAUAUAAGGAAUCAAAUAAAAAGUUAUUUACCUUUCUAUUAUAUUGAUAUUUUCUAUUUGAUUUGUUCUUUUCUUUCACUAUUCCAUAAUAUAUUAUCAGUACGAUUUUAACCAAGAGUAACAUGUUAUUAGAUUGUGUCAAAAUUUUGUUGAGAAUCAUUAGAUUGUUUCCUUUUUCUUCUAUUUAGCCCCAAAUUGCACCCCUACACAAAAUUCAACAAAAACAUGGAAAAAUUAGUGGUGCACUCUCAUAAAUUAACCAAUUUAAUUACAUAAAAUAUGUAACUUUAGCAUUUUAUCAAUCAUGUUCUUUAGCGGCAUUUGUGGGUAAAGCGCCGCUAAAGGUCAUAUUCUUUAGCAGCGUUUGUGAUAAAAGUGCCACUAAAUAUCAUGUUCUUUAGCGGCGUUUGUGGAUAAAGCGCCGCUAAAGAACAUGACGUUUAGCAGCAUUUUUUUACAUAAACGUUGUAAAAUUUAGCGGCGUUGUCUAUAGCGACGUUUUUUGCGGUGCUUUCAAAUAGUUUUAGCGGCGCUUGUAGGCCUAAAAAAAUGCCGCUAAAAGUCUGUUUUGCUGUAUGAGCAUAUUUACAUUUUCGUCCCAAUUUCAACUAACACCCCAUCUAUUUCCCACUUCCCUUUUUCGGCCAAUUUCAACUAACACCUUCAUUUCAAACGUAAUUGUUUUUCGAUUUUUCCUCUUUAUUUCAUUAAUAAAAUUAUCAAUCUAUUUGUAUUUUAAAUAUAUAAUUUUAUUAAUAUUUUUUAAUUAUAAUAUAAGAGUUUUUGUUUAUUUAUAGUUUUAUUAUAUUAUUUACUCUCUUUUUUCUAUCAAGCUUUUUAAAUUAUAAUAUAAGAUUUAUUUUAUCAAAUGGUGGCUUAUCGAGUAUUCAUCUAUUUUAAUAAUAACUUGAGUUCCAAUCAUUAUCAUACCAGAAAGAGUUCCAUUUAUUCUUUAUCGUAAAUUUUAUAAAAAAAUAUAUAUUUUAUUAUAAUACUAUAUGUGUUAGGAAUAAUAUUUUAUUGUGGAUGCCCAUAAUUUUCAAAGUUGUAACCUCUAAUGUAGUAACCUCAAUGAAAUUAUGAGGCUUUUAUAUUGUAAUCAAGCCUCUAUUUAUUCUUUGUAACUUAAACAGAAGCAUAUUUUCUAUUAUAUUGAUAUUUUUUUAUAGAGAUAUAUACAUAAGGAAUCAAAUAAAAAGUUAUUUACCUUUCUAUUAUAUUGAUAUUUUCUAUUUGAUUUGUUCUUUUCUUUCACUAUUCCAUAAUAUAUUAUCAGUACGAUUUUAAUCAAGAGUAACAUUUUAUUAGAUUGUGUCAAAAUUUUGUUGGACUUCAAGUAUUGGAAUUUAAUUGUUUAAGUUAAGAAUCAUUAGAAUCAAUGGCUAUUUGAGAUAUGCUUGAGGAUGAUCUCAUUCUCUUCAUCACAAAGGUGGAGGUUAGAAAAUCUUUAUGUUUAAACAUUUAUAGCUUUAAAGUUAUUUUAACCUCUUAUUGUGACCUUAUAAUAUUUUGUAAUUUUUUGUAUUAUGGUAUAUAAAAAAAAUCUAACCAUAGUGAUUGAUUAGUAAUAUGAAUUUGUUAUUUGUUAUGUUUAAUAUAUAUUUUAUUUAUACUUAUUCAUUUUAUUUUUAUAUGAGUAAAUGAAGUGUUUGAAGAUUCGAAAUUUUUAUCAUCCAAGUUGAAAAUAAGUGCAAAAGUGUACAUUAUUUAAAAUAAAUUACGCAUUCAUUAAUGUUAUAUGAUAAAAUCAUUACAUGUUCUAAAGAACUAAUAUUGCAUCAAACUGUAAAAAGCUCUUGAAGAGUUAAUAUUUUACCUCCUUGUGAUACAAAAUCAUAUACAAUAUGAUAUUAUUUUUCAAAUCGAGUAGAUAUAUGUUGAGGGAAAUCUUUAUGUGGUUUACAUUAAAACCAUGGAUAGAAAUGACAUGAGAUACUCGUGUAUUUUUAUUAUAAAUAUUCCUUGAAGGAAGACACUUCACUUGUAUGAUUGACAUAUGAGAUAGUGGCAAGAAGUUCAUAGUGUUGGUAUGGUCGUCUAGAUCAUCUCAAAUCAAUAAUGAUGCAAAAUAAUUUGAAGAGAAUUUAUAUGAUUUUAUUGAAGAAUGAGAAGAUAUUUUCAUUUUGAUAAUUGUCAUCAAUACUAGUUCUUUGGAAAAAAAAUAUUGAACUAACAUAAAGUUAGAGGUUGGUUGCAUUUUUUGAUGAUAUCCAAAUAAUAUAUGAGCUCAUGUAUCACAUGUAUGCAACCCAAAGUUUACAGUAUUAUUUCUUGAAAUAAUUUGAUUCUACACAAUCUCUAUAGUAUGCAAUUUGUGCUAACAACGUUGGUGCAUUAUAUCCUAAGCUUGAUUUUCGUAGUUUUAGCUGAGAUAAUAUUAAGUUGUCUAUGCCUAUAUAUGUUAUACUUAAUGGUUAGCAAAAUUGUGCCUCCAUUUAAUUGCUUAACCAUUAAUAUAAGAAUAACUUUAAAAUAAGCAUGUAAUUUUAUUUGCAUAGAGUCAACAUGUAAGAAACAUUUGCCCCAUGAGAAUUGGCUUUCAUUUAUAAGCCAAUAGGUUUCAUAUGACUAUUUGGAUGUAAAAUAUCUAUUUUAUAUUCCACCAUAAUGCACUAAGAUGGUCCAUCAAGUAUGAAGUUGAGAAAAUUUAGAAUUUUUAUUUGAUGGUAAAAGUUGAAAAGAGAUAUAUACUUAUAAUUUUGAAAAAAAUAGUCAUGUUGCAAAUUUUUCUCAAUAUUAGGGGGAGACAAGUUGGACAAAUAAGGAUAAUUAUGUCAUCACUUUUUGUGAUCCCUCACUAAUAUUAUGUGCACAAAGUUUGAAGGAAAAAAGUAUUUGCUAGACAUGUUUAGUGAUGACACUUAGAGAUUGUAUAUACUAGAUGAUACAUAUACCAGCUAAAAUGUUCCAAAUAAUUAUGAGUCCUAGAAGGACAUAGUGAUAAAAAUAAUUUUUGGGCACGCUAGAAGGAUAAAAAACUAGUUCAUUCUAUAAAUCAAAAAAUUCUUGAAAGAAAAGAGUAAGAAAUGAAGCUGGCCACACAUUAAAGGAAACGAGUACUCAUGAAGAGACCUAAGGCAUAACUUUUAAUAAAACCCCAAAAGAGGUUCAAUACAUGGAAUUAUGAAUAUAAUAAGAUAUCUCGAUUAGUUAUAUCAUAACUAAAGAUGAUGGGGUUGAUAAAAGGAAAUUGUUGUUAACAACGAUAAUCUAAGUAGAACAUUUCAAUAUUAUGGUAAAAUGAGUAUUUUGAAUGAAAAUAUACUUGAAAGUAUUUAGAUGGGAACAACUCAUCAAAAUAAAUAGACGUUUCUAUUAUAACUUAUGAAAUGUGUCUCGGACAUGAAGUCCAAACAUUCGACAGGUGUAAAGCCAAGUGGAGUAUAUGUUAGCAUAAUAGUGAAAAAAUACAAAUCAUAAUAUAUAAAAUUGACUUGUAAGACAAACUUUCCCAAGACACUUGAUUUUGAUUAUGAAAAAUGAUUAAUUUGUGAUCUUAUCAAUUGAACAUACUUUGUAUAAUCAACAAAUUAUUAAUUAACCUCAUUUAACCAAUUUCCUUCAACACAUUUCAAAUCAAAUUAAUGUGUUGAGCACGCCCUUAACCCUUUUUCUUGAUUCAUUGCAUAGUCUAUUUCCAAGUACCAUAAUCAUCAACAUUUCAAUAUAUAAAGUCAUAACAUAAUGAAUCAUAGUUAGAAUUUUUUUUACCCUAUUAACCAAGUAUGGAACAAAAAUAAAAACCUAAUUUGUCAAGCUCAUUCAAUCAGCUUAUAUAUUAUAAGAAGAGCCUAAGUAUAAAUCCUAUACAUGAUUUCAAAUUCAACUAUUUAUAUUUGAGAUUCAAUUUAAAAUUCAUACUGAAAUUAUCAAAUUAACUCGUAAGCUACUCACGCUAAACAUUAAGGUACUCGAAUUCAAGUGGCUAGAUAUCAUAAACACUUUUAGCUUGUAAAACUAUUUCUAAGGGUCAGCCCAGAAUCAUGGUUGAACCCAAAAUCUGGUAACAAAAAUUUAAUUGAGCCAUCAGCCUAAAACAAAUAAGGCUUAAAAGGUUGGCACCCGAACAAUCAAAGAUAAACACCACCAUAUGCCACUCCCUGAAUCCGAUACAUACAAUAACACCCUUCACCACUUUUAUUCUUCUCCUUUUUUUUAACCUCAAUUUGGAUGGUCGCAUUUCUCUUUUUAGUGCUUUAUAGGGUUUGGGCUUUCAGAAUCCUCAGAGAUGCAAUUCAUGGAUCCCUCUAAGAAAUGCAAGCUUGAUGAAAAUGGUAUUAUUUCAACGGCAUCAGAACCUGACCCAAUCACCAAACUAACCCCACAAGAUGGCCGCAAGCUAAUCGAGCAAUUUAUCGUCGAUCAACUCCUUGACGUCCUCCAAGAUGCUGUUUGUUGUCACCUUGAUGUUCUUUCCGCCGUACACUCUAUUGCCGAUCAAGAUCCAUCUCAAAGGAAGCUUUUCAUCCGUGGUUGGGUUGGGAUACUACAACCCAACCCAACCCACAUUAGCAUACUACCAUGCGGUAACUUCUAGUGAUUUCUGUCUGUAACAUUAGACAGGUUAACAGUUAAAUCGUUCAACUGAAAGAUUUCUUUGAAGGAAGAGGUCAAUUGAUUUUUUUUGGAAUCAUUGUGUACUCAGUUGCAUUUAAGACGGGUAUCAUUCAUAAAGUAUAUAUCUACAUCAAGAAUGGUAGCCUCUUAUAUUAUAUUCAUGUAUUUAUUUUGCAUCUUUAAUUAUAAUAGGAUUUUUUUUGUUUAUUUAUAGUUUUAAUUAUAAUAUUUUUUAAAUAUGCCAAAGUAAAUUAUGUACCAAUUUUAAACUUCUCCUAGGUAAUUUAACGUAAGGGCAUUUAUGUUAUUUUACCACUUAUGAUAAAACUAACCUAAUUUUAGAUCUAAGUGUUUACCAACCUUCUUUUAGUCAAAUUAUGCAAGCCUAAAAUUUUUAGCUUAAUUUGAGUUUGUUUACUAUGUCUAAUUCAAGUUUUAUUAUUAAGAACUAAAUUGUAACUUAAACAAAUUAGAAUACCAAUUUAAAGAGACAAAAAUUCAAAGCCCCAAAACCCACACGGGCAUGUGGGUAAGUGACACAGGCGUGUGGAAACUGGAGCUAUCACACACGGGUGAGUGGGACUGAAAAAUAUGAAAUAAAUUAAUCCAUUUAAAUUUCCAACAACCAUGCUAUACUACCAAACCAAAUAAUGUUAGAAGCUUUGAAUAGGGGCGAAUCUUAAAAAAAAAUAGAAGAAUUAGAAUUAAAUUAUAAAAUUUUGAGAAGUUGUCAUGUAUUAAUUUAUUAUUUUUUAAAGGGUCUUAAUAGAUUUUUUUUCCCCAUUUUGGUUUGGCCAAUACCCCUGUCUGCCUCUUUCAAUUUGCUUCAACCCUUAGCCCAAUAUUCGAUUUGUUGUGGAAGUUUGACGCAUAAAAAUUCCUUUUUUAGAGGUUUAAAUUAUAAAUUUUUAUUAACAAAAUAUAAAAGAAAAAAACAUGUGUAGACAAGCCAAGAAACCUUUGGGAUCAUACAGGUGAUUUUGAGAUGUUCAUGGUUAUUUUGGUGGAGAGGGUAAAAAAGAAACAAAUGAUUCAUUAUAUAUGAUAUAAUUAUGAAAUUCAAGCCAUAUAUUGUAUGUUUCAUCCAUACAAAUUUCUUGUAGCAUUAAAUGACUCGUAGGCUUGCUGAAUUUCUUUGAAAGGCCCAAAGGCAAUUUAACAUUCACAAAAUAAUCUCUAAAUAGUGUAAAGACAAAUCAAAUCCACAGUAGCAUUAGAGUUGAUUAAGCUAAGCAUUGGCAAAUAUUACUUUGAUUUUGCAUGCAAUAUUGGCAAAACCCCCUCUUACAUUAGAAAAACAACAUAAUCCAUGAAACAUUGAUAGCCCAAUACAAAUUUCAUCGAGAAAAAAGUCUCUUUGUUUUGUAGAACAUGAUAGUAAAGAUGUGGAGUUUCGUUCUUCUUAUUGGCCUCCUUUAGUUUUCCUUGAUCAACAACCACUAGCCAAAAACACAAUUAGAUUAGAUUAUGAAUGAUACUUUCAACUAUGACAAUAUUAAAUACAAACCACUCUAAAUAACUCUAAAUAAAUGGAAAGCAGCAAAUUACCAGACGAGGCAAGCUAGCUCAAUUAAGACCAUUGUGUUAUACUUGUCUCUGAAUUGAAAAAUUUAGAAGGAAAUAAAGAGAAAGACUUAGAAAAUACUUGAAAACAGAAAAAAAAAUUAUGUCAUUUAAAAUAAAAAAUUUCUAUUCAAGCCAUUUAAAAUUUGUAAGAUUUUUAAAAUUUUAAAAUGAUAAAGGUAAAAUUGUACUUUGGCACCCCAAAAAUGAUAAAACUUUGAUUUAAUUAUUUAAAAAUUAUAAAAAUAUAGGCUAUUAAAAUGGUGAAAUUAUAUUUUUACUAUAGUAAAAAUUACAAUUUAAUUUCACCCCUAAAAGGAUUUUCUGGCUUCGCACCUAAUAAAAUCUUUGGCAAAAGACUAAAAUAAAAUUAUACCAUGAAUGGAAAAAGAAACUAAUAAAAUCCAAUCUAACAAAGAAAAUAACUUGAUGUCCAAAAGCUACCAUAAACCGUAAUUCAUGGGAAGGCUUGUUGCUUAUUUUAUUGGUUUCCAUUUUGAAAGAAGUUUGAAUUUUGAAGAGAGCCUACUACGUGAAAGCAAAAGAAAAAAAAAUAGUUUAUAUGAUUAAAAUUCCAGAAUAGAUUAAAAAUGUUGAAUUAAAGAUAAAAUUAAGUGUGAAUUAAUAACCACAAGUGUACUCUUUACUCACCAUCUCUGUUAAAAAUGUUGGAUGUUGUUUAGCAACCUUUGUUUGAUUUUCUUCAGCUCAACCACAACAUCUUUCAUAUCUUUUCUUUCUUCUGGUAACUCAGCUGAACAAUUCAAAGCCAACUCCAUGAUAGAUGAAAUACAAUUUGCUUUAACAACAAUGUACUCAUCCUCUCUUCUUAAUAAAUCAACAUCUGCAAUUUCUAUCGCUCCUUUAGGCAAUGAUCUUUCCAUCCAAUGCCUUAUACUCUCUUCUUCAACAAAAACCUUAUCAGUUGGCUUUUUCUUUGUGAAAGUUUCUAUAAGGACGAUCCCAUAACUAUAGACGUCAGAUUUUAUAGAAACAAUUCCUGCUGAUCCAAAUUCUGCAUUUCAAGUAUAAUUAGAACAUCAUUCAUCCUCAAUUAUUUCUAAAACGCUUAUUCAAAUAUCUAUCCACAUACACGUGAAACAAAAAUAUAAAAUACAAAUUAGGAAAAUAAUCAUACAAAAAUAAAAAAAAGAAUUCACCUGGUGCCAUAUACCCAAUAGUUGCAAGAGUCAUGGUUUGCUUCAUUACUUCACCUUCUCCCAACAAUUUGGCAACGCCAAAAUCUCCAACAUGUGCAACCAUGUCUUCAUCUAGUAAAAUAUUGCUUGGUUUUAUGUCACAAUGAAUUAUAGGUGUUGGAUGUCCAUUGUGGAGGUGUUCUAUAGCUACCGCAACAUCUAUCAUUAUGUCGACCCUUUGUAUGAUACCAAGGAAACAAUUUUCAGAAUGUAACCAUUUCUCAAGGUUUCCAUUAGACAUGUAAUCAAGCACCAAGGCUUUGAAGUCAACACUUGAGCAGUAAGUAAUGACCUUCACAAUAUUACGAUGAACUAUAUUAAGCAUAGCAUCACAUUCAAUGUCAAAACUCCUAAAUGCUCCCUCUGUUUGCAAAUUGAAAACUUUUAUUGCAACUUCCAUUCCAUCUGAAAGCCUCCCUUUAUAUACAUAUCCAAAACUCCCUGAACCAAGCGUAUUGCUUUCCUCAAAUCCAUUAGUUGCUCGUGAAAGUUCAGCAUGUGAAAUUCUUCUCAGUGUCUUCAAAGACAACAAAUCAUCUUUAACUGGUAGAGCUGUACUCCUUUGGCAUCUUCUAUACAUAAUAGUUAAGACUAUUAGUACUAGGACAAUACCAAUUGUUGGUAAACCAUACCUAAAAGCAUGCAAUAUAAUCAUUUGGGAGUUUUUGUGGAUGUCAUUUUUGCAAGGUGGGACUAGCAAUCUAGGUGGACCACAAAGUGCACAAUUAUUCAUGAAUGAUGUGCUAGAAAAGUUUGAAAAACAUCCUUUGCUGGGAAUUUCCCCUUCAAGUCUAUUGAAAGACACAUUAAAAUACUUUAGAUAUAAAAGCUUUUCCAAAGAUUUGGGAAUGACUCCAGAGAGAUUGUUAUUGCAUAAAUCCAAGAAUUCCAAACUAAUCAACCCUUCAAAUGAUUCAGGGAUAUGACCAUAUAGUAUGUUAUUUGAUAAAUCUAAUGAAACCAAAGUUAUAAGACCCCCAAAUGUGGAUAAGAUAUCGCUCGUGAGAAGAUUCCUUGAUAAAUUUAGUCUCAGUAGACUCCUAAAAUUUCCAACAUCAAUAGCAUGUGAAUUGUGAAGACGGUUUGAUGAUAAAUCUAUUUCUAAGAUAUCUUUAAGACUCCACAAAGUUGAGGGUAUUGUAGAACUCAAUUUGUUGGAACCUAACCAAAGAUAUCUCAAAGCAGAAAUAUUACCUAAACAAGAGGGUAUGGAUCCAUGCAGCUUAUUCAACCCUAAAUACAUCUCGUAUAGUCUCUCCAAACCACAAAGGCUUUCUGGGAUAGGCCCUCCUAAUUUAUUAGAGGAAAGACCUAGAAUUUGGAGAUUUCUCAUUCCUCCUAUUGAUGCUGGAAUCAAUCCACUUAAUUUAUUAUACCCAAGAUCUAAAAGCAAUAGGUUGGUUAAGUUACCUAUUUCCAUAGGAAUAAUGCCUUGAAGCUCACACUCUGUGGCAUGAAAGUAUUGAAGGGAUUUUGAAAGGUUCCCGAAAUAAGUAGGAAGAACGCCACUCAAUGGAUUUCCUGAAACAUCUAUUAUGCUCAAAUUCCUACAAUUCGUCAAAGAAGAAAGAAAGCUCCACUCAUGAUCAGUAGCAGAUCCUGUGAUCAAAUUAUUGUCAUAGAUUUGGAGCCAUACAAGUUGUCUUAAGCUGCCAAGCGUUUUAGGGAUUGGGCCAGAGAAUGAGUUAUCUCCCAAGUCUAGUUCCUUAAGCAUGGAAGCAUUGGAGAUAGAGUUGGGAAUGUUUCCGCUAAGUUUAUUUCCCCACAGUAAAAGAAUCUGAAGCUUUGGAGCAUUGGUAAUGGGUGGUAAAUUACCUGUAAAAUAGCAUCUUUUAGAAAACAUUCACAAAAUAUAUAAUACAUUAAAAUAAAAACUUUAAAUCAAUUAAGAAUAAAAUUUUGGCAUGGAAAAAUGUGAUGAAAUCAAUUAGAAAGUUGAGACAUAAUAAGAAGUUUUGAGUAGUAAUUAGUCCUUGUGAUUUGUAUAGACAAAACAUAUAAUACACUGAUAAUUUUUUUAAAAUAUUGUAAAACCUGAAAUAAAAUAAAAAAUAAAAGUUUGGCACGAGAAUGUGGCAUCUAAUCAUUCUUAAAAAUAAGACUAACAUUAAAUAAUAAUUAGUUAUGAUUUGAGAAACAAAAAUGUUAAAGAUGUAAACUGGUAUGAUUUUUAUCUAUUGGGUUAAUUAUUUAUUUUUAUUAAAUUAUAUAUAGUGUAAAAUUUAAAGAUUAUUAUUUGCUCAAAAUUUUUGUAUUUUAGGAUUUUAGGAUCGCAUUUAAUUCAAUUGUAUUUAAGACCUCAUGAAUUUAUUCUAUAAUUUGAGUCUUUUCAACCUUUUGGGAAAUAAUAAAACAUCGACAUUAAACUUGUUGUUGAUGCAUUCAAUUUGAUUUUUUGAGGGGUCAUUGGAGUUAUAUGUGAAUUUAGCAUUGAUUGACUUUUUUAGAAUUAAUCUUUUAUACCAAUUUAAUAACAUCGACAUGUUUUUGGGUAGGGUCGAGCAAAACCCAAUUAAAACCGAUGAAAUUGGUUUAGUUAACUCGGUCAAGUCCAUUAGAUGGAUAAAAUCAAUUUUAAAAUCAGUUAUUAUGGAUUAAGGUAAUUAAUUAUCGAGUAAUGAAAUACAUAAUCAAAUCAAUUGAUUUUGUUAGAAACUAAAAGAAAGUGGGAUAAGCUGAAAACUGAUUGCCCUUUUUUAGAAUUAAGGAAUCAGCCUUUUACAUGUUAGAUAAUAUGAACACCCCAUAUAUAAUAAGAAAAAUUAUGUACGAUUAUUUAUUAUCAUAAAUGGUUAGUUUAAAUUUAAAGUAAUCUAAUAUGUGUGUUGAACUUCAACUAUUACAUAAAGUAUAAGCUAAAUAUGUAUAAAUAUUCUAGAAACCAUUUCUAACUGAUGAUAGGCUAAUUUGAAAUUAAGAUUAAUAUAUAAAAACUAGAUAGUAGGGUUAUAGUCCUCAAACUACACCUAAUUUAAUAAAAUCUAUAGUUUUUAUAGCCUUAAACAUUUAUAGAUUUUGUUAAUUUGGUCCUUACUCUUUAAAAUUACAUAAAAAUUGCAAAAAUAUUUUAGAAAUACAAUUUUUUCGUAUUUUUAAUAACAUUUAUAGUUUUUUUUUUGGUUUGGUAACUUAUCAACUCGACUCUUAAUUGUAACCAACUUUUCUGAUUUUUUCGUACCCUUAACCUAAGUCCCGUUACAACUUUCUAAAGACCUCUUGAUUGGUGUAUCAUCUCGAUUUGUUCUUAUAGUGGUGGGGAUUUGGUUUUCAAGCAAGCCUAUGCUAAUCACAUUUUUCGUUCAACUAUUGAGCACACAGUACUUGAACCUUAAACACUUUGAGUGCUUUGAGUGAAUCUUAGUUAGGGUAUUGAUUAUUGUUGAGUUUGAAUUUUAGGUAAUUAUUGAGAUGGAGGAGAUGCCUAUUUUUUUGUGCUUUACAAAUUUCUGCUUAGAUUGCUUUUAUUCUUUAGUUUCAUGCUAGUUUCAAUUUCCAGUGCAUGAUUAUCUAUAGAUUAUUCAUAAGGCAUUGUCGGUGAAAACAAUAAAUUGAGGGAGAUUAACUUGAAAUAAAUUGAGGGAUAUUAACUUGAAUAAAGGUUGAGAAUUUUGCUUAAGGACAAACAAAUGCUUAAGUGUGGGGAUAUUUGAUAAGUGCUAAAAUUGAUAUGUUUUAACAUCAUUCUUAAUGUGUUUUUGGUUGAUUAUUCGAUGUUAAUGAUGCUCCUAAUCCUUACAAUUCGUGUUUUUAUGCUUAAUAGAACAUUUGGGAGGAAAAUGAGCUAAAAAUGAACGAAAACCUGAAAAUGGGGGCAAACUAUAGGACAUGGGCUGACCUAUUCCUCAUGACCGUAUGACUCACACGAUCAUGUGGUAGGUUGUGUCGAUUUCGUAGAUUUGCACUCUGAACUGUAAAAAAAGAAAAUUUUAGAUUUUUUGAGCAUUUUAAUACGUAUAUAUGAAAAAAAUAAGAAGAUAGGAGAGAACCUUCCUAGAAUAUUUAAGAAAACAACUCCAAAGACACUAUUGAAGUCGACUCUGAAGCAAAUUUUCCUCAAGAUUGAAGAUUCCCAGUUGGUUUCUUAAGAGAUUAUCAUGAGUUUCUUUAUUUCUUCUGGUUAUACUGCCCUUUGGAUGUUUUUAUUUUUAAGCAUGAACUAAUUUUCUAAAUACCGAAUUAGAGAGAUGAACCCUAUGAUAGAUUGUGACACCCCAAACCCAACCGGAUAGACCCGCCCGAAUUCAAAGCAUUUCAUUAGCCACCUAAGUGACUCUCCAGCUAACGACCACCCAAGACACACCUCGACCUUAUAACACCUCAAUCUUAUCUAAUUACUAGUUAUUUAUUAAUGUAGAAGUAAAUUAAUAUGAGCCAAUUUUAAACUUUUUCUAGGUAAUUUAACCUAAAGGCAAUUUUGUCAUUUUACCACCUAAUGUAAAACUAACCCGAUUUUAGAUCUAAGUGUUUACUAACCUUCUUUUAGUCAAAUUAUACAAGCCUAAAAUUUUCAGCUUAAUUUGAGUCCGUUUACUAUGUCUAAUUCAAGUUUUAUUAAUAAGGACUCAAUUGUAACUUAAACAAAUUAAAAUACCAAUUUAAAGAGACAAAAAUUCAAAACUCCAAAACCCACACGGGCAUGUGGGUAAGUGACAAGGGCUUGUGGGAUUGAAAAAUAUGAAAUAAAUUAAUCCACUCAAUUUUCCAACAACCAUGCUAUACUACCAAACCAAAAAAACACUUGAAGUUUUGAAUAGGGGCGAAUCUAAAAAAAAUUAGAAGAAUUAGAAUUAAAUUAUAAAAUUUUGAGAAGUUAAAAUAUAAUUUUAUCAUGUAUUAAUUUAUUGUUUUUUAAAGGGUCCUAAUAUAAUUUUUUUCCCAUUUUGGUUGGGCCAAUACCCCUGCCUGCCUCUUUAAAUUUGCUCCAACACUAAACCCAAUAUUCGAUUUGGAUUAACAACAACAUAUAGGUUAGUAUUUGUGGGAGUUUGACGAAUAAAAAUUCCUUUUUUAGAUGUUUAAAUUAUAAAUUUUUGAAAGAUUAAAAUAAAUUUGUAUUUUUUUAUUAACAAAAUAUAAAAGAAAAAAAAAUAUGUUUAGACAAGCCAAGAGAACUUUGGGAUCAUACAGGUGAUUUUGAGAUGUUAAUGGUUAUUUUGGUGGACAGCGUAAAAAAGAAACAAAUGAUUCAUUAUAUAUAAUAUAAUUAUGAAUUUCAAGCCAUAUAUUGUAUGUUUCAUCCAUAAAAAUUUCAUGGGAGGUCCAAAGGUAAUUAAAUGACUUGUAGGCUUGCUGAAUUUCUUUGAAAGGCCCAAAGGCAAUUUAACAUUCACAAAAUAAUCUCUAAAUACUGUAAAGACAAAUCAAAUCCACAGUAGCAUUAGAGUUGAUUAAGCUAAGCAUUGGCAAAUAUUACUUUGAUUUUGCAUGCAAAAUUGGCAAAACCCCCUCUUACAUUAGAAAAACAACAUAAUCCAUGAAACAUUGAUGGCUCAAUACAAAUUUCAUCGAGAAAAAAGUCUCUUUGUUUUGGAGAACAUGAUAGUAAAGAUGUGGAGUUUCGUUCUUCUAAUUGGCCUCCUUUAGUUUUCCUUGAUCAACAACAAUUAGCCAAAAACACAGUUAGAUUAGAUUAUGAAUGAUACUUUCAACUAUGACAAUAUUAAAUACAAAACACUCUAAAUAAAUGGAAAGUAGCAAAUUAAGACCAUUGUGUUAUACUUGUCUCUGAAUUGAAAGAUUUAGAAGAAAAUAAAGAGAAAGAGUUAGAAAAUACUUGAAAACAGAUAAAACUUAUAUGUCAUUUAAAAUAAAAAAAAUUUCUAUUUAAGCCAUUUAAAAUUUUUAAGAUUUUUUAAAUUUUAAAAUGAUAAAGGUAAAACUAUAUUUUGGUACCCAAAAAUGAUAAAACUUUGAUUUAAUUCUUUAGAAAUUAUAAAAAUAUAGGCUAUUAAAAUGGUGAAAUUAUAUUUUUACUAUAUUAAAAAUUACAAUUUAAUUUCACUUGCUAAAAGGAUUUACUGGCUUCGCCCCUAAUAAAAUCUUUGGCAAAAGAUUAAAAUAAAAUUAUACCGUGAAUGGAAAAAGAAACUUAAGAAAACCCAAUCUCACAAAGAAAAUAACUUGUCCAAAAGCUACCAUAAACCGUAAUUCAUGCGAAGGCUUGUUGCUCAUUUUAUUGGUUUCCAUUUUGAUUUUGCAAAAGAAGUUUGAAUUUUGAAGAGAGCAAAAGAAAAAAAUAGUUUAUUAAUUUUUUACGAAUACCGACAUAUUAUAUACAUGAUUAAAAUUCCAGAAUAGAUUAAAAAUGUUGAAUUAAAGAUAAAAUUAAGUAUGAAUUAAGAACCACAAGUGUACUCAUUACUCACCAUCUCUGUUAAAAAUGUUGUUUAGCAACCUGUGUUUGAUUUUCUUCAGCUCAACCACAACAUCUUUCAUAUCUUUUCUUUCUUCUGGUAACUCAGCUGAACAAUUCAAAGCCAAUUCCAUGAUAGAUGAAAUACAAUUUGCUUUAACAACAAUGUACUCAUCCUCUCUUCUUAGUAAAUCAACAUCUGCAAUUUCUAUUGCUCCUUUAGGCAAUGAACUUUCCAUCCAAUGCCUUACAGUCUCUUCUUCAACAAAAACAUUAUCAGUUGGCUUUUUCUUUGUGAAAGUUUCUAUAAGGACGAUCCCAUAACUAUAGACGUCAGAUUUUAUAGAAACAAUUCCUGCUGAUCCAAAUUCUGCAUUUCAAGUAUCAUUAGAACAUCAUUCACCCUCAAUUAUUUCUAAAAUGCUUAUUCAAAUAUAUAUCCGCAUACACAAGAAACAAAAAUAUAAAAUGCAAAUUAGGAAAAUAAUCGUACAAAAACAAAAAAGAAUUCACCUGGUGCCAUAUACCCGAUAGUUGCAAGAGUCAUGGUUUGCUUCAUUACUUCACCUUCUCCCAACAAUUUGGCAACGCCAAAAUCUCCAACAUGUGCAACCAUGUCUUCAUCUAGUAAAAUAUUGCUUGGUUUUAUGUCACAAUGAAUUAUAGGUGUUGGAUGUCCAUUGUGGAGGUGUUCUAUAGCUACCGCAACAUCUAUCAUUAUGUCGACCCUUUGUAUGAUAUCAAGGAAACAAUUUUCAGAAUGUAACCAUUUCUCAAGGUUUCCAUUAGACAUGUAAUCAAGCACCAAGGCUUUGAAGUCAACACUUGAGCAGCAAGUAAUGACCUUCACAAUAUUACGAUGAACUAUAUUAAGCAUAACAUCACAUUCAAUGUCAAAACUCCUAAAUGCUCCCUCUGUUUGCAAAUUGAAAACUUUUAUUGCAACUUCCAUUCCAUCUGAAAGCCUCCCUUUAUAUACAUAUCCAAAACUCCCUGAACCAAGCAUAUUGCUUUCCUCAAAUCCAUUAGUUGCUCGUGAAAGUUCAGCAUGUGAAAUUCUUCUCGGUGUCUUCAAAGACAACAAAUCAUCUUUAACUGGUAGAGCUGUACUCCUUUGGCAUCUUCUAUACAUAAUAGUUAAGACUAUUAGUACUAGGACAAUACCAAUUGUUGGUAAACCAUACCUAAAAGCAUGUAAUAUAAUCAUUUGGGAGUUUUUGUGGAUGUCAUUUUUGCAAGGUGGGACUAGCAAUCUAGGUGGACCACAAAAUGCACAAUUAUUCAUGAAUGAUGUGCUAGAAAAGUUUGAAAAACAUCUUUUGCUGGGAAUUUCCCCUUCAAGUCUAUUGAAAGACACAUUAAAAUACUUUAGAUAUAAAAGCUUUUCCAAAGAUUUGGGAAUGACUCCAGAGAGAUUGUUAUUGCAUAAAUCCAAGAAUUCCAAACUAAUCAACCCAUCAAAUGAUUCAGGGAUAUGACCAUGUAGUAUAUUAUUUGAUAAAUCUAAUGAAACCAAAGUUUGAAGACCCCCAAAUGUGGAUAAGAUAUCGCCCAUGAGAAGAUUCCUUGAUAAAUUUAGUCUCAGUAGACUCCUAAAGUUUCCAACAUCAAUAGCAUGUGAAUUGUGAAGAUGGUUUGAUGAUAAAUCUAUUUCUAAGAUAUCUUUAAGAUUCCACAAAGUUGAGGGUAUUGUAGAACUCAAUUUGUUGGAAUCUAACCAAAGAUAUCUCAAAGCAGAAAUAUUACCCAAACAAGAGGGUAUGGGUCCAUGCAGCUUAUUCAACCCUAAAUACAUCUUGUAUAGUCUCUCCAAACCACAGAGGCUUUCUGGGAUAGGCCCUUCUAAUUUAUUAGAGGAAAGAUCUAGACCUUGCAGAUUCCGCAGUCCUCCUAUUGAUGCUGGAAUGAAUCCACUUAAUUUAUUAUGGUCAAGUUCUAAAACCAAUAAGUUGGUUAAGUUACCUAUUUCCAUAGGAAUAAUGCCUUGAAGCUCACAAUUAUAGGCAUGAAAGGAUUGAAGGGAUUUUGAAAGGUUCCCAAUAUAAGUAGGAAGAACGCCACUCAAUGGAUUUCCUGAAACACCUAUUUUUCUCAAAUUCCUACAAUUCGUCAAAGAAGAAAGAAAGCUCCACUCAUGAUCAGUAGCAGAUCCUGUGAUCAAAUUAUUGUCAGUGAUUUUGAGCACUUCAAGGUGUUUUAAGCUGCCAAGCAUUUUAGGGAUUGGGCCAGAGAAUGAGUUAUCUUCCAAGUCUAGUUUCUUAAGCAUGGAAGCAUUGGAGAUAGAGUAAGGAAUGUUUCCGCUAAGUUUAUUUCCCCACAGUAAAAGAAUCUGAAGCUUUGGAGCAUUGGUAAUGGGUGGUAAAUUACCUGUAAAAUAGCAUCUUUUAGAAAACAUAUUCAUUGAAUACCAAAUUCACAAAAUAUAUAAUACAUUAAAAUUAAAACUUUAAAACUUUAAAUCAAUUAAGAAUAAAAUUUUGGCAUGGAAAAUUGUGAUGAAAUCAAUUAGAAAGUUGAGACAUAAUAAGAAGUUUUGAGUAGUAAUUACUCAUGAUUUCCAUAGACAAAACAUAUAAUACACUGAUAAUUUUUUUAAAAAUAUUGUAAAACCUGAAAUAAAAUAAAAAAUAAAAGUUUGGCAUGAGAAUGUGGCAUCUAAUCAUUCUUAAAAAUAAGACUAACAUUGAAUAAUAAUUAGUUAUGAUUUGAGAAACAAAAAUGUUAAAGAUGUAAACUGGUAUGAUUUUUAUCUAUUGGGUUAAUUAUUUAUUUUUAUUAAAUUAUAUAUAGUGUAAAAUUUAAAGAUUAUUAUUUGCUCAAAAUUUUUGUAUUUUUCGUAUAUUUGAAAUUUAAUCUUUAUAUUUUUUAUUUUCUGUGAUUUAGUCUCUCUACUUUUUGAAUUGAAAAUUUUAAGUUUAUUUAUUAACACUGUUAAAAAGUUUUUGUGUUAGUAUGGCAUUUUGAAAAAUAAAAUAAACUUGAUAUCUAUGUUUUUAAUUAUUCCAAAUACUGUUUUACUAUUCCAAGAUAAAUUAUUUGUGUCUAGACCAAUAUCUUAAGAACUAUUGUUGCAUGUUUAAUUAUUCUAAAGAAUUGUUGAUUGAGUCUUAGUUGAAGUGCACUAUUCUCCUAUUUAUGAAUUGGGGAGUUGAUAAAGUACUAAAUUUUGAUAUAUUUUAAAAAAUUAAAAAUUUAUUAAAAUAUUUUUAUAAAAAUUAAUUGUACCAAAAUAUACAAUUUUAAUAUCAAAUUUUUAAUUUUUUUAAAAAUAUUAGCGAAUAUAUACUUUAUUUCAAGUUACACAAUUUUUACUAGUUUUUAACUUUUUUUUUAAAUUUUUAUCGUCUUUUAUAAUUUCAUAUAUUUUUUUAUAAUUUUUUACAAUAUUUACAAUUUCUAACAAUUUUUAAUAAUUUUAUUAUUUAUUAUAAAUUUAAAAAUUAACAAAUUUUUAUUUUUUUAAAACAAUUAUAUAUUUAUAAUGUAGUUAUUUUUUUAUAAUUUUUUUUGAAAUUUAAAGAUUUUUUUGGUUUUUUCUAGAUGAUGAUGCCAUCAUGAUGUCAUCAUAUGCCACAUGGCAAUUUAUAAUUAGUUGACUAUCUCAAUCUAUUUUUUUAACGUCCAAUGGACUAAAACAAGAACACCUGAUAAUGUUAGAGACUACACUAGGAAUGUUUGAUAAUAUUAGGUACUAAAGUGGGCAAAAAAAAUUAAGGACUAUAUUAAAAAUAUAUCUAUAAUAUAUAUAAAUGCAUGGAUUUUGAGAAACUUUUGAAAUGACAAAUAUAUAGUCUUUGUUUUUUUUUACUAUAUUAUUGAAUUUUUUAUUUUAAAUAUUUUUUUAUUACUUUUAAGAUUUAUCAUAUGUAUGGAUAAAAAUUUUGGUUUUACUAAAAUAUUUGGUUAAAUAAAUUCACUUUAUAAAAAAAUUUAGCAUCCUUAUAAAUAACAAUUUUGAUUCCAUUAAAAAAAUUAUUUAAAAAUAUAUAAUAAAAAUUUAAAAUUUAUAUUGAAUCACUUUAUACUUAAAUUAUUAUUAGAAACUUUAUCAUACACAUAUGUGUAUGAGAACCACGUUUUCAGAACUUAAAUUUGUGUUCUAAAAUAACUUAUGAUAAAUAAUUAAAUGUAUAAUUUGAAAUUAUAUUGAAAUAAAAAUAGAUUAAAUUGUAAGUAAAACAUAUAUAAUUUAAACAUAUGAAUACAUCAAAUUAAAAAUACUAAAUGAAUACAUUUAUUUAUGAUGAUGUUGUUGUCAAUUCAUAAGUUGGUGUCGAGUUAAUUUGUGACAUCAUAAUUUUAAGUGAUAAAUUUAAGGUUUUAUGUAUUGAUGUCGAUUCAAAUAUCACCAUAAUUUUUUUAAAUAAAAAACUAAAGCACCCUCAAAUAAUAUAACUUAUAUUAAAUAUGAAAGGGUAUUUUUGUAAUUUCUCUAACGAGUUGGUGCCCGGUUGACUCAUGACACCAACUCAAUCAAAAGCUUCAAUAAUAAUAUAGAUAUUCACGUUUAAAAAAAGUACUUUAGUUCGAAAUAAUUAUGUAACAAGUAAUUUUAUAAUUGAUGAAUAAUUUUAUAAAAAUAUAUUUAUAUGAUCUAAUAUAUUAUAUUUAUAUUAAUUAUAUAUCAUCUACAAACUUUGAAGAUCAAUUUAUUAAGUAUCAGGAAAAGAAAAAAUGAAAUUGAAUUAACACUAAAUCAAUUUUUAGAUUUUGUACAGAUGAUUUAAUGAUGAUAAAAACAUUAUUAGCACUAUUUUUGAAUUAACAAAAAAUUAGUGAUAUAUUUUAAUUAUAUUUUUUAUUUUUUAUUUUUAAUAAUAUUUUUUUAAUUAUAUGAAGUAAAAUUAUAUUGUAUACUAAAUAUGGUACAUAUACUUUAAUUAAAACUUGAAAAAGUAUUAUAUAAAUUAAUAUAUUUUAAUUAUAUUCAACCAUUUGAAUAACAAAAUUAAAAAAAAACUAAUUAGAAUUAUUUACUUUUUAAAGUUUAAUGGAAAAUAAAAAAUAAAAAAUAAAUCAAUUCAUAUAAAUCUUAUUGUUUAUUAUCAGAUUAAAAUGAUAAAAGUAUAUGACAUACAUAGAAGAAACAAAUUCAACACCAUGUUUUUGGAGUUUGGAAAAAAUUAAAGUGAAAAACCUACCUUCUAAACUGUUGUUAAAUAGAUCUAUUUCUUCGAGCGUAGUUGAAUUAAAAAUACUUGAUGGAAUCUGACCUGCACACAUAGUCGAAAAUUGAAGUGAAAUCAAACUCUUUUGUGAAAAAAAUAUUACCAGAUAAUUCAUUCCAACCCAGGUAAAGCCCUUCAAGCUUGGGAAGAUGUUGACACAUAUCAUUAGGCAAACUACCUGAUAGGCUAUUGUUGGAGAGAUUAAUGGUCUUCAAAGAAGAAAUGUUGAAGAUCGAAGUUGGAAUCUGACCUAUAAGGCCUUUAAUUGCUCUAAUACUAAGCCUUUCCAAACUAAGAAGAUUACCAAUUUCCUUAGGAAUUAGACCUGCAGACAGUCGAAAAUUCAAUGUUUUUCAGCAUAUGUUUUUCAUCAAAUGAAAUAAAAAGUUCUUCCUUUUGUUAUCUAUUACAAAUCAAACUCUUUUAUAAAAAAAAUACUUUAAAUUCAAGAAAUCAAGGAAAUUGAUUACCUUCUAGAUUAUUAAACCCCAAAUAUAAUUCUUGGAGUCGUGUUAGAUUUCCAAUACUUCUUGGAAUGAUCCCCAUAAAUUGAUUAUAGGACAACGACAAAAUAUUAAGGUUGUUGCAUUUGCCCAUGCCAAAUGGAAUGUUACUAGAAAACUCAUUGCUAUCCAAGUAAAGCCCUUCAAGCUUGGGAAGAUGUUGACACAUAUCAUUAGGCAAACUACCUGAUAGGUUAUUGUUGGAGAGAUCAAUGGUCUUCAAAGAAGAAAUGUUGAAGAUCGAAGUUGGAAUCUGACCUGUAAAGCCUUUAAUUGCUUUAAUAUUAAGCAUUUCCAAACUAAGAAGUUUAAAUCAAUUAAGAAUAAAAUUUUGGCAUGGAAAAAUGUGAUGAAAUCAAUUAAAAAGUUGAGACAUAAUAAGAAGUUUUGAGUCGUAAUUAGUCCUUCUGAUUUGUAUAGACAAAACAUAUAAUACACUAAUAAUAAUUAGUUUGGCAUGAGAAUGUGGCAUCUAAUCAAUCUUAAAAAUGAGAUGACACUGAAUAAUAAUUAGUUAUGAUUUGGGAAACAAAAAUGUUAAAGCCAUUGCUUUUAAUGUAAACUAGUAUGAUUUUUAUCUAUUGGGUUAAUUAUUUAUUUUUAUGAAAUUAUAGUGUAAAAUUUAAAGAUUAUUUUUAUCUAUUACAAAUCAAACUCUUUUAUGAAAAAAAUAUUUUAAAUUAAAGAAACAAAGAAAAUUCAAUAUCUUCUAAGUUAUUCCACUCCAAAUAUAAUCUUCAGUGAAGAAAUCUUGAAGAUGGAAGAUGGAACCUUACCAGAUAAUUGAUUGAAUCCCAAGCUCAAGGACUCUAGAUUAGACAUGUUAACAAGUGUUUCAGGGAUUGUGCCUAUAAAGUUAUUAUUUUUCAUUUUCAGCCUUCGAACUCCCUGUAAGUUCCCAAGCCAUGAUGGAAUUUCCCCAUUAAGACUGUUGUAUUUUAAUCGAAGGAUCCUCAAACGAUGCAAUUGGCCCAAUUCUUUAGGGAGAUGGCCAUAGAAAUGGUUUCUACUCAAGUCGAGAGAGAGUAGAAAUGAAAGAUUUCCAAGGUGUGGAGGGAUACUACCCCUAAGAUUCAUGCUUUUAAGUUUGGAAACAAAUUCAACACAAUGUUUUUGGAGUUUGGAAAAAAUUAAAGUGAAAAACAUACCUUCUAAUUUGUUGUCAGAUAGUCCUAUUAUUUCGAGCAUAGUUGAAUUAAAAAUACUUGAUGGAAUCUGACCUGCACAUAUAGUUGAAAAUUGAAGUGAAAAACAUACCUUCUAAACUGUUCAACUAAAAAAACUUUAAGCAUAUUUGUUUUUCCAUCAAAUUAACUAUUUUGCCUUGAAUGAAAUAAAAUGCUCUUACUUUUGUUAUUUAUUACUAAUCAAACUCUUUUCUAAAAAAAAACUUUAAAUUAAGAAACUAAGAAAAUUCGGUACCUUCUAGGUUAUUAAACCCUAAAUAUAACUUCUGGAGUCGUGUUAGAUUUCCAAUACUUCUUGGAAUGAUACCCAUAAAUUGAUUAUAGGACAACGACAAAUUUUUAAGGUUGUUGCAUUUGCCCAUGCCAAAUGGAAUGUUACCAGAUAAUUCAUUCCAACUCAGGUAAAGCCCUUCAAGCUUGGGAAGAUGUUGACACAUAUCAUUAGGCAAACUACCUAGGUUAUUGUUGGAGAGAUCAAUGGUCUUCAAAGAAGAAAUGUUGAAGAUCGAAGUUGGAAUCUGACCUGUAAGGCCUUUAAUUGCUUUAAUAUUAAGCAAUACCAAAUCAAGAAUAUUACCGAUUUCCAAACCAAGAAUUUAUAGAAGAAACAAAUUUAACACAAUGUUUUUUGAGUUUGGAAAAUGUUAAAGUGAAAAACAUACCUUCUAAUUUGUUGUCAGAUAGUCCUAUUAUUUCGAGCAUAGUUGAAUUAAAAAUACUUGAUGGAAUCUGACCUGCACAUAUAGUUGAAAAUUGAAGUGAAAAACAUACCUUCUAAACUGUUCAACUAAAAAAACUUUAAGCAUAUUUGUUUUUCCAUCAAAUUAACUAUUUUGCCUUGAAUGAAAUAAAAUGCUCUUACUUUUGUUAUUUAUUACUAAUCAAACUCUUUUCUAAAAAAAAACUUUAAAUUAAGAAACUAAGAAAAUUCGGUACCUUCUAGGUUAUUCAACCCCAAAUAUAAUUCUUUGAGUUGUGUCAGAUUUCCAAUACUUUUUGGAAUGAUCCCCAUCAAUUGAUUAUAGGACAAUGACAAAAUUUUAAGGUUGCUGCAUUUGCCCAUGCCAAAUGGAAUGUUACCAGAUAAUUCAUUCCGACUCAAGUAAAGCCCUUCAAGCUUGGGAAGAUGUUGACACAUAUCAUUAGGCAAACUACCUGGUAGGCUAUUGCUGGAGAGUUUAAUAAUCUUCAGAGAAGAAAUAUUGAAGAUGGAAGAUGGAACCUGACCAAAUAAUUGAUUGAAUCCCAAGUUCAAGAUCUCUAGAUUAGACAUGUUAACAAGUGUUUCAGGGAUUGUGCCUGUAAAGUUAUUAUUCUUCAUUUCCAGCCUUCGAACUCUCUGUAAGUUCCCAAGCCAUGAUGGAAUUUCCCCAUUCAGACGGUUGUAGCUUAAUUGAAGGAUCCUCAAACGAUGCAAUUGGCCAAAUUCUUUAGGGAGAUGGCCAUAGAAAUGGUUGCUACUCAAGUCGAGAGAGAGUAGAAAUGAAAGAUUUCCAAGGUGUGGAGGGAUAGUACCCCUAAGAUUCAUGCUUGUAAGAUUCAAAGCUAUAACUCUUUUAUGGAGGAUGCCACAAGAAACACCAAUCCAAUUGCAAACAGAGGUUGAGGCCGUCCAAUUGUUUGCCAAGACAUUUUGAGGACCGGCAAUGCGAUCCUUAAACUCGAGAAGUGCAAACUGAUCGGAGUUGAGAUUCCUGACUGUCAUACCCCAGCAAAGUCCGGAACAUGGUAUGAAUAAAGCUAAAAGAAGAUGAAAGCAAGUGUUGUAGUUCAUGAUAGCAAGACGGAAUAAGCCAAGAAAAUAAAAAAAAGUAGGACAAGGGAAGUUGAGUUGAUAAAAUAGUUUGGAUGAUGAAGAAAAGCCCAGAGAGCAUGCUUUAAUAUGUUUUGAAGAAAUUUCAAAAUAAAUUUCAAAAUAAAUUUCAAAAUAAAAAUUUAAAAAGGAAAGCAAAGUUUUGAAGAAAUUUCAAAAUAAAUUUCAAGUCUUCUUCUUUAAAAAAUACGUACAAAGAGCGAAUUUUCAAAAUUUUUCCUAAAUUUUCUUCACAUUACUCCACAUAAUCCAUUAAAAAAACUUAAAAAAUAUAUUUUAUUAAUUACUAUACAUUCUUUUAUUUUCAGAAUAAUAAAUUGUUUAAAAUUUGCUAUUAGUCCCUAUAAUUUAAAAGUUAAAAAAAAUUCAAUCCUCCUACUUUUCUAAUUUAAAAAUUUUAGUUCAAUCAAUUUUAAUUUUAAAAUCUCUGUAUAAAAGGUGUUUUUUUUGUGACCGAUCACACUUAACCAAUAUUUAAAAAUUAAUAAAAAAUAUUUUUUUUUGAAAUUUAAAGUGAUCUAAAAACAUAUUUUUAAGUGCUUUGGACCGUCUAUUGUUGAUUUCCUUAUUAUAUUAAGUGUUUGCAAUCACUCCUAAUAUAUUGUGCUUGAGUUGUGACAAAGCCGAUCAUCAAAUUGCCAUAAUGAUCUAUUGAUGCUGAAAUUGAAGUUUUUGUUAUAUUGAUAGAGCUUGUCCUUCAACGCGUACAACGUGUUUGUUAUUUUUCUCCCUUCAAAUUGUAUGAUCUUAUUCAUUAAAUGAAUUAAUGAAUUUCCCUUUUAAAAAGAUAUAUUUUUAAAAAUUAAAUACUUUAUAAAAUAUUUAAAAAUUUGUAAGCCUUAAAACAAUCAACAAAAUAUUUUUGAAAUUUUAUAAAUAUAUUUUAAAACUAUAGUAACGCUACAAAAUAUAUAUAUUUACUAAUUAUAUGCACCUUUUUUAUUUUUAUUUCCUAACAUAUCAUUAUUUUCAACACUAUCGUAAUCCUGUUUUGAUAAUUCCCUUUCCAUACAUCCUUUUUCUACAUAGAAUUUCAAAAGAAAAUGUGAAUUAAUGUAAACGUGAGAAGACUUAAUUACAUUUAUUAGUUUAUCAAUCAAAACUUAAUUAGAAUCCAUCAAUAUUUCACACAUCAAAAACCCAAACAUAAAAUUCACUUUUAAAUUAUUUGAAGAUACAUUUGUAUUAUAGGAAAUCGAUUAAAUUAGUCUUUUAUUAUUAAAUGUAUUAUUUUAAUCUUUGUAUUAGGUAUGAAUGAUAUCUCCUAAAUUGAAGCCAGAGCUAUUCUUGAAAGACUGAAAUUAGGAUUCAGAUGUGUUGAGAUGGAAAGUGACAACACAAUGUUGAUUGAAACUAUUUGUAACAGGUUGACUACAAUAAGUAGUGCUGCCGAAGUAAGACAGAUUCACGAUUGGUGUUCCAAAAAUUGGGAAGUCAAAUUUAGACAUAUUCAGCGGAAUGCCAAUAAAGUUGUUGAUUGCAUAGCUAAGGCAAAUGGAGGCGUAAUUGAGCAGCUGGUUAUCUUGGAAGAUCCUCUGCAUUAUGUGAGAUGGUAGCUUGAAGAAGAUAUUAGACAGUCACUAGUGACUGAUGAUAAUUUUCAUUUGGACUGAUGAGCGCUUAAUUUUCUAAGCUUAUGUUCAACAAAAAAAAUUUUAACUACGUUUAAAUUGUAAUAGAGUUAACAUUUAGUGUUUAAAAAAUAUCUUAAAAAUUAUUAUUUUUUCCAAUUGCAGUUCAAUUCCACAAAUAUCGACGAUGAAUCCGGACAUAAAAAUUAUAGAAAAAAAACACAUCUAUUAUCAAACCAACAAUCCAUGUCUAAACUUAAAUUAACAAAAUUUGCCACGCAACGCCCAGUACACUAUUAUAUAUAUACUAGAUUUAUUCUAGAUGCACAUGUUUUAUUAUAUUUAAAAUUUAAAAUAUAUGGUUGACUAAGUGUUAGUUGAGUUAGUAUUGCUAUUAUUGUCAGUGUAAGGAAAUGUGAGUUUAAUUGCGCUCAAAUGUGUUUUAUCCUCCAAUUCAAGGGUUAGGAAAAGGUUAUUGAUAAUUAAGUUAUACCAACUUUUAUGAUAUUAAAAAAAGGAUUUAUAAAUAAUAUAAGGAAAAGAAAGAAAGAGAAACAUAUUCAUAUUGAUGGGCUCUUUCAAUAUUAGACUUUUUUUUCUAUCACAAGUAAAAAUAUCAAAGGUGAUAAUAAUUAAAUUAUAAAAUUUAAAUUGAGAAAAUAGGGGAUUGAGUUUAUAAGUUUUAAAGUAUAAAGAAUGAAUAUAUAACUAACAACAUAUUUUAACCACAUAAUAAAAGUAGUUAUGGUAAAAUAAUGACCUGAAUAAUUUUAAACGUCUCAUCCUUGCAAAAAUGAAAUAAUAGAAAAGAAAUAAGUGUUGGGUGUAGUGGCAAUGUACAUCAUACUUCUAAGGGGAGAUUAGGGUUUUAGACAAGGGAAGAAUUUUAAACUUGCUCUUUUCUCUAGAACUCAACGCAAACCUCAAAUUUAUCUUUUUAAAAGAAUUUAAAAAUAUGUAUAUAAAAGGUGAUUUUUUUACCGAUCACACUUAACAAAAUUUUAAAAAAAAAUGAAAUUUAAAGUGAUCUAAAAACAUAUUUUUAAGUGCUUUAGACCAUCCUGUGCUGAUUUCUUUAGUAAUUUGAUUUGUUCAAUAUAGAUUUUGGUAACUUAAAACAAAAUUAAUAAAAAAUUAUUUUUUUAGAUAUCUUUUUAAUGUUUAAUAAUAAGUUAAUUUAUAAAAUAUACUUUCAUUGGACACAGGGCCUCCAAGGCGGUGAACCACUAAUCAAAUUAAUUUUGAGAUACUUAAAUUUGUUUUCAUCAAUUAAGAAAUUAAAAAAAUUGUUGAGACCUCAUGAUUAUGUUUUAUAAUUUCAGGCUUAUCAACUAUUUUGAAAAACAACAAAACGUCUUACACCAAAAACUAAAAAAUAAAAACGUCGACAUUAAAUUUGUUGGCAUGCAAUCAAUUUUAAGAUGGUUUUUGGAGUUAUAUAUCACCUUAGCAUUGACUUACUUUUCUACAGUUUGUCUUCUCCAACAAGUUAAAUAUUUCAAUUUUAACAACAUUGACAGGUCUUUGGGGUAGGGUCGAGCAAAAUUCAAUAAAAACAGAUGAUAUAAGUUGAGUUGGCUCGGCCAAGUCGAGUCGAUUUGUUCAAAUUAUUUAAAUUAGUAAAUUUUAGGGUGCAAUUAGAAUUUUUUGUUUUGAGAUGCUAAUUAGAUUAAAAAAUUUCAGUUGCUAAAACAAAAAAAUUGUAUUUAAAAAGGCAUAAAUUAAAUAAUUAAGUUUUUCGAGUUUCCAUUUAAUCAAAGGUUAAAAGGACUAAAUUGAAGCUUUUUAUUUUUAAGAAAGGCUGAAUGACAAAUUGCCCAAAGCCCAUGGCCCUAGCUAUACAACUAACUUUUCUAUGAUUAGUCCUUGGUUUGCUUUGGGUGAAAUCUUCCAACUAGCCUCAUCCUUGGUUUUACUUUCCAACAAUUAGUGUAUCGCGGGUUUUGUUUUCUUUAAAAAAUAUUUGUGGAUAUUAGGAGAUAAUGAAAAUUAUUUUACUAUGAAAUUUUAAUAAAACUGGAAAAUAAGUAAUUUAUUUUAAGAGAUCACAAUUAAACGUUAGAUUUCCCCUUUUUAAAUUAUAAAUUUUUUUUUGACAAUUGCAUAAUAUUUUGAGCGUUGUAGGAAUGCCAUAAUAUAACCUUCCCUACGCAUAAUCGACUCUUGAGCAUGAUGGAUCCUAGACCUUCUCCUCUAUUCUCGUACCACAAAUUGCUUCAAGUGUGGGUUCGAACAAUCACAAAUUAAACGCAAAACCAAAAAUGAUUUAUUACUUUCAAUAGCAAAGUAAUUCUCUCUCAAUAGAAACCAAUAGAAUUGUAAUUCCUAGAAAAUAAAAUUUAUUUUUUGAAAAUAUAUUCUCACUACUUUCUAGCAGAAUAACAAUAUGUGAAACUUAUGUCUUGUGUUAAUAGCUCUACCAGUACUAUCUAUUUAUAGGGAGAGACACGAGAAUCCUGGUUGAAUUAGUAAAACACGAAUAAUAUUUAUUUCAUAGAAAACAAUAUUCCACCCUAAGUAGAUCAAGUUUGUAUGACGCAUGGAUCAAAGCUCAAUCUAGGAGAAAAAAAACAAAGGAAUUUUCUUUGUAAAGAAAAUUUGAGAUUGUACUAUUUUCAAAGUUAUAAAUAAAAUUAUACGCCAAAUUUUCAAGUCAAUUUUCAACUCCAAUUUUGUAUGCACAAAUUUCUAAUACACUUGGUGGGACAUUCUUUGACUUUUAUCUAUUCUCUCAAAAAGUUAAAGUUCAAAGUUACAUUAAACUCAAAGAAGAUAUUCAUUAGUAAACCACCUCACAAGCCUGCUCAAGCUAAUCCUACAACUCGUUCCACUUCAUCAUCAAACACCAAUAUUCUUGCUUAUCCUUAUGGAAUUAAACAGUCUCAUUUUCUGCAUUUUGGGUACACACUUAGUUUUGUUUGAUGCUAAAACAGUCCCCGAGCACUCCAAAACCUAUAAUUGAACAAAUAAUACUAAUUUAAUCUUACAUAACAUGAUCCCAAAUUGAAAUUGUAUCGAGGUUUUAACCCAUAAGUGACUAAACCUUACCUUCAACCGAUGAACAGUAAUUCCCACACAAACUAAGACUCCAAUUGGAGAUUACGAGCCAUUGAAUCCUCCCCUAAUUGGCAUAAACAAAACACUUCAAAAGAAAGUUAACAAAUGGAGACAAAUCACUUAUCUAAAACUUACCGAACGAUCACAGAAAAACGUGGAGUGACACGAGGCAGAGUGGGAAAAGAAAAAUCAAGAGGAUGAAGGGUGAAAGAGAGCAAAAAUUCGGUAGCAAUGAAGAGAAAAACAGCAAGAAAGUGGAGGGAUUUUAGGGAAAGUAAAAAAAAAGAUGAAUAGAAUAUUUGAUAACUACCCAAUCCCUUAUUUCUCUCUAUCAAACUCCCCACUAAAUCCACUACUCGAAUUUUUAGUCCAUCUCAAACUCUCCUGGACGCACGAGCAAAAAAUAAUGACCAUGCCAAAAUUUAAACAAAAGACCUCCUUCACACCAACACUCCACUUAUCCACCAGACCAAUAGGCUCAUUCUUUUAAUUAUUUUCCAACUUUUACUUAAAAGCCUACUGACCAAAGAUAGGGCUUAUUCAUAAAAAUACCAAAUUUUGCCCAAGACCUGGCUUGAACUUGGGACCUCUCAAACACACCCAGAACACAUAACCACUAAAGCAGACAGAAAUUUUGUGUCACACAUUCACAAUACCCAAAAUUAAAAUUUUAGGGCGUUACAAAAACACAUUAAACAAUAUCGCAUAAAACAAUCACAGUCAGAUAACAAUUCAGAAUGUCGAUUUUACAAUUUAACCACCAAUAGUAUCAUAGUAUUCACAGUUGUAAUUUCAGAAUAUCAAAUUUCCACAUCAUUCACAAUAUUCACACAUAUAUAAAUAUAUCAUAAUAGAAUUCUAGAUUUGUAUGCACAUGAUUUAGAAGAUGCCAUACAAUUUUGGGUUUUAACAGAAUAAAUCCUACCCCACAUUACAUACCAUAAUGGGAGUUCCCCUAAACUCCCUUCUCCAACACACUAGGUUGUGGAUAAACCACUAUUGGUUCACAAAUAAUAACUGUCAUUUGGCUGUGGACACAUAGCAAGUCCCCGCAAUUGGAUUCUAGAUUUGGUUGUGGAUUCACAGCAAAAAAAUCCUACAAAUGAAGCCUGCUUUUGCCUGUAGAUUAUACAACAUAUACCCGCAGUUGGAAUCUGUCUUUGGCUGUGGAUGCAGUGUAACACCUCAAACUCGACCUAGACGUUAUGGCUAAAUCUUAAUGAUUUACUUUAACUCGCUAGAAAGCCCACGAAUUUACUUUAAAAUCAUGUGGUUAAACUAGUGUUCACUUUGAUAAAUCGUUUUCCAGUUUUAGAGAAAAUUCUUGUUAAAACUGUUACUUUAUUACAAUAAAACAUUGAAGUAAUUGUAUCAUUUUGUAGUGGAAUCUACUAAGCUAUAAGGUUUUGAAAAUCGUGAUUUAGUUUGAAACAAAUCAUUUUGCAAAUAGAAAUUUAAUACUACUUAAUUUGGAAAAGCACGCUAAAACGAAAGCAAAGUCCAAAAUAAUUUACGGUUUGAAAUUCUAAAAAGCCCAAAUUAGUCAUAAAGUCUAUUUAAACCAAUUUAUCGAAAGUGUAACACCCUAAACCCGGCCUGUAUGUUAUGGCCAAAUCUAGAUGUGUUACGAAAAAAAGUUUAUAAAACGACUUCCUUGUUAUUGGCAAAUCAUCGUAGCCAUUAUUACUUAGUAUAUCUGAUUUGUUUGGAAAACUUAUUGAUAUACUUAUUUGAUUUAAAAUCGUUGCUCACUUACGCCUUUUUAUUAAACCAAAUAUUUUGCAGCGGAGUUUCUUUAAAACAUCAUAUUUUGGAAAAUCAAAUUGUUUCUUGAAAAUCGUUAUUUUAGAAAAGUUGUCAUUUUCAGAAAAAUUAUUUUAUCAGUUGUUAUGCUGAGAAAACAAAAUAAAAUCCAAAACCAAAAAUAGUCCCAAAAAGUCUAGAGAGUCCCAAAAUGACAAUACUCUUAAAACUAGACAAGUUUAAACUAAUUUUAAAAGAAUGAAAUUUUACAGAAAUGUGGACACCACUGAGCUUCCGUCGCACCGACCCACCUAAAUCUGAGGGUUACUUGAACAGAAUAAACAAACAGAGAGUGAGUUUUGAAACUUAGUGUCUAACGCGUAUAUAAACAAAAAUUCAGAAUCAAUCUCAUGCAGAACAGAUACAAGUGUAAACCUUUUAUAAAAUUAGAAUUAUACAGAUACAAAUAUGCAACAUCCUACCCUCAUCCUCUACACACCAACUCCGACCAUUCUAUCACACCACGUGGGGUAUAAAAUACCCACCCAGCCCUACACACCGUAUAGUAUUUAUAUGACACUUUUUGGAAUAAUCGCAGCAGAGUUGCCAGUAUAUAGGCGAGAUAUCACCUCACACAGAACACUUCCUCCUCAUAAUACAAAUCCCGCCCCAUAGCCAGAUACAGACAAAAUAUCAUGUAAAAUAAAUUAACAGAUACUAGAGUUAACAUAUCACGCAUGAGCGUAUAAUAGAUAUUACACAUGCUUAUGCAUAACAAAAUAGAUCAUACAUAUUGUAUUCCAUAAUACUCAUAUAAAUGUUAUUUACGUCAAUCUCAAUCUAAUAGAGUAGCUGAUUUCAUGCUUUAACUCUUAUACCACACAUACAGACCCUAUAGAAGGCCCACAGUUGAUCGAGACAACAUGUAUGUCCCUAGGGAAAAAAUUUGUAAUUUGGGCCCAUAUGCAUGUAUGAGCCCACACACCCAAAAUGGCCUUGCCCAUGUGGCUCACCUACCUAGCACUCAGCCCAUACGGUCCAAAAUGGCCUAGGUCGUGUGUCACACACAGCCGCAUGUUGCACACAGCCUACCACAUAGCGAGUCACAAAACCGUUUGGAGUUGACAAGCCUAAUUUUUGGCUUUCGUCAAUCGUCAUUUUCUUACGUUUUCAUUACACACUUGGUUUGAUUCUGACCCAAAAGCAACCCUAAGUCCACCGAAACCUAAAAAUAGCAUUCCAAUGCCCAAUUUCAGUGAACAUUUACAAAACUUAAACAAAAACUAUCCAAAAACAUAGCCUCACAAUAGCAUCCAAUGCACUCGCACACUUACCGUCAACGAAUAGGAAACACCCAACACUCAAUUCGUUGGCGGAGCACCAAUUAUGAUAAUGCAAAAAUUUUAUGGAUUCUCAACACUAUCGAUCCAAAUGUAAGAUUGAUGCUUUCCAAUUAUGAUAAUGCAAAAAUUUUAUGGGAUGGUUUACAUGAAUUUUUGUUGUUGUCAACGAUCAAUGUAUUCAAUAAUUAAAAGAAAAUAUUAGUCGUUGUUAGAAAACCAAUACUAUGAGUGUUGUAGUUUAUUUCAGUAAAUUAAAGGUUUUGUGGGAUGAACUAGACAAUCAUGAACAAUUGAUUUAUUGCAAGUGUGGACAAUGUUUAUGUAACUUAGGGAAGACGGAUGAACAAUGUCGUGAGCAUGAUCGACUUCAUCAAUUACUUCUUGCUCUCUAUUCUAAUUGUUAUGCUCAAACUAGGUUUACAUUGUUUUACCAAGAUCCUUUGCCUUCCUUAAAUCAGGCAUUCCAACAAAUUACUUAGGAGGAACAUGUACGUGGAAUUACACUGAUUAAGGAAGAGAAGUCUGAUAUUUUAGGCUUUGCUUUGCAUACAGAAGGUCAUAACAAAGGCCGAGCUAAUUGUAUUGAUAAGUCAACCUUGUUGUGCACUCAUUGCUAUCGCAAAAGGCAUGAGAUGGCUACCUAUUUUGAAUUACAUAGCCACUUGGAUUGGCGGCUUAAGAAGUAUGGGAAGCCAGAGAAGAAAAGUGAUGAUCGUGGUGGUAAGACAAGUGCACAUCUUCCACGUAAGUAUUUUAUUUCAAAGGAUCACAAUUAAACAUUAGAUUUCUCAUUUUUAAAUUUUUUUUAUUUUUUUAACAACUACGUAAUUAACGAGUACCAAUUUUGGGUGUUGUAGGGGUUCUAUAACUUUCCCUAUAUGUAAUCGACUCUUGCACCCUCUUUUUUUCUCUAGAAUUCAAUGCAAACCUUAAAUUUAUCUUUUUAAAAGAAUUUUAAAAUCUCUUUAUAAAAGACGAUUUUUUUAGGUGACCAAUCACAGUUAAGAAAAACAAAUCGGUGGCAACUCCUUUCUAAUAAAUGUAAAAAACUUUUUAAACAAAAUAAGGUUGAAAUAAUCUAGUUGUCGUUAUACUUUGAUAAAAUUUUAGAUUUAGUCCUUAUACUUAAAAGGUUAAAAAUUAAGUCUUGUUUUUAUUUAAAAAUCUUAGUCCUAUCGUUAAUAUUGUUUUUUUUUUGUCAAAAUUUGUCAAGUUGACAUAUUAAUUAGGUUUCUCUUAUAUAUCGUGGUAUAUGACUAACACAAAAUAAACAAGUUGACAAAUUCUACAAAAAAUAUCAAAGAUGAUAAUAGUUUAAUUAAAAUUUUUAAAUUAAAAAAGUAAGGGAUUAAAUUUAUAACUUUUAAAGUAUAAUGAAUGAAAUUAUUGAAAUACAAGAACUAACAACAUAUUUUAAAAAUAUUACUAGUAAAUUAUAUAUCUACAACAAGAAUUGUAACCUCUUAUAUUAUAUUCUUGUAUUUAUUUUUGCAUCUUUCAUAAUAUGAUUUAUUAAUUUUAAUAUUUUUAUAGAAUAAUAUGCUUUAAAUAGUUUUUUGUAUCAUUUAUAAAAAUUAUAAUAAACUUACAAAAUAAUUUAAUGAUAUUUAAUUAUUAAUCGAAAAAAAUGAUAUCAUAUAUAUUAUGUAUAUAUUAAGAUUCCAAAUCAUUAAUUAUAUAUCUACGCAUUAUAAUAAAUUCAUCUUUCAAAAUUUUCCUUAUAAUUAAAGCAUAAAUUAUAUUUAUAAUAAUAUAAAUAUAUUCUAUCAUAAAUAUUCUUUCAAAUAUUUUUUAAUGUUUAAUAAUAAGUUAAUUUAUAAAAUAUUCUUUCAGUAAAUUAACGUGAUGAGAUCGUUAGGUGCUUGGAUUUGGUGAAGGGGGAUGAAGAGAAAAGGGAUGGAAGUGAAUAAAAAUGUUGAGAAAUGGAAAGGGUUAGCGAGGGAAGCCGCCAUGAAAGGUGGUUCAAUGGAUAUGAACCUUCAAGCUUUUGUGGAUGAUGUUACUCAAGGUUGUUGCAAGUAAAUUUAAAAAUGUUUUUAAAUUAUUUUUUUGUUAAAAAAACAUUUUUUACUUUUUUAUGUGGCAUGCCACAUUAUCAUACUAUCAUGUGACAAUUUCUGGUGAUUUCUGUCCGCAACAUUAGUCAAAUCAACUGUUAAAUCGUUCAACUCACAGUUUUUGUUAAAUGAAGAGGUUAAUUGAUUUUUUUUUGGAAUCAUUGAGUACUCAAUUGGUGCACUUUUUUCAUAAAGGCUAAAUUAAUUUUUUAAUUUGUUAUUGUUGAAGGCUAUAGCAAUAAAAAAAAUUGAGGUAAAAAAAUAUUAGAGCUAAAUUUGUCAUUAUGCCUAAAAUGUAAAACCAAAUUUUUUUGAAAAUGAAAAAAAAUGGAAAAUCGCAAAUUCCGUCGCAUAUUUUUGCUUAAAAUUAUAGUUUUGGUCACCAAUCUUUUGAAGUAAAUAUAGGUCACCAAUAUUAUCAAUUUGUUACUUUGUAAUAACUCACCUUAAGUUAUACCCCGACGCACGAAAGGAUUAAAUGACAUUGGGAUACCAUCAAACUUGUAUCUUAAAUACACAUUUACCCCUAAUUUUAUCACAUUCUUCUUAAUUGGUAUUUAUGGUUUAGAAAAUUUUACAAAUAUAUUAUUUUUUAAGAAAUUAUAAGAAGAUUACAAAAAUUCCAAAAUAAUAUAAAAAAGCUAAGGAAAACCUAGAAAUUCAAAAAAAAAAACGUGGACAUUGAAUUUGCUGUUUCACAUUAAAUUUUUGGAGAAGUAGAAUUUUCUAACUUAUUUUCCAUCAACUUCACUUCAAUUUUCAAUCACAAUCUAUUGCAUUCAAGAGCACCACAUCUUUUGGGAUGAAACAAACCUCUCAAUUUUAAGAUAAACGGAAUCUAUUGCAUUCAAGAGCACCACGUCUUUUUGGAUGAAACAAAGCUCUCAAUUUUAGGAUAAACGGGUCUUUAGGGUUAUAAAUUGAGGUCCUUUUCCACAAUUGCGGGUGAUUCGUUGAUAAUAACCUCAACAUUUCUGUAUCACAUUUAAUUCAAUUCCACAUUCAAUUUUUAGUUUUUAGAGAGAUGAUUGGGUUACAACAAUGGUUUGAAGUGAAGAUAUUUCAAAACAAGAUGAAUACUCUACCAAUAGUCAUAAUUUAAAAUGCAGGUUAUGUUUCAUUUCAGCUAAGUUAAAUGUUAAGAUUGAGGUUAAACCUUUUAGAGGUUGCUCGCAAAAGGAUCAAACCUUUAUAAAAUUGUUUAAAUGAAGGUCAAACCUCUUAAAAUAGACAAAUAAGGGCCUAACCUUUUAAAAGGUGUUCAAAUAAGGGUUUCUCAAAUUUUGUAUAUCAGGUUAUGUAUUUUACUCUAAACACAUCGACAUUUACCUAUUUUUUCUAUAAAUUGGGUUGAAGUGCAUGAAAAAACCUUAUUUAAGCACUUCUGUAAAGGUUAAACUCUUAUUUGACUAUUUUGAAAGGUUUGAUCCUUAUAUAAGCAACCUCUAAAAGAUUGAGUACUAAUUUGACAAGAUUGAGAAAUACCUAAAUUUGUUUUCAUGAAUCAAGAAAAUAAAAAAGAAAUGUUGAGAAAUAUUUUAGAGAUUCUUAGCUUUGACAAGUUCCCUCCAUCAUCUUCCUGCCUCCAGUCCCACCUCUUCUCUUAUGCUCCUCCCAGCUUCUUGCUUUUUGUGUGUUGAAAUUUCAAAGGAACAAAAUAUCAACCUACAUCAUAAGGCACGAUUGCCAGAACUUUACUUUCUAGCCUGUCGAUCCGAUCCAAUGAAAGAAGAACAAAGAGUCUCAAGAUCUGUCAACUUUAUUUCAUUUUCAUUUUCUUUGUCAUUUUCUAUGUUUCAUGUCGAAUACAAUGAAAGAACAUAGAAAAAUGUUGCCUAUUUAUUUCCCAAUCAUCAUGAAAUUACUUGCCAUAGACUUAGAAUUUUCUCACCAAUUUUCAAGCAAUCUGACAUGAUUUCUCAAUCACAAUUAAUUGAAUUCAAGAUCUUUUUAGAUGACACAAACAUUUCAAUUUUAACACAAACCAAUAUUUAGGUUGUACUUCAGUGCUUGACAAGCACUUUCACAUUUGUGGGAUAAGAACUCUUAACAUUUUAGGAUCACAUUUAAUUCAAUUGCAUUUAAGACCUCACGAUUUUAUUCUAUAAUUUCAGUCUUAUCAGCCUUUUCGGAAACAAUAAAACGUCGACAUUAAAUUUGUUGUUGAUGCAUUCAAUUUUUUGAGGGGUCUUUGGAGUUAUAUGUGACUUUAGCAUUGACUGACUUUUUUAUAAUUAAUCUUUUAUAAUAUAUCAAUUUUAAUAACAUCGACAUGUUUUUUAGUAGGGUCUAGCAAAACCCAAUUAAAACCGAUGAUAUUGGCUUAGUUGACUCGGUCAAGUCCAUUAGAUUGAUAAAAUCAAUUUUAAAAUCAGUUAUAAUGGAUUAAGGUAAUUAAUUAUCGAGUAAUGAAAUACAUAAUCAAAUCAAUUGAUUUUGUUAGAAACUAAAAGAAAAUGAGAUAAGCUGAAAACUGAUUGCCCUUUAUUAAAAUUAACGAAUCCGCCCUUUACGUAUUAGAUAAUACGAACAUCACAUAUAUAAUAAGAAAAAUUACGUAUGAUUAUUUAUUAUCAUAAAAGGUUAGUUUAAAUUUAAAGUAAUCUAAUAUGUUUAUUGAACUUCAACUAUUAAAUAAAGUAUAAGCUAAAUAAGUAUAAAUAUUCUAGAAACCAUUUCUAACUGAUGAUAGGCUAAUUCGAUUAAUUUAUAAAAACUACAUAGUAGGGUUAUAGUCCUCAAACUACACCUAAUUUAAUAAUAUUUAUAGUUUUUUUUUUAGCCUUAAACAUUUAUAGUUUUUUGUUAAUUUGGUCCUUACUCUUUAAAAUUACAUAAAAAUUGCAAAAAAAAUUAAAAUUAAUUUUUUUUCAUAAUUUUAAUAACAUUUAUAGUUUUUUUUUUGUGUGUGGUUUGGUAACUUAUCAACUCGACUCUCACUUGUAACCAACUUUUCUAACCUUUUUCGUACCCUUAACCUAAGUCCCGUUACAACUUUCUAAAGACCUCUUUAUCAGUGUAUCAUGUCGGUUUGUUUUAUAAUGGUGGAGAUUUGUUUUUUGUAGUGGCACGAUUGCCAGAACUUUACUUUCUAGCCUAUCGAUCCGAUCCAAUGAAAGAAGAACAAAGAGUCUUAAGAUCUGUCAACUUUAUUUCAUUUUCAUUUUCUUUGUCAUUUUCUAUGUUUCUUGUCAAAUACAAUGAAAAAAGAACAUAGAAAAAUGUUGCAUAUUUAUUUCCCAUUCAUCACUCUAACAGGCCCAAUUAGCCCAGGCCCAAACAUUAAUAAAAUGUCUAGAUUACAAAAUAAUCAACUAAAAAUUAAAAGCUCAAAAAAUAAAAUAAAACCCAUUAUAUUAACCCAAAACCCCAGCCCAAUUACAUUGAAACCCAAAAAAAAAAUAGUUUUCAGAAACCCCUAGGGUUUCAGAAGCCCCUCAAUGUUAUUUUGUAUAUCUAUUUAUCUUUUUAAAUUUUCGAUAUUGUCUUGUUUUGUUUUUGUAUUAUUGUUGUUACCAUCAUUAUUCAUUAUUAUUAUUGUUGAUUUUAUUGUUCUUUGAUUAAUGUUAAUGUUAGAGUAAUAGAUGUUAUGUGAUCAUUGUUAUUAUAUGUUAUAAUUUGUUUACACUCGUAUUGUAGUCAUUUGUCAGCUUAAUAUUUUGAGUAAUAUUUUAAAUAUUACAUUAAUUUCGACCCAAAUGCAUAAUUUUUUAAUAAGUAAUAUUUUAUAUUUUGAAAUUUGAGAGAUCAUUCCCUAACUUACGGGGUCUCAAUUUUUUCGAUAAAUCUGAAUAUACUAACUAUUUUCAAAAAAUAUGUUUUAAAAUUAUCUCGGGAAUUUAAAAAGGAGCGUGUUCUAACUUACUGAAUAUGAUCUUUUUUUUAAAAUCGAGAUAAUCAAAUAACUUUCAAAUAAAUAAAUUUUCAAUGUUUAUUCUCAUAUCAGGAUUUAAAAUAUUAUAUCCUAACUCACGGGAUACAAUUCUUUUUCUCGAUUAACAUGAAAUAUGCCCGUUUUAAUUUUAUUUUUUAAGUGAUUUUAACAAAAGGAUUGUAUUUUAAAUCUCUUCAAAAUUUUCAAUUUUUCGACAUUGAGACAUUAACUAAUCAAUUAGGUACCAAUUUUGGGCGUUACGAGGGUGCUAACCCUUCCUCAUACGUAACCGACUCCCGAACCUAUUUUUCUGAAUAUUGAAGGCCAAAAUUGUUUUAAUAAAUUAAACCCUUAAGACGUGACCCCAUCACACCUCAUAAAAAUUAUCGGUGGCGACUCUCGUUUGCGUUUUUGUUUUCGUUUUCAAAAUAAAAGUCGACCCCUUGUUUUAAAAAAGGUGGUUCGAUAGCUUGGCGACUCCGUUGGGGAAAAAAAUAAGAGAGUCAAGCCACGAGUUGAUUAUUUCUUAUUUUUUGUCAGAAAUUGUGAAUUCGAUUUAAAUUUACGAUCUUUUCAUUGCAUUUUAUGGUCUGCAUCAUUUUGAUAUGCUUGCUUUACUGGUUCGAGUCUUUUAAUCUCCGCAUAUUGCAUUGCAUAACCGUUCGGUUAUACCCUUUUAAGUGGGAGUGAGAAACUAUUCAUUUGUGAGAUUUUUACCUCCGUAUAGGAUAGUGGAUUACUUUCGGGAUACAUCCGUACCUAUGUCUUCGUGAGAUUUUCAUCUCCGUAUAGUUAUAGGGAAAUGUAUUCCCCUGAACUGAACUCAGUCCGUAUGAGCCUAUAAUAGGUAAGGAUUGAGGAAUCUGCUGGUUCAGGUACCCUUUCUUUAGAACUAAACUGCAUGUAGUGAGCCCUAAGAGCAUACCGUAGGUAGAACCACUCCAAACCCCUAGUGGUCACCCAAAUAGGUGCUCUAUUUAUUUUUGCUUGCUUAUUUUUGCAUUGUACUAACCUAUUUUUUUGUUAUGAUUGCAUUGCAUUUUCAUCAUAAAAAAGAUGUGUUGAUUCACGUUCAAUUGCUAAAUAGAGAGCUUGUCAUGGAAAACGGAUUUCUUGAUAAAGUGGAAGACAAUGUGGUUAUCCGGAUAUGGUCCAAGAAAAUUUGACGAAAGAAGGGUGAUAGUCUAAUGGAGGACUACACGACCUUGCUUUAUUGCCCGAGGAUUCAAGUUGACAAAGAUUAUUUGAGAGUCCUCAAUGUCCCGACCUUUUUCAAGAAGCUAACGAGUGUCACGAGGAUGAGUGAGUAAUGAGUUGCGGCCCGGAUCAAGCAAAAAAGAGAUAGAGGAGACACCCUUUUUGAAGAGUUCGCGAGAUUUAUAUUAAUAUCAAAAUGAAGAAAAAGAUCAAUGUCUUCGCCUGGAGUAUGAAAGCAAAGCUGUAUAUAUAUCCGCUUUAUGUAAAUAAAUUUGUUUUCUAGUAAAGUUUUUCUAAUAGAAUUGAAUCAGAAUCAAUGUCUUUUUUUGCAUUCAUUCCAUUCAUCUGCAUUGCAUUUCAUUGCAUCCAAAAUUUCACAAAAGGACCCUAAUUAAUUGAAAUUGUUAUAGUUACUCUGAAAACUAAUAAAAAUCUACCAAUUAAAUAUUCCUACGGUACCCGUCGCAAAACCAAAGUAAUGGAUCAAAUAUUAGAAAGAUUAGAACAAAUUCUGAAAGACAAGCAUAAUCGUUUUUGCUUAGGGUACAAGCCAGAUACAAGACAAAGAAGGAAGGAGUUAGAGAAGAAAUAGGAAAGAAUGACAGCAUAUUUGAGCGAGGAUGAGGUCAAAUGGGAGCCUAUGAACUUUCCCUACAUAUCCAAAACUUUUGUAUCGGGAGGGAUUAUUCAUCCCGAGCGAAGAAUGCCAAGAGAAGAAAAUAUUGAAGAAAUGUUGGGAAACGUUCACAUCAAUGCCAUAUACGAAGAAGUAGUUGAAGGAUGGACCUUGUUAGAUAUCCGACCUUAUGAACCUGGGAGUGUGCUAAACAAUUGGACUACAGAAGAAAUUCCUGUAGUGUUUAGACCUUACUCAGAGUAAUAUUCAAAACACACUUGUUGCUUUUAGCCUAGAAGUGAUAAGAAUCCCUCUGUGAAAUAGGCUCAUGUAUAAACAUCAUUAUUUUAAUAAAGUAAAUCUUUGCAUUCAUUUUGAGCAAAUAUUCUUUUAUUCUUUCCAUACGAGUAAUUAUUUUAGAUUUUUCAUUAUUUUAGGAUUUUCUUCCAAAAAUCAUUCUUUUAUUACAUUCAUAAUCAUACUGUACAAAUAAUUAUUCUUAAAUUCAUUCAUUCUUUGUAUAUUCUUUUGUACCUAUAAUAGGUCCCUAGAUAUCAACGACAUGAGUGACGCUGCUACAGACUUAGAAUUUCCUUUUAAACAAGACAUGUGUUUAGAGGGAUCCCAUGACUUUGAAGAUGACGUAGACUGUGGCUUAUCUCCGGACUUGUUAAGGAUGGUAAAACAAGAGGAGAAGCAAAUCCUACUUCACAAUGAAUCAAUGGAAAUUGUGAGCUUAGAAGGGGAAAAUAGGUGAAGAUUGGGACUGACAUUGCCACAAAUACGAAGUAAGACCUCAUUGAGUUACUCUAAGAAUUCAAAGAUAUUUUUGCAUGGUCAUACUAGGAUACGCUCGGGUUAAGUACUGACAUUGUAGUACACUGCCUUCCUAUAAAAGAAGAUUGCUAGCCAGUUCAGCAGAAACUCCAGAGGAUGAGGCCUGAUAUUGUGCUAAAAAUAAAAGAAGUCAAAAAGUAAUUUGAUGUUGGGUUCUUACAAGUGGUCAAAUAUUCAGAAUGGGUAGCCAACAUCGUCUCAGUUCCUAAAAAAAAUGGGAAAGUACGAAUGUGCAUGGAUUACAGAGACUUGAACAAGGCCAGUCGAAAAGACAAUUCCCUAUUGCCUCACGUUGACACUUUGGUGGAUAAUACAGUAGGCUACUCACUUUUUUCCUUCAUGGAUGGCUUCUCUGGAUACAAUCAGAUAAAGAUGCAUCCAAAAACAUGGGAAAGAUUACAUUCGUGACCCUGUAGGAAACGUUUUACUAUAAAGUGAUGACAUUCAGAUUAAAGAAUAUGGGAGCGACGUAUCAAAGGGUGAUGGUAACCUUGUUUCAUGACAUGAUUUACAAGGAAAUCGAGGUUUAUAUUGACGAUAUGAUUGCAAAAUCUAGAACAGAAGAGGAACAUGUGCAGGUCCUGAGAAAAUUAUUCUUAAGACUGAGAAAGUUCUAGCUCAAGCUUUCCAACGAAAUGCACUUUCGGAGCUAGGUCAGGAAAGCUAUUAGGCUUCAUAGUCAGUGAAAAAGGAAUCGAGAUCAACCCAGACAAAGUCAAGGUAAUAAGAGAUUUACCUCCACUAUGCACUCAGAAGAAAGUUCGAGGUUUCCUAGGAAGACUAAAUUACAUUGCUCGGUUUAUUUCACAACUAACCGAAAAAUGUGACCCCAUAUUUCAUCUUUUAAAGAAACAUAAUCCAGAUGUAUAGGAUGAAGAAUGUCAGGAAGUUUUUGAUAGGAUAAAGCAGUACCUAUCAAAUACUCUAGUGCUGUUACCACCUAGCCCAGAUAGGCCACUGAUAUUGUAUUUAACAGUGUUUGAUAAUUUUAUGGGAUGCAUGCUAGGCCAACAUGAUGAGACAGGAAGGAAAGAAAGGGUUAUAUACUAUCUCAGUAAGAAAUUCACUGAUUAUGAAAUAAGAUACUCGUCUAUUGAGAAAUUAUGUUGUGCCUUGAUCUGGAUAACUCGGAGGCUAAGGCGGUACAUGUUGUACCAUACGACUUGACUAAUUUCAAAGUUAGACCCUUUAAAGUAUAUGAUGGAGUCAACUACUUUGAAUGGGAGGAUGGCCAGAUGGCAGAUUUUACUUUUUGAAUUUGACAUACUUUAUGUGAGCCAGAAGGCUAUAAAAUGGAGUGCAAUAGCGGAUUUUCUAGCUAGCAGAGCCUUGGAGGAUUAUGAGCCUUUAAAUUUUGAUUUUUUGAACGAGGACUUAAUGUAUGUGGCAACCACUAAAGAAAAUGCUCAAGUGGAUCGCAUUUGGAAGCUAAAAUUUGACGGAGCCUCAAAUGCUAUGGGUAAUAAAAUUGAGGCAGUCUUAGUAUCCCCGAGCAGAGAUCAUUAUCCUAUUGCUGGCAAAUUGGAUUUUGAUUGUACAAACAAUAUAGCAGAAAAUGAAGCGUGUAUUAUGGGCAUCCGUAUAGCCAAAGAAUGUAAAAUCAAAGUGCUAAAGGUAUAUGGGGAUUCUGCAUUGGUGAUAUAUCAGCUCAAAGGAGGAUGAGAGAUAAGAGACCUCAAAUUGAUUAAUUAUCGAAAGUUUAUUCUCGAAUUGAUUGAUGAGUUUGAUGAUAUUACUUUCUCCUAUCUCCCACUAGAUGAAAACCAGAUGGCUGACACGUUGGCUACUCUAGCUUUCAUGAUCAAAGUAAACAAACUAGAAGACAUGAAGCCUAUCCAGAUGAGCAUUUAUGAGACUUUGGCUCAUUGCUACAGUAUCGAGGAAGAGGAAAAGGAUGAUCAUCCUUGGUACCAAGAUAUACUGCAAUAUGUAAAGAAUCACGAGUACCCUGAUCAGGCAACGAAGAAUGAUAAGAGGACAUUGAGAAGACUAGCCACUAACUAUGUCUUACAUGGAGAGAUUUUAUACAAAAAGGGAAAGGAUCGGGUACUACUAAGAUGCUGGAUGCUAUAAAAGCUUAGAAAAUCUUGGAGGAAGUCCAUGAAGGUAUCUGCAAAAUGCAUGCCAACGGUUUCACAAUAGUAAGACAGAUUAUGAGAUUCGGGUACUACUGGUCGACCAUGGAAGGAGAUUGCAUCAAUUAUGCCAAGAAGUGCCAUAAAUGUCAAAUUUAUAGAGACAAAAUACACGCACGUUCUUCACCUCUCAACGUUAUGACUUCUCUAUGGCCUUUCUCUAUGUGGGAUAUGGAUGUCAUCGGGCCAAUAUUGCCAAAGGCUUCUAAUAGGUAUCGUUUCAUCUUCAUGGUCAUUGGUUACUUCACUAAAUAGAUGGAAGCUGAUUCAUAUGCUAAUGUCACGAAGUCAGGAGUCAGCAAGUUCUUGAAAAGGGAGAUCAUAUGUUGAUAUAUAAUGCCUGAAAGAAUCAUAUCUGACAAUACAUUGAAUUCGAAAAAUAGCAAAAUAGCGGAGGUCUGCAAUCAAUUCAAGAUCAAACACCAUAAUUCGUCACCAUAUCGCCCAAAAAUGAACGGAGCAGUGGAGGCGGCCAACUAAAAUACCAAGAAAAUUGUGGGGAAAAUGUCUGAGACUUACAAAGAUUGGCAUGAAAAAUUACCAUUUGCCCUCUUUGUUUAUCGAACAUCAAUCAGGACUUUCGUCGGGGCAACGCCUUUCUCUCUAGUUUAUAAGAUGGAGGCAGUUUUACCCAUUAAAGUUGAAAUCCCUUCUCUCUGGGUAUUGGCUGAGCUAAAGUUGGAUGAAGCUGAAUAGAUCCAACCUCGAUAUGAUCAGUUGAACCUAAUAGAAAGAAAAAGGCUAAAAGUUAUUCACCACGGUCAGAUGUACCAAAAACGAAUGAUGCGAGCCUACAACAAAAAAGUUCAUCCCAAAGAAUUCUAUGAGGGGGACCUAGUGUUGAAAAAGAUUUUUCCUCUACAAAAGAAUUUUAGAGGAAAAUGGAUGCCAAAUUAGGAAAGACCUUAUGUUGUAAUAAAGGCCUUUUCUGGAGGAGCAUUGAUUUUGAGUGAGAUGGAUGGUAAAAAUUUUCCUAAUCUUGUAAACUCAGAUUCAUUCAAGAAAUACUUCACCUAAAGAAGGAGAAGGGACCAAUGUGAAAACCUGCAAAGGGCACUUUGAGUCUUAAAAAAAAGAGACCAAGGUGAAAACCGCAAAUGGUGUCUUAAGUCCUAAAAAAAAGAGGCCAAGGUGAAAACUAGCAAAGGGCGCCUUGAGACCAAAGGGGAUUUGAGUUGAAAACCCGAAAAGAGCGACUCAAAUAUUGAUUAAAAUGGGGCAUGCAGUGAUCUUGCUAUACUUGAAUUAAUAGGAAAGGGGUAUACGACAUCUUGGGGCAUCGACAAAGUACUAUAGAUCUCCUAAACACAUUUCAAACUCAAAAUGGUCUUUAGGAAGUUUGUACAGAGAAAUUCAAGCUGCGAUGUCUAGGGCACCUAGUCUUCAUACUAUUUAUAUUAAAUUUGCUAUUCUUGGAAUACUUUAUUCUUUUCAAGAUACGUGUUCCCAAUCAAUUCCCUUUUUAUUCUUCUUUAUCCUUGAUAAUUUAUUCAUUUCGAGCUAUGCUCCAAAUCAAUUCUAUUCUUAUCCAUUGUUAUUAUCUUUUGCAAGCAUGUUGUAUUGGAAUAAUGAUUAAUAGACUAAUAAUACUUUUACAAAUAAAGUGCUGUAUAUUACUCUAAAAGUUUCUAAAUAAUACAAGAACCUAAAACAGGACUAUUGUUUAGAACGCACCGGGUUUAAAGGUUAGAAAUAUCUGAGAAGGAAGAGUCCAAAUUAAGACUAUCCCUUCGAAUUUUGUUGUCAAAAUAUUGAUUGAACAAAACGACAAGAUAUCGUAUUGGUGAACAAACGAGCAAUGAUCACCAGGUAAUAAAAAGAGGUUAUUUUGGAAAAAAAAUUACAUUGGUACGACACCUUAGGAAUGGUGUAAGAGACCAAAGAGGUUCACAUCUUGUAUUCUUGAAUUGCAAUAGGAGAGGAUUGAGAAAGAGCUAGAUAUUAUACUCCUGAAUUAUAAUGGAAGGGAAAUGGUACAAAUUUUAUGUACCAAAAGUACAGUGGAUUGAACCUUGAAGAUUACAGUAGGGGAAAUCUGAUUAAGUAAAAUAUGAAGUGUUUCUUUGGAGAUACCAGUCGAACAAGAUGGCAUUAUGACGUGUCGGUGAUAGAGCCUUAAUGAAUAAUGAGCAAUAACAACUCAAGCAUUAAGGGAUCAUUUUCAUAACAUUCUGUAUUCAUUCAUACACAUCUAGUUAGGAGAUUUUGAUUCAUUCCGAUCAUAACAUCCAAAUCACUAGACAUAAAUAGGCCCAUGAAAUGGAUUCUACAGGUCAUGUUCCCCAUAGAACAGAUGGGUGAAACCACAAAUCCUAUACCGCUGAAGUUGCAGUGGGAUGGAUUGAAGUCAUUAUGGCGAGUCUUAUCUCCCUGAAGUUGCAAUGGAGCAUAUUAAAGCUAGUAAUCUUAUCUCCCUGAAGUUGCAGUAGAGCGGAUUGAAGUUACAAGUCUUAUCCCCCUAAAGUUACAGUGGAGCAGACUGAAGAUAGUGAAUCUUAUUUCCCUGAAGCUGCAGUGGAACAAAUUGAAGCUAUAAAUUGUAGAUUUUAUCUCUCUAAAGUUGCAAUAGAGAAGAUCAUAUCAAACUUUAUCUCCCUGAAGUUGUAGUGGAACAGGUUGAAAAUACCAAUCUUAUCUCCCUGAAGUUACAGUGGAGUAGACUGAAGAUAGCGAAUCUUAUUUCUCUGAAGUUGCAGUGGAACGGAUUGAAGCUAUAAAUUACAGAUCUUAUCUCUCAGAAGUUGCAGUAAAGCAGAUCAUAGAAAACCUUAUCUCCCUGAACUUGCAGUGGAGUAGGUUGAAGUUAUAAGUCUUAUCUCCCUAAAGUUGCAGUGGAGCAGACUGAAGAUAGCGAAUCUUAUUNNNNNNNNNNNNNNNNNNNNNNNNNNNNNNNNNNNNNNNNNNNNNNNNNNNNNNNNNNNNNNNNNNNNNNNNNNNNNNNNNNNNNNNNNNNNNNNNNNNNNNNNNNNNNNNNNNNNNNNNNNNNNNNNNNNNNNNNNNNNNNNNNNNNNNNNNNNNNNNNNNNNNNNNNNNNNNNNNNNNNNNNNNNNNNNNNNNNNNNNNNNNNNNNNNNNNNNNNNNNNNNNNNNNNNNNNNNNNNNNNNNNNNNNNNNNNNNNNNNNNNNNNNNNNNNNNNNNNNNNNNNNNNNNNNNNNNNNNNNNNNNNNNNNNNNNNNNNNNNNNNNNNNNNNNNNNNNNNNNNNNNNNNNNNNNNNNNNNNNNNNNNNNNNNNNNNNNNNNNNNNNNNNNNNNNNNNNNNNNNNNNNNNNNNNNNNNNNNNNNNNNNNNNNNNNNNNNNNNNNNNNNNNNNNNNNNNNNNNNNNNNNNNNNNNNNNNNNNNNNNNNNNNNNNNNNNNNNNNNNUCAAAGGAACAAAAUAUCACCUACAUCAUAAGGCACGAUCGCCAGAACUUUACUUUCUAGCCUGUCGAUCCGAUCCAAUCCAAUGAAAGAACACAAGGAGUCUUAAGAUCUGUCAACUUUAUUUCAUUUUCAUUUCUUUGUCAUUUUCUAUGUUUCAUGUCGAAUACAAUAAAGAGAACAUAGAAAAAUGUGGCCUAUUUAUUUCCCAAUCAUCAUGAAAUUACUUGCCAUUGACUUAGAUUUUCUCACCAAUUUCAAGCAAUCUGACAUGAUUUCUCAUCACAAUUAAUUGAAUUCAAGAUCUUUUUAGAUGACACAAACAUUUCAUUUUAACACAAACCAAUAUUUCGGUUAUACUUCAGUGCUUGACAAGCACUUUCACAUUUGUGGAUAAGAACUCUUAACAUUUUAGGAUCACAUUUAAUUCAAUUGCAUUUAAGACCUCAUGGUUUUAUUCUAUAAUUUCAGUCUUAUCAGCCUUUUCGGAAACAAUAAAACGUCGACAUUAAAUUUGUUGUUGAUGCAUUCAAUUUUUUGGGUCUUUGGAGUUAUGUGACUUUAGCAUUGACUGACUUUUUUAUAAUUUAAUAAUAAGGUAAAUAUAUUAAUUUUAAUAACAUCGACAUGUUUUUUAGUAGGGUCGAGCAAAACCCAAUUAAAAUCGAUGAUAUUGGCUUAGUUGACUCGGUCAAGUCCAUUAGAUUGAUAAAAUCAUUUUUAAAAUCAGUUAUAAUGGAUAAAGGUAAUUAAUUAUCGAGUAAUGAAAUACAUAAUCAAAUCAAUUGAUUUUGUUAGAAACUAAAAGAAAAAGGGCUAAGCUGAAAAUUGAUUGCCCUUUAUUAAAAUUAACGAAUCUGUCUUUUACGUAUUAGAUAAUAUGAACAUCGCAUAUAUAAUAAGAAAAUUACGUAUGAUUAUUUAUUAUCAUAAAAGGUUAGUUUAAAUUUAAAGUAAUCUAAUAUGUUUAUUGAACUUCAACUAUUAAAUAAAGUAUAAGCUAAAUAAGUAUAAAUAUUCUAGAAACCAUUUCUAACUGAUGAUAGGCUAAUUCGAUUAAUUUAUAAAAACUAGAUAGUAGGGUUAUAGUCCUCAAACUACACCUAAUUUAAUAACAUUUAUAUUUUUUUUAGCCUUAAACAUUUAUAGUUUUGUUAAUUUGGUCCUUACUCUUUAAAAUUACAUAAAAAAUUGCAAAAAAAUUAAAAAUUAAUUUUUAUCAUGAUUUAAUAACAUUUAUAUUUUUUUUUGUGGUUUGGUAACUUAUCAACUUGACUCUUACUUGUAACCAACUUUUCUAACCUUUUUCGUACCCUUAACCUAAGUCCCGUUACAAUUUCUAAAGACCUCUUGAUUGGUGUAUCAUCUCGAUUUGUUUUUAUAGUGGUGGAGAUUUGUUUUUUGUAGUGGGCAUGAUUGCCAGAACUUUACUUUCUAUCCUGUCGAUCCGAUCCAAUGAAAGAAUAACAAAGAGGUCUUAAGAUCUGUCAACUUUAUUUCAUUUUCAUUUUCUUUGUCAUUUUCUAUGUUUCUUGUCACAUACAAUGAAAGAAGAACAUAGAAAAAUGUUGCCUAUUUAUUUCCCAAUCAUCAUUCUAACAGGCCGAAUUAGCCCAGGCCCAAACAUUAAUAAAUGUCCAGAUUACAAAAUAACCAACCAAAAAUUAAAAGCCCAAAUAAUAAAAUAAAACCCAUUACAUUAACCCAAAACUCCAGCCCAAUUACAUUGAAGCCAAAAAAAUAGUUUUUAGAAACCCCUAGGGUUUCUGGAACAAUCCGCGCCGCUCCUCCAUCCGCUUCUCCACGCACGCUGCACCUUUCCACGUGCGCCUCCAGCUGGCAGUGUACCUCCAAUGCAACAAACAAAGCAACAAGCAGCAAAAGAAAUGGAAAAACAACAAAAAAAAAAGAAGGAGCAACAAUGUAUAACAGAUUGAUAACAAAUAAUAGAAAAAAUAGCAGUAAAUAGGAAAAAAAAUUAAAAAAUAAUGAGGGUAAUUUCAUUUUUUUCUCUGUUUUGGCUAUAAAGAGAGCCGGUCAAAAUCUCUAAAGGGGGAUUUAGAAUCAAUCAGAAAACAAGUAUUUUGUACCAACAAUUAGAGAAAAAAAAUACAAAAAUAGGGAUUGAAGGUUUUUUUUUUCUUUCGUUUCGAUUUAUUUAAAAUAGCAUAGAAAAUAAAAAGAAGGCUUACCUUGCGACGCCUUCAGAUCCUCUCGAAAAGGGGCUAAAAGGCCCUAUGUGGCACAGAUUUGACCACUGUUCACGGUGGAACCGCAGCGGAGGCGCAGAGGAUUGGCAUCAAUUUAGGCAGGGUUUGAAACCCUAGCAGAGAAAAAAUUAGGGUUGAUAGAUUUUUUUUAAAAAAAUGGCAAAAUGUUGUUUUUAAAAAAUUUUGUUUUAAAAAAAUUGUUGCUUUUAUAAAGGGUGUAAAACGGCGUCGUUUAGGGCAUGUUUCGAUGGCCCCAAAACGGCGCCUUAUAAGGCAACCCCCGACGACCCGACCUGCUCCAUGGGGGAUCCGCGUGGUUUUUGUUAAAUGGGUUAUGUCUAACCCUGGCCCUUCUACUUUUUAUACUUGUUUUAAUUUGAUCCUCUUUUUAUUUAUUUUUAUUUCUUUAAAUUAAGCCUGAUAAUUUUUUUCCAUUACAUUUUAAUCCUUAAUGAAACGGCGCGUUUUAGAGGAGAAGGGAAAAUUACCCUUCUAGUCCCUUCUUGUUAUUCGAGUGUUCAGAAGGGUCCUUUUUUGUUUAUUUUUUAUUUGCCCCAAAAUUUUGUUUUAAAGCUUAAUUUAGUCCUAUUUUGUUAUUUUAGCUAUUUUAUUAUUAGAUUAAUUAAUUUAAUAUUAUUAUUACUGCUAUUAUUUUACCCCUAUUAGUUAUAUAUUUAUUAUUAUAACUAUAUCAUUAAAUCAAUUAGUUUUUACAUUAUUAUUUCCAUUCUGUUUUUUAUUUACUUACUUAAAUACUUUAAAUGCAUUUAUUUUAUUUCUUAUUUUUUUAUGAAAUUUCAAAACUUUAGACUAUUUUUUUGUUACUAUAACCCUAAUUUCAUUCAUUUUAUAAUAGUUUUUUUUUAAAAUAUUUCUUAGAUUAAUUCCCUCGAUGUUAUUUUGUAUAUUUAUUUAUCUUUUUAAAUUUUCGAUAUUGUCUUAUUGUAUUAUUGUUGUUACUAUCAUUAUUCAUUAUUAUUGUUGAUUUUAUUCUUCUUUGAUUAAUGUUUAUGUUAGAGUAAUAGGUGUUAUGUGAUCAUUGUUAUUAUAUGUUAUAAUUUGUUGACACUCGUAUUGUAGUCAUUCGUCAGCUUAAUAUUUGAGUAACAUUUUAAAUAUUACAUUAAUUUUGACCCAAAUGCAUAAUUUUUUAAUAAGUAAUAUUUCGUAUUGUGGAAUUUGAGAGAUCAUUCCCUAACUUACGGGGUCUCGAUUUUUUUGAUAAAUCUGAAUAUAAGAACUAUUUUAAAAAAAUACGUUUUAAAAUUAUCUCGGGAAUUUAAAAAGAAGCGUGUUCUAACUUACGGAAUAUGAUCUUUUUUAAAAAUCGAGAUAAUCAAAUAUCUUUCAAAUAAAUAAACUUUUCGUGUUUAUUCUCGUUUUAGGAUUUAAGAUAUUGUGUCCUAACUCACGGGACACAAUUCUUUUUCUCGAUUAACGUGAAAUACGCCCUUUUUAAUUUUAUCUUUUUAAGUGAUUUUAACAAAAGGAUUGUAUUUUAAAUCUCUUCAAAAUUUUCAAUUUUUCGACAUUGAGACAUUAACUAAUCAAUUAGGUACCAAUUUUGGGCGUUACAAGGGUGUUAACCCUUCCUUGUACAUAACCGACUCCCGAACCUAUUUUUCUGAAUAUUAUAGGCCAAAAUUGUUUUAAUAAAUUAAACCCUUAAGAGGUGACUCGAUCACAGCUCAUAAAAAUUAUCGGUGGCGACCCUUGUUUUAAAAAAGGUGGUUUCAACAGCUUGGCGACUCCGCUGGGGACAAAAAUAAGAGUCAAGCCGCGAGUUGAUUAUUUCUUAUCUUUUUGUCAGAAAUUGUGAAUUCGAUUUAAAUUUAUGAUCUUUUCAUUGCAUUUUAUGGUCUGCAUCAUUUUUAUAUGCUUGCUUUACUACUUCGAGUCUUUUAAUCUUCGCAUAUUGUAUUGCAUAACCGUUCGGUUAUACCCUUUUAAGCGGGAGUGAGAAAUUAUUCUUUCGUGAGGUUUUCACCUUCGUAUAGGAUAGUGGAUUACUUUCAGGAUACAUCCAUACCUAUGUCUUCGUGAGAUUCUCAUCUCCGUAUAGUCAUAGGGAAAUGUAUUCCCCUGAACUGAACUCAGUCCGUAUGAGCCUAUAAUGGGUGAGGAUUGAGGAAUCUGCUGGUUCAGGUACCCUUUCUUUAGAACUAAACCGCAUGUAGUGAGCCCUAAGAGCAUACCCUAGGUAGAACCACUCCAAACCCCUAGUGGUCACCCAAAUAGGUGCUCUAUUUAUUUUUGCUUGCUUGUUUUUGCCUUGUACUAACCUAUUUGUUAUGGUUAUGAGUGCAUUGCAUUUUUAUCAUAAAAAAGAUGUGUUGAUUCACGUUCAGUUGCUAAAUAGAGAGCUUGUCAUGGAAAACGAAUUUCUUGAUAAAGUGGAAGACAAUGCGGUUGUCCGGAUAUGGUCCAAGAAAAUGUGAAGAAAGAAGGGUGAUAGUCUAAUGGAGGACUACACGACCUUGCUUCGUUGCCUGAUGAUUCAAGUUGACAAAGAUUAUUCGAGAGUCUUCAAUGUCCCGACCUUUUUAAAGAAGCUAACGAGCGUCACGAGGAUGAGCGAGUAAUGAGUUGCGGCCCGGAUCAAGCAAAAAAAAGAUAGAGGAGACACCCUUUUUGAAGAGUUCACGAGAUUUAUCUUAACAUCUAGACGAAGAAAAAGAUCAAUCUCUUUGCCUAGAGUAUGAGGGCAAAGCCGUAUAUAUAUCCGCUUUAUGUAAAUAAAUUUGUUUUCUAGUAAAGUUUUUCUAAUAGAAUUGAAUCAGAAUCAACGUCUCUUUUUGCAUUCAUUCCAUUCAUCUGCAUUGCAUUUCAUUGCAUCUAGAAUUUCACAAAAGGACCCUAAUUAAUCGAAAUUGUUAUAGCUACCUUGAAAAACUAACGAAAAUUUACCAAUUAAAUAUUCCUAUGGUACCCAUUGCAAAACUAAAGUAAUGGAUCAAAUAUUAGAAAGAUUAGAACAAAUGCUGAAGGAUAAACAUAACUGCUUUGGCUUAGGGUACAAGCCAGAUACAAGACAAAGAAGAAAUAGGAAAGGAGAACACGUUUGAGCGGGGAUGAGGUCAAAUGGGAGGGAUUAUUCAUCCCAGGCGAAGAAUGCCAAGAGAAGAAAAUAUUGAAAACAUGUUGGGAAACGUUCACAUCAAUGCCAUAUACGAAGAAGCAAUUGAAGGAGUGACCUUGUUAGAUAUCCGCCCUUAUGAACCUAAGAGUGUGCUAAACAAUUGGACUGCAGAAGAAAUUCUUGUAGUGUUUAGAGCUUACUCAUAGUAAUGUUCAGAACACACUUGUUGCUUUUAGCCUAGAAGUGAUAAGAAUCCCUCUGUGAAAUAGGCUCAUGUAUAAAAAUCAUUAUUUUAAUGAAGUACAUCUUUGCAUUCAUUUUGAGCAAAUAUUCUUUUAUUCUUUUCAUACGAGUAAUUAUUUUGGAUUCUUUAAUUCUUUUGGGAUUUUCUUCCAAAAUCAUUCUUUUAUUACAUCCAUAAUCAUACUGUACAAAUAAUGUAAUAGCCUGAAUUUUCAGUGGUGUCGGAAUGGUGAUUCAAGAUCACUAAGUCUGACAAAUGAGUAGAAAAUAUUAUUAAUUUAGUAAGAAUAAGUAAAUGUGAAGUUAGGAAAAUUUUUGAAAUAGUGAAUAGUGUACUAGGAAUAAAUAUUAAAAUAAUUAAAAUAAAAAAUGAGGUAUCGAGACCUCGAAGAUUUUAAACCAAGCCAUAAGUACUUUUAGAAGUAUUUUUAGAGUGUCAUUGAGUUGGUAUUAAAGUUUCGUUAGAAAAUUUUAACGCUCGGAUAGUUAAUUAACCAAAAAGGACUAAAUUGAAAAUAGUGUAAAAUUUGUUAAAUUGUGAUUAAAUAGCUUAAGUGAUUAAAAAGGAGGGAUUUAAAAGGCAAUUAGGCCCAAAUUAUAUGGGCUGGACGGUUGGGUAAGAAAAAUCAGCAGAAUGUAAGGAGAAAACAGGGGCAAAAUUGGAAACUUAACAAAUUAAACAUAUAAAACAAAGACAAAAGUGAAAAAUCUAGAGAUCUGUUCACAAUUUAUCAGCAAAAAUGCCAUAGGAGGUCUGAAAGAAGCUGGUUUUUCAUAUAUUUGAAUCAUGUAAGUUUAAUUCUUGAUUAUUUCUUCUAAUUUUUGUGAUUUUGAUACUUUUACAAUUAGGUCCAACUAAUUAUUUCAUUAGUUUUUGAUUUCAUGGCUGAUUUUGAAAGUUACCAUUGAUGAGUGUUGGAUUUUUAUGAUGAAUAAACAUGGAAUUAAAGCUUUAAUUUUGUUAUAUGAUGAUUUUAUUAAGUAAUUUUGAUAGAAAUUGAUUUUUGGGACCUAAUUGUGAAAAAGUUUGGAAUUAGGGUUUGGUGUUGCGGUUUUGAAUAUGAAAGGCUAUGUAGUAGUCUAAAAUAGUUGGAAAAGGUGUUAAUUGAGAAAAAUUAGAUCAAUUGAGGGGUUAAUUGAGUAGGACCAAAUUGUAAAAACUGUAAAGUUUGAGGUAAAAGUGUAAUUUCGAAAAUUUAAGGGCAUAAAUUGUGAAGUGAAUUAGAAUAGAAUUAUAUGCUGAUGAAUGAAUAAAUUUGUAUUUUAGAUCGAGAACCCGAAGCAAGCCGAGGAAAAGAAAAAGUAGUUGAUUAGUCCCUGAACUUUUACAAAUUCUGCAAAUCGACCCAGGUAAGUUCAUAUGGCUGAAAUUUAAUGAUUAAAUGUUAAUUUCAUGAAUUAUGUAAUGUAUGAUGAAAUGUAUUUAGUGUUGAAAUGAGAGUAAAAUAAAAAUGCGAAAAUCGAAUAAAUGAUCAAAUUAAGCGGAACGCCGGAUUUGAGUACUUCUGAUCAAGAGACAAAGUGAUAAGUGGUAGCUUUAGCUACACUUAUCUGAUCAAGUGAAAAAGUGAUAAGUGCUACACUUAUCUGAUCAAGAGACAAAGUGAUAAGUGGUAGCUUUAGCUCACUUAUCUGAUCAAGUGAAAAAGUGAUAAGUGCUAUACUUAUCUGAUCAAGUGACAAAGUGAUAAGUGGUAGCUUAGCUACACUUAUCUGAUCAGGGCCAAAUGAUAAGUGAUCAUACGUAAGACCAUAGUUAUACUAUGGCCAAGUGAAAGUGAAGUACUCAAUUUUCCGUAACCGUUCCUUAAUUUUGAUCAAGGAUGGUAAGUGACAAAUAGGCCCAAAGAAAUUAUGGUAAAAGAAUAAGUAGUAGUGAGUUUAUACCAAGGAACUCUCCAAAGAUUGUGGUUGACAAGUAAACUUAGUAAUGGUGUAUAUUGUAUAAGUGUACAAAUGUUUGGUAAGAUUUAUGUUUGUGCCUAUGAACUUACUAAGCUUUUCUAUAAGCUUACAUGUGUGUGUUUAUUGUUUUUCUAGAUUAACGUAUUUAUACAUUCGGAGGAUCGGAUCUACUUCGAGAAUCACACUAUCCAGAUAUACUCCGGUAGAUUUUGUUAAACAACUUUUUGGAUUUAUAUGGCAUGUACAGAGAAUUGAAGUAAAAAGUAAUAGAAUGAAUGACUGAGUAUGCAAAGUAAAUUUGAAUGUGAUGGUUGUGUUAGAUAUUGAAAAAUACAUGUUUUUAGUUUGAAAUGGUUGAUUGGCUGAACUUCGUUAGUAUUCAAGUGAAGUAGUUGAAAUACUGGAAUUGGUUGUGAUUUGAAAUUUGCAGGGAAGGUUAGAUAAAUAUAAAGGGGUUAUAUUGAUUUUUUUUUUAAAUUUCAAUGGAAUAAUUUUUGGACAGCAGCAUUGAUGUAACUUUUAAAAAUCACCAAAAAUAGUGGAAAUAGAAUUAGAAGUUGAAUGAGAUAUGAAAUUAAAUCUGAAUGAGUCUAAUUUCACAUGAAAGAAGUAGAAUAAGAAAAAGAGUUAUAUAUUUUUAGAUAUUUGAAUUUUAGUGAAACAGGGCAAGAAUGUUUUUGAAGUCCCCUGUUCUGACUUUAGAAAUUUAGUAAAAAUUGUACAAAAGGAAUUAUGAAUUAUAAUUUAUAUGUUUAAAUUCCGUAAUGAGUAUAUUUUAAGUAGAAAUAAUUGGAACCACCAUAUGAAGUCUUUGCAAUGAGAUAAUUGAAUUUUAGUGACAAGAGGUCAGGAUAGUCAAUUAGUGAAAUAGGGGAGACUUCAACUAAUAAACUGUAUUAAUUUGCUAAACCAAAAAUUCUGAAAAAUUUAUGGUGAAUAUACAUAUGAGUCUAGUUUGAGGGAAAAUUUACGGAUCUAAAUUUUUAGUUUCGUAUCUUGAGUUAUAAUUAUUUUAGUGACUACUGCGCAUGUGGACAGCUUUGUUGUGAAUGGUGAAAUUAAUUUUUAAAGUAAAUUUUUAUGCCCCGAACUUUUAAGUUCAGUCAAGUAACGCCUUAUGCUCGACUCCGGCAACCGUCUUGGGUAAGGGGUGUUAUAAAUAAUUAUUCUUAAAUUCAUACAUUCUUUGUAUAUUAUUUUGUACCUACAAUAGGUCCCUAGAUAUUAACAACAUGAGUGACGUUGCUACAGACUCAGAAUUUCCUUUUAAACAAGACAUGUGUUUAGAGGGAUCCCAUGGCUUUGAAGAUGACGUAGACUGUGGCUUAUCUCUGAAUUUGUUAAGGAUGGUAAAACAAGAGGAGAAGCAAAUCCUACCUCACAAGGAAUCAAUGGAAAUUGUGAGCUUAGAAGGGGGAAAAGAGGUGAAGAUUGAGACUAACAUUGCCACAAAGACAAAGCAUGACCUCGUUGAGUUACUCCAAGAAUUUAAAGAUGUCUUCGCAUGGUCAUACCAGGAUACUCCCGGGUUAAGUACUGGCAUUGUAGUACACUACCUUCUUAUAAAAGAAGAUUGCAAGCCAGUUUAGCAGAAACUCUGAAGGAUGAGGCCUGAUAUUGUGCUAAAAAUAAAAGAAGAAGUUAAAAAGCAAUUUGAUGUUGGGUUCUUACAAGUGGUUAAAUAUUCAGAAUGAGUAGCCAACAUCGUCUCAGUCUCUAAAAAAGAUGGGAAAGUACGAAUGUGCAUAGAUUACAGAGACAUGAACAAGGCCAGCCAAAAAGAAAAUUUCCCAUUGCCUCACAUUGACACUUUGGUGGAUAAUACAGUAGGCUACUCACUGUUUUCCUUCAUGGACGACUUCUCUGGAUACAACCAGAUAAAGAUGCAUCCCAAAAACAUGGGAAAGACUACAUUCGUGACCCUAUGGGGAAUGUUUUGCUAUAAAAUGAUGUCAUUCGGAUUAAAGAAUGUGGGAGCGACGUAUCAAAGGGAAUGGUAACCUUGUUUCAUGACAUGAUGUACAAGUAAAUCGAGGUUUAUGUUGACGAUAUGAUUGCAAAAUCCAGAACAGAAGAGGAACAUGUGUAGGCCCUAAGAAAAUUAUUCUUAAGACUGAGAAAGUUCCAGCUCAAGCUUUCCAACGAAAUGCACAUUCAGAGCUAGGUUAGGAAAGCUGUUAGGCUUCACAGUUAGUGAAAAAGGAAUCGAGAUCAACCCAGAUAAAGUCAAUGCGAUACGAGAUUUACCUCUACCAUGCACUCAGAAGGAAGCUCGAGGUUUCCUAGGAAGACUGAAUUACAUUGCUCGAUACAUUUCACAACUAACCGAAAAAUGUGACACCAUAUUAAAAUAAAAAUAGAUUAAAUUGUAAGUAAAACAUAAUUUAAACAUAUGAAUACAUCAAAUUAAUAAUACUAAAUGAAUACAGUUAUUUAUGAUGAUGUUGUUGCCAAUUCCUAAUUUGGUGUCUAGUUAAUUUGUGACAUCAUAAAUUUAAGUGAUAAAUUUAAGGUUUUAUGUAUUGAUGUGGAUUCAAAUAUCACCAUAAUUUUUGUAAAUAAAAAACUAAUAAGAUAACUUAUAUUAAGUACGAAAGGGUAUUUUUAUAAUUUCUCUAAUCGAGUUGGUGCCCGGUUGACUCAUGACACUAACUCAAUCAGAAGCUUUAAUAAUAAUAUAGAUAUUCAUGUUAAAAAAACAAAAAAAAAGUACUUUAGUUCCAAAUAAUUAUAUAACAAGUAAAUUUAUAAUUGAUGAAUAAAUUUAUAAAUAAUAUAUUUAUAUGAUCUAAUAUAUUAUAUUUAUAUUAAUUAUAUAUCAUCUACAAACUUUGAAGAUCAAUUUAUUAAGUAAAAAUGAAAUUGUUAACACUAAAUCAAUUUUUAGAUUUUGUAUAGAUGAUUUAGUGAUGAUAAAAACAUUAUUAACACUAUUUUUUAAUUAACAAAAAAUUAGUGAUAUAUUUAAAUUAUAUUUAUCAUUUAUUAUUUUUAAUAAUAUUUUUUAAUUAUAUGAAGUAAAAUUAUAUUGUAUACUAAAUAUGGUACAUAUACUCUAAUUAUAACUUGAAAUUUUAUUAUAUAAAUUAAUAUAAAUUUGAAUAACAAAAUAAAAAAAAACUAAUUAGAAUAAUUUUAAAAAACAUUAUUUAAAAGUAGUUAAAAAUCACGUGCAACAGGUGAGAUCAAUGGUCUUUAGAGAAGAAAUGUUGAAGAUCAAAGUUGGAAUCUGGCCUAUAAGGCCUUUAAUUGCUUUAAUAUUAAGCAGUUCCAAACCAAGAAGAUUACCGAUUUCCUCAGGAAUUUGACCUGCACACAUGGUCGAAAAAUCAAUGUGUCAAACUACCUAUUUUGUUAGCAUAAGUCAAAGAGGUUUUCUUUUCUAUUCUACAUAAUUUGCAGAUGUUAGAUUUUAAUAUUUUUAAGCAUAUUUGUUUUCAUCAAAUUAACUAUUUUGAACUAUUUUGCCUUGAAUGAAAUAAAAUGCUCUUACUUUUGUUAUCUAUUACUAAUCAAACUCUUUUAUAAAAAAAAUACUUUAAACUAAAGAAACCAAGAAAAUUCAAUACCUUCUAGGUUAUUCAACCCCAAAUAUAAUUCUUUGAGUCGUGUCGGAUUUCCAAUACUUCUUGGAAUGAUCCCCAUCAAUUGAUUAUAGGAAAAUGACAAAAUUUUAAGGUUGUUGCAUUUGCUUAUACUUGACGGAAUGUUACCAUAUAAUUCAUUCCGACUCAAGUAAAGCCCUUCAAGCUUGGAAAGAUGUGACACAUAUCAUUAGGCAAGCUACCUGAUAGGCUAUUGUUGGAGAGAUCAAUGGCCUUCAGAGAAGAAAUGUUGAAGAUCGAAGUUGGAAUCUGACCUGUAAGGCCUUUAAUUGCUUUAAUAUUAAGCAGUUCCAAACCAAGAAGAUUACCGAUUUCCUCAAGAAUUUGACCUGCACACAUGGUCGAAAAAUCAAUGUGUCAAACUACCUAUUUUGUUAGCAUAAGUCAAAGAGGUUUUCUUUUCUGUUCUAUAGUAAUUUGGUGAUGUUAGAUUUUAAUAUAAUUCAGCACAUGUUUUUCAUCAAAUGAAAUAAAAAGUUUUUCCUUUUGUUAUCUAUUACAAAUCAAGCUCUUUUAUUAAAAAAAUACUUUAAAUUCAAGAAAUCAAGGAAAUUAAUUACCUUCUAAAUUAUUAAACCCCAAAUAUAAUUCCUGGAGUCGUGUUAGAUUUCCAAUACUUCUUGGAAUGAUCCCCAUAAAUUGAUUAUGGGGCAACAACAAAUUUUUAAGGAUGUUUCAUUUGCCUAUGCUUGACGGAAUGUUACCAGAUAACUCAUUGCUAUGCAAGUGAAGCCCUUCAAGCUCGGGAAGAUGUUGACACAUAUCAUUAGGCAAACUACCUAAUAGGCUAUUCCUGGAGAGAGCAAUAGUCUUGAGAGAAAAAUGUUGAAGAUCGAAGUCGGAAUCUGAUCUGUAAGGCCUUUAAUUGCUUGAAUAUUAAGCAUUUCCAAACUAAAAAGAUUACCGAUUUCUUCAGGAAUUUGACCUGCAGACAUAGUCGAAACAUCAAGGUGUUAAAUUUCCUAUUUUGUUAGUGUAAAUCAAAGAGGCUUUUUAUUUUUUUUCGUUAUGAAAUAAUAUGGAUAUGUUCGAUUCUAAUCAUAUUUAAGUAUAUAUUAGUUCUUGAAAGAAUGAGUUCUUAUUUUUGGUAUUUAUAUUGCAAAUAUAUAUUUUUUUAAAUUUAAAAGAAGGGAGGGGGCAAAUGUGUUUAAACUAAAGACAUCAAGGAAAAGGCAUACCAAGUAUAAUUGUUUAAGUUGUGUCAAAUUCCCAAUGCUUUUUGGAAUGAUCCCACUAAAUUGAUUAAUAGACAAUUCCAAAAUUUGAAGGUUGCAGCAUUUGUCUAUACUUGAUGGAAUAGAACUUGAUAAUUCAUUUCUACUCAAGUAAAGCUCUUUCAGCUUGGGAAGAUGGACACACAAAUCAUCGGGCAAGCCACCAGAAAGACUAUUAUCACAAAAAUGAAUCCUUUUCAAAGAAGAAAUGUUAAAGAUGGAAGAUGGAACCUGGCCAGAUAAUUGAUUGAAUCCCAAGUUCAAGAUCUCUAGAUUGGACAAGUUGACAAGUGUUUGAGGGAUCGUGCCUGUGAAGUUAUUAUUUCUCAUUUCCAACCUUUGAACUCUGUGCAAGUUCCCAAGCCAUGGUGGAAUUUCCCCAUUAAGACGGUUGUAGCUUAAUCGAAUGAUCCUCAAACGAUGCAAUUGGCCUAAUUCUUUAGCCAGAUGGCCGUAGAAAUUGUUGUUGCUCAAGUCGAUAGAAAAUAGAAAUGAAAGAUUUCCAAGGUGUGGAGGGAUAGUACCCCUAAGAUUCAUGUUUGUAAGAUUAAUCAAAGCUACAACUCUUUCAUGGAUGAUGCCACAAGAAACACCAACCCACUUACAGACAGAGGUAGAGUUCGUCCAAUUGUUUGCCAACACAUUUUGAGGAUCGACAAUGCGAUCUUUAAACUCAAAGAGUGCAAACUGAUCGGAGUUGAGAUUCCGGACUGUCAUAGCCAAGGAAACAAUAGAACAUUGUAUGAAUAAAAGUGAAAGAAGAUGAAAGCAAGUGUUGUAGUUCAUGAUGGCAAGACGAAAUAAGCCAGGAAAAGGGAAGUUGAAUUGAUGAAGAAAUAGCCAGCCAACAUGCUUAAAUAGGCUUCAACCCUUGCACACUUCUCAUACAUAAAGUUCGCUGCCAUUACAACAAGAAAACUCAUAUCUCCAUUCGUACCUAUCCAUACUUUAUUUGACUAACUUUUCCCUAACAAGUGUUCAGUAAGGAGAUAAAUCAGUUUGGAGCUAUUCACCGGCUUCUCCAAUCUUGGUUUCAAACUCCUAACCCAUCAAUUCACUUUAAUUGAAACGAUAUACACGAGUCUUUCGGCUUAUAUUUUUAAUUUAAUUUUUGUUACUUUUCAUAAUAUUUUUUGAGAAAUCCAAAUAUUCCAGUCUGAAAUUUCUUCAUUGCCACGUCUAUCUCCUGGGUAAGUCCGUGGUUAGGCAGCCCACUUUGGGAGCAGGAUUGUAAUUGUAAUUCUAUCCGACUCAUUUUACUAUUUAGAAAUAUAAAAGUAAUAUUAUAUUAUUUUUUAUAUUUUUAUAAAUUUAAUUUUAAUUAUAAUUUUUAAACAAUAAAACGAGUCAUUUGUAUUUGCCUAGUCUAAAUUGAAUCAGGAGUCAAAAAAAUUUUAAUCAUAAUUUACUAUUAUUUUAAUUAAUUAAAAUUUAACCUACUACAACUAGUAGUUGCAGAAAAAAUGUCAUUCCUUUAGAAAAACGAAAAUCCUUUAGAAAAAUGAGAACUUAUGAAGCAUUCAAUAAGAGUCAUUGGAAUAAAUGGUAACGAAAUCAUAAUUCAAUAUAAAGCUAAAAAAUGUACCAAUCUAUAUAAAUAAUGUAAGAUUUGUGAUACCUAAAUUAUUAUAUUUUCCAUAAAUAUAUGAAGAUAUUUUAUUAGGAAAUAAUUUUAUAUAUAAAAUUUUUUAUUUUCUUUUGAUAGAAAUUUAAUUAUGUUAUCUGUAGAAAAAAAUAUUUAUAGAAAUAUUAUUAGUAGAAAAUCAUAAAUUUGUGUGUGGCAAAAAAAAUUCACCACCAAGAAAGGGGCAAAUUAAACAACUUGAAACAAGUCAUUGGUUGUUUAAAAUAUUAGAUAAUAAUUUCAGUGAAGAAUCAUUAAAAUUAUGACAAAAUAACCCUAGAUAUUGUAGUAUUAAAUUGGAAAAUCUCAAUAAUAUUAUUAGAGUAAAACCUAUGAUCUAUCUAAACAAGAUAUAGAAGAUUUUGAUAUACAAAUUAAGGUUAGAAAUCAUGCGGAAAUAAAAAAGAAAAAAAAGCUAGUAUGGUCAUUAAUUAUAAAAGAUUAAAUCAAAAUAUUAUUUUUUUAUAGUUACUUGAAUUAAUCAGGCUAAACAAACAAAAUAUUUUAGUAAAUUUGACUGCAAAUCAGGAUUCUAGCAAAUCAUGAUAACAGAAAAGUCCAAACCUUUAACGGCUUUUAGUGCACCCAAUGGACAUUACCAAUGGAAAGUGAUGUCAUUUCAAUUAUGUGAUGCACCACAAAUCUUCCAAAGACGAAUGGAUUUUAUAUUUAAUAAAUAUAAAAAAAUUCUAUGUAGUCUACAUAGAUGAUAUUUUUUAUAUUUUUAGAUACACUAGAAUUACAUAAGAAACAUUUAAAUAUUAUUUCUUAAGAAUUCAUAAAAUAUAGAAUCAUAUUAAACCCUAAAAAUAUAGAGUUAGAAAAAAGAGAGAGAAUUUUUAUAAUAGUGGAAAUAAAAAAUUGUCCUCAAAAGAUUGAAGAAAAAAAGAACUUCCAACAAUUUCUAAUAUAUUCCUCCCAAAUUUUCAGUUUCAAUUUUAUUACAGAAUUUCUUUGCCGACAAUAAGAAAUUAAGAGCGCUCUUUAAGUUGAAUAUAGUCCGUCAGAUAUGGCUAUCUAUAACAUGGAACCUUUGGUUUUCAAGCUGAAUAGGAGAAUUGAUUCACUUGAUAAGUAUGAAAAAUUGAAACUGCUAAAUUUAAGUGCACUAACUCUGGAUAUCAUCAUUAUUUUUCUGUACAUUAAAGUACCUGUUUGAUAUGCGAUUUCUGCCUCAAACUAUCAACAUCUUUAACAUCCUUUUGCUAUAGUUAGCAUGGGUACUUCCUUUUAGAUUAACAGUUAGGUUUGAACUGUGAAUUAGAUUUCUGUGGCUGCUGGGAUUGAAGAAGUUAGUAUGCGAAUGACAUUGGACAAAUUUGGCAAAGUCUUCUCCAUCAGUGAAGAAAACCCCUUGGCGUAUGAAAAAUGUUCACCAUCUUAGACAUUUGUUUUCUUAUUGUAAGAAUAUUUUUAACAUUGUAACUUUUAACAUUAUUGUAAGAAUAUUUUGAAUUAUACUUCAGUUAUCAAUUUAUAUCAUAUAUCUUUUGUUGAAUUUGAAGUAUAAUUUAUAUUUGCUGUUUUUGGUUAGAUUUCAUGCUAUAGGAAGGGUUGUAUAUGGAUAGAAAUUGAAUGUUACAAAUCUGCCAAAGUUAGUGGCGUUUUUUCAUAAGAGCUGCUAAAGAAUGCUAUUUUUGGCGGUGUUUGUAAUAAAAGAGCCGCUAAAGGUCAUGUUCUUUAGCGAUGUUUGUGGGUAAAGCGCCGCUAAAGAUCAUGUUCUGUAGCUGUGUUUGUGGAUAAAGCGCCGCUAAAGAACAUGACCUUUAGCAGCGUAUUUUCACAUAAACGCCGCAAAAUUUAGCGGCUUUGUCUAUAGCGACUUUUUUUGCAGCGCUUUAAGUUUUAGCGGCGCUUUUAGGCCUAAAAAAGGGCCGCUAAAAGCCUGUUUUGCUGUAGUGAGCAUAUUUACAUUUUCGUCCCAAUUUCAACUAACACCCCAUCUAUUUCCCACUUCCCUUUUUCGGGCAAUUUCAACUAACACCUUCAUAUCAAACAUAACUAUUUUUCAAUUUUUCUUCUUUAUUUCAUUAAUAAAAUUAUCAAUCUAUUUGUUUUUAAAUAUAUAAUUUCAUUAAUAUUUUUUAAAUUAUAAUAUAAGAGUUGUUGUUUAUUUAUAGUUUUAUUACAUUAUUUACUCUCUCUUUUCUAUCAAGUUUUUUAAAUUAUAAUAUAAGAUUUAUUUUAUCAAUUUGUGGCUUAUCCAGUAUUCAUCUAUUUUAAUAAUAACUUGAGUUCCAGUCAUUAUCAUACCAGAAAGAGUUCCAUUUAUUCUUUAUCGUAAAUUUUAUAAAAAAAUAUACAUUUUAUUAUAAUACUAUAUGUGUUACGAAUAAUAUUUUAUUGUGGAUGCCCAUAAUUUUCAAAGUUGUAACCUCUAAUGUAGUAACCUUAAUGAAAUUAUGAGGCUUUUAUAUUGUAAUCAAGCCUCUAUUUAUUCUUUGUAACUUAAACAGAAGCAUAUUUUCUAUUAUAUUGAUAUUUUUUAUAGAUAUAUAUAUAUAUAUAAGGAAUCAAAUAAAAAGUUAUUUACCUUUCUAUUAUAUUGAUAUUUUCUAUUUGAUUUGUUCUUUUCUUUCACUAUUCCAUAAUAUAUUAUCAGUACGAUUUUAACCAAGAGUAACAUGUUAUUAGAUUGUGUCAAAAUUUUGUUGAGAAUCAUUAGAUUGUUUCCUUUUUCUUCUAUUUAGCCCCAAAUUGCACCCCUACACAAAAUUCAACAAAAACAUGGAAAAAUUAGUGGUGCACUCUCAUAAAUUAACCAAUUUAAUUACAUAAAAUAUGUAACUUUAGCAUUUUAUCAAUCAUGUUCUUUAGCGGCAUUUGUGGGUAAAGCGCCGCUAAAGGUCAUAUUCUUUAGCAGCGUUUGUGAUAAAAGUGCCACUAAAUAUCAUGUUCUUUAGCGGCGUUUGUGGAUAAAGCGCCGCUAAAGAACAUGACGUUUAGCAGCAUUUUUUUACAUAAACGUUGUAAAAUUUAGCGGCGUUGUCUAUAGCGACGUUUUUUGCGGUGCUUUCAAAUAGUUUUAGCGGCGCUUGUAGGCCUAAAAAAAUGCCGCUAAAAGUCUGUUUUGCUGUAUGAGCAUAUUUACAUUUUCGUCCCAAUUUCAACUAACACCCCAUCUAUUUCCCACUUCCCUUUUUCAGCCAAUUUCAACUAACACCUUCAUUUCAAACGUAAUUGUUUUUCGAUUUUUCCUCUUUAUUUCAUUAAUAAAAUUAUCAAUCUAUUUGUAUUUUAAAUAUAUAAUUUUAUUAAUAUUUUUUAAUUAUAAUAUAAGAGUUUUUGUUUAUUUAUAGUUUUAUUAUAUUAUUUACUCUCUUUUUUCUAUCAAGCUUUUUAAAUUAUAAUAUAAGAUUUAUUUUAUCAAAUGGUGGCUUAUCGAGUAUUCAUCUAUUUUAAUAAUAACUUGAGUUCCAAUCAUUAUCAUACCAGAAAGAGUUCCAUUUAUUCUUUAUCGUAAAUUUUAUAAAAAAAUAUAUAUUUUAUUAUAAUACUAUAUGUGUUAGGAAUAAUAUUUUAUUGUGGAUGCCCAUAAUUUUCAAAGUUGUAACCUCUAAUGUAGUAACCUCAAUGAAAUUAUGAGGCUUUUAUAUUGUAAUCAAGCCUCUAUUUAUUCUUUGUAACUUAAACAGAAGCAUAUUUUCUAUUAUAUUGAUAUUUUUUUAUAGAGAUAUAUACAUAAGGAAUCAAAUAAAAAGUUAUUUACCUUUCUAUUAUAUUGAUAUUUUCUAUUUGAUUUGUUCUUUUCUUUCACUAUUCCAUAAUAUAUUAUCAGUACGAUUUUAAUCAAGAGUAACAUUGUAUUAGAUUGUGUCAAAAUUUUGUUGGACUUCAAGUAUUGGAAUUUAAUUGUUUAAGUUAAGAAUCAUUAGAAUCAAUGGCUAUUUGAGAUAUGCUUGAGGAUGAUCUCAUUCUAUUCAUCACAAAGGUGGAGGUUAGAAAAUCUUUAUGUUUAAACAUUUAUAGCUUUAAAGUUAUUUUAACCUCUUAUUGUGACCUUAUAAUAUUUUGUAAUUUUUUGUAUUAUGGUAUAUAAAAAAAAUCUAACCAUAGUGAUUGAUUAGUAAUAUGAAUUUGUUAUUUGUUAUGUUUAAUAUAUAUUUUAUUUAUACUUAUUCAUUUUAUUUUUAUAUGAGUAAAUGAAGUGUUUGAAGAUUCGAAAUUUUUAUCAUCCAAGUUGAAAAUAAGUGCAAAAGUGUACAUUAUUUAAAAUAAAUUACGCAUUCAUUAAUGUUAUAUGAUAAAAUCAUUACAUGUUCUAAAGAACUAAUAUUGCAUCAAACUGUAAAAAGCUCUUGAAGAGUUAAUAUUUUACCUCCUUGUGAUACAAAAUCAUAUACAAUAUGAUAUUAUUUUUCAAAUCGAGUAGAUAUAUGUUGAGGGAAAUCUUUAUGUGGUUUACAUUAAAACCAUGGAUAGAAAUGACAUGAGAUACUCGUGUAUUUUUAUUAUAAAUAUUCCUUGAAGGAAGACACUUCACUUGUAUGAUUGACAUAUGAGAUAGUGGCAAGAAGUUCAUAGUGUUGGUAUGGUCGUCUAGAUCAUCUCAAAUCAAUAAUGAUGCAAAAUAAUUUGAAGAGAAUUUAUAUGAUUUUAUUGAAGAAUGAGAAGAUAUUUUCAUUUUGAUAAUUGUCAUCAAUACUAGUUCUUUGGAAAAAAAAUAUUGAACUAACAUAAAGUUAGAGGUUGGUUGCAUUUUUUGAUGAUAUCCAAAUAAUAUAUGAGCUCAUGUAUCACAUGUAUGCAACCCAAAGUUUACAGUAUUAUUUCUUGAAAUAAUUUGAUUCUACACAAUCUCUAUAGUAUGCAAUUUGUGCUAACAACGUUGGUGCAUUAUAUCCUAAGCUUGAUUUUCGUAGUUUUAGCUGAGAUAAUAUUAAGUUGUCUAUGCCUAUAUAUGUUAUACUUAAUGGUUAGCAAAAUUGUGCCUCCAUUUAAUUGCUUAACCAUUAAUAUAAGAAUAACUUUAAAAUAAGCAUGUAAUUUUAUUUGCAUAGAGUCAACAUGUAAGAAACAUUUGCCCCAUGAGAAUUGGCUUUCAUUUAUAAGCCAAUAGGUUUCAUAUGACUAUUUGGAUGUAAAAUAUCUAUUUUAUAUUCCACCAUAAUGCACUAAGAUGGUCCAUCAAGUAUGAAGUUGAGAAAAUUUAGAAUUUUUAUUUGAUGGUAAAAGUUGAAAAGAGAUAUAUACUUAUAAUUUUGAAAAAAAUAGUCAUGUUGCAAAUUUUUCUCAAUAUUAGGGGGAGACAAGUUGGACAAAUAAGGAUAAUUAUGUCAUCACUUUUUGUGAUCCCUCACUAAUAUUAUGUGCACAAAGUUUGAAGGAAAAAAGUAUUUGCUAGACAUGUUUAGUGAUGACACUUAGAGAUUGUAUAUACUAGAUGAUACAUAUACCAGCUAAAAUGUUCCAAAUAAUUAUGAGUCCUAGAAGGACAUAGUGAUAAAAAUAAUUUUUGGGCACGCUAGAAGGAUAAAAAACUAGUUCAUUCUAUAAAUCAAAAAAUUCUUGAAAGAAAAGAGUAAGAAAUGAAGCUGGCCACACAUUAAAGGAAACGAGUACUCAUGAAGAGACCUAAGGCAUAACUUUUAAUAAAACCCCAAAAGAGGUUCAAUACAUGGAAUUAUGAAUAUAAUAAGAUAUCUCGAUUAGUUAUAUCAUAACUAAAGAUGAUGGGGUUGAUAAAAGGAAAUUGUUGUUAACAACGAUAAUCUAAGUAGAACAUUUCAAUAUUAUGGUAAAAUGAGUAUUUUGAAUGAAAAUAUACUUGAAAGUAUUUAGAUGGGAACAACUCAUCAAAAUAAAUAGACGUUUCUAUUAUAACUUAUGAAAUGUGUCUCGGACAUGAAGUCCAAACAUUCGACAGGUGUAAAGCCAAGUGGAGUAUAUGUUAGCAUAAUAGUGAAAAAAUACAAAUCAUAAUAUAUAAAAUUGACUUGUAAGACAAACUUUCCCAAGACACUUGAUUUUGAUUAUGAAAAAUGAUUAAUUUGUGAUCUUAUCAAUUGAACAUACUUUGUAUAAUCAACAAAUUAUUAAUUAACCUCAUUUAACCAAUUUCCUUCAACACAUUUCAAAUCAAAUUAAUGUGUUGAGCACGCCCUUAACCCUUUUUCUUGAUUCAUUGCAUAGUCUAUUUCCAAGUACCAUAAUCAUCAACAUUUCAAUAUAUAAAGUCAUAACAUAAUGAAUCAUAGUUAGAAUUUUUUUUACCCUAUUAACCAAGUAUGGAACAAAAAUAAAAACCUAAUUUGUCAAGCUCAUUCAAUCAGCUUAUAUAUUAUAAGAAGAGCCUAAGUAUAAAUCCUAUACAUGAUUUCAAAUUCAACUAUUUAUAUUUGAGAUUCAAUUUAAAAUUCAUACUGAAAUUAUCAAAUUAACUCGUAAGCUACUCACGCUAAACAUUAAGGUACUCGAAUUCAAGUGGCUAGAUAUCAUAAACACUUUUAGCUUGUAAAACUAUUUCUAAGGGUCAGCCCAGAAUCAUGGUUGAACCCAAAAUCUGGUAACAAAAAUUUAAUUGAGCCAUCAGCCUAAAACAAAAAAGGCUUAAAAGGUUGGCACCCGAACAAUCAAAGAUAAACACCACCAUAUGCCACUCCCUGAAUCCGAUACAUACAAUAACACCCUUCACCACUUUUAUUCUUCUCCUUUUUUUUAACCUCAAUUUGGAUGGUCGCAUUUCUCUUUUUAGUGCUUUAUAGGGUUUGGGCUUUCAGAAUCCUCAGAGAUGCAAUUCAUGGAUCCCUCUAAGAAAUGCAAGCUUGAUGAAAAUGGUAUUAUUUCAACGGCAUCAGAACCUGACCCAAUCACCAAACUAACCCCACAAGAUGGCCGCAAGCUAAUCGAGCAAUUUAUCGUCGAUCAACUCCUUGACGUCCUCCAAGAUGCUGUUUGUUGUCACCUUGAUGUUCUUUCCGCCGUACACUCUAUUGCCGAUCAAGAUCCAUCUCAAAGGAAGCUUUUCAUCCGUGGUUGGGUUGGGAUACUACAACCCAACCCAACCCACAUUAGCAUACUACCAUGCGGUAACUUCUAGUGAUUUCUGUCUGUAACAUUAGACAGGUUAACAGUUAAAUCGUUCAACUGAAAGAUUUCUUUGAAGGAAGAGGUCAAUUGAUUUUUUUUGGAAUCAUUGUGUACUCAGUUGCAUUUAAGACGGGUAUCAUUCAUAAAGUAUAUAUCUACAUCAAGAAUGGUAGCCUCUUAUAUUAUAUUCAUGUAUUUAUUUUGCAUCUUUAAUUAUAAUAGGAUUUUUUUUGUUUAUUUAUAGUUUUAAUUAUAAUAUUUUUUAAAUAUGCCAAAGUAAAUUAUGUACCAAUUUUAAACUUCUCCUAGGUAAUUUAACGUAAGGGCAUUUAUGUUAUUUUACCACUUAUGAUAAAACUAACCUAAUUUUAGAUCUAAGUGUUUACCAACCUUCUUUUAGUCAAAUUAUGCAAGCCUAAAAUUUUUAGCUUAAUUUGAGUUUGUUUACUAUGUCUAAUUCAAGUUUUAUUAUUAAGAACUAAAUUGUAACUUAAACAAAUUAGAAUACCAAUUUAAAGAGACAAAAAUUCAAAGCCCCAAAACCCACACGGGCAUGUGGGUAAGUGACACAGGCGUGUGGAAACUGGAGCUAUCACACACGGGUGAGUGGGACUGAAAAAUAUGAAAUAAAUUAAUCCAUUUAAAUUUCCAACAACCAUGCUAUACUACCAAACCAAAUAAUGUUAGAAGCUUUGAAUAGGGGCGAAUCUUAAAAAAAAUAGAAGAAUUAGAAUUAAAUUAUAAAAUUUUGAGAAGUUGUCAUGUAUUAAUUUAUUAUUUUUUAAAGGGUCUUAAUAGAUUUUUUUUCCCCAUUUUGGUUUGGCCAAUACCCCUGUCUGCCUCUUUCAAUUUGCUUCAACCCUUAGCCCAAUAUUCGAUUUGUUGUGGAAGUUUGACGCAUAAAAAUUCCUUUUUUAGAGGUUUAAAUUAUAAAUUUUUAUUAACAAAAUAUAAAAGAAAAAAACAUGUGUAGACAAGCCAAGAAACCUUUGGGAUCAUACAGGUGAUUUUGAGAUGUUCAUGGUUAUUUUGGUGGAGAGGGUAAAAAAGAAACAAAUGAUUCAUUAUAUAUGAUAUAAUUAUGAAAUUCAAGCCAUAUAUUGUAUGUUUCAUCCAUACAAAUUUCUUGUAGCAUUAAAUGACUCGUAGGCUUGCUGAAUUUCUUUGAAAGGCCCAAAGGCAAUUUAACAUUCACAAAAUAAUCUCUAAAUAGUGUAAAGACAAAUCAAAUCCACAGUAGCAUUAGAGUUGAUUAAGCUAAGCAUUGGCAAAUAUUACUUUGAUUUUGCAUGCAAUAUUGGCAAAACCCCCUCUUACAUUAGAAAAACAACAUAAUCCAUGAAACAUUGAUAGCCCAAUACAAAUUUCAUCGAGAAAAAAGUCUCUUUGUUUUGUAGAACAUGAUAGUAAAGAUGUGGAGUUUCGUUCUUCUUAUUGGCCUCCUUUAGUUUUCCUUGAUCAACAACCACUAGCCAAAAACACAAUUAGAUUAGAUUAUGAAUGAUACUUUCAACUAUGACAAUAUUAAAUACAAACCACUCUAAAUAACUCUAAAUAAAUGGAAAGCAGCAAAUUACCAGACGAGGCAAGCUAGCUCAAUUAAGACCAUUGUGUUAUACUUGUCUCUGAAUUGAAAAAUUUAGAAGGAAAUAAAGAGAAAGACUUAGAAAAUACUUGAAAACAGAAAAAAAAAUUAUGUCAUUUAAAAUAAAAAAUUUCUAUUCAAGCCAUUUAAAAUUUGUAAGAUUUUUAAAAUUUUAAAAUGAUAAAGGUAAAAUUGUACUUUGGCACCCCAAAAAUGAUAAAACUUUGAUUUAAUUAUUUAAAAAUUAUAAAAAUAUAGGCUAUUAAAAUGGUGAAAUUAUAUUUUUACUAUAGUAAAAAUUACAAUUUAAUUUCACCCCUAAAAGGAUUUUCUGGCUUCGCACCUAAUAAAAUCUUUGGCAAAAGACUAAAAUAAAAUUAUACCAUGAAUGGAAAAAGAAACUAAUAAAAUCCAAUCUAACAAAGAAAAUAACUUGAUGUCCAAAAGCUACCAUAAACCGUAAUUCAUGGGAAGGCUUGUUGCUUAUUUUAUUGGUUUCCAUUUUGAAAGAAGUUUGAAUUUUGAAGAGAGCCUACUACGUGAAAGCAAAAGAAAAAAAAAUAGUUUAUAUGAUUAAAAUUCCAGAAUAGAUUAAAAAUGUUGAAUUAAAGAUAAAAUUAAGUGUGAAUUAAUAACCACAAGUGUACUCUUUACUCACCAUCUCUGUUAAAAAUGUUGGAUGUUGUUUAGCAACCUUUGUUUGAUUUUCUUCAGCUCAACCACAACAUCUUUCAUAUCUUUUCUUUCUUCUGGUAACUCAGCUGAACAAUUCAAAGCCAACUCCAUGAUAGAUGAAAUACAAUUUGCUUUAACAACAAUGUACUCAUCCUCUCUUCUUAAUAAAUCAACAUCUGCAAUUUCUAUCGCUCCUUUAGGCAAUGAUCUUUCCAUCCAAUGCCUUAUACUCUCUUCUUCAACAAAAACCUUAUCAGUUGGCUUUUUCUUUGUGAAAGUUUCUAUAAGGACGAUCCCAUAACUAUAGACGUCAGAUUUUAUAGAAACAAUUCCUGCUGAUCCAAAUUCUGCAUUUCAAGUAUAAUUAGAACAUCAUUCAUCCUCAAUUAUUUCUAAAACGCUUAUUCAAAUAUCUAUCCACAUACACGUGAAACAAGAAUAUAAAAUACAAAUUAGGAAAAUAAUCAUACAAAAAUAAAAAAAAGAAUUCACCUGGUGCCAUAUACCCAAUAGUUGCAAGAGUCAUGGUUUGCUUCAUUACUUCACCUUCUCCCAACAAUUUGGCAACGCCAAAAUCUCCAACAUGUGCAACCAUGUCUUCAUCUAGUAAAAUAUUGCUUGGUUUUAUGUCACAAUGAAUUAUAGGUGUUGGAUGUCCAUUGUGGAGGUGUUCUAUAGCUACCGCAACAUCUAUCAUUAUGUCGACCCUUUGUAUGAUACCAAGGAAACAAUUUUCAGAAUGUAACCAUUUCUCAAGGUUUCCAUUAGACAUGUAAUCAAGCACCAAGGCUUUGAAGUCAACACUUGAGCAGUAAGUAAUGACCUUCACAAUAUUACGAUGAACUAUAUUAAGCAUAGCAUCACAUUCAAUGUCAAAACUCCUAAAUGCUCCCUCUGUUUGCAAAUUGAAAACUUUUAUUGCAACUUCCAUUCCAUCUGAAAGCCUCCCUUUAUAUACAUAUCCAAAACUCCCUGAACCAAGCGUAUUGCUUUCCUCAAAUCCAUUAGUUGCUCGUGAAAGUUCAGCAUGUGAAAUUCUUCUCAGUGUCUUCAAAGACAACAAAUCAUCUUUAACUGGUAGAGCUGUACUCCUUUGGCAUCUUCUAUACAUAAUAGUUAAGACUAUUAGUACUAGGACAAUACCAAUUGUUGGUAAACCAUACCUAAAAGCAUGCAAUAUAAUCAUUUGGGAGUUUUUGUGGAUGUCAUUUUUGCAAGGUGGGACUAGCAAUCUAGGUGGACCACAAAGUGCACAAUUAUUCAUGAAUGAUGUGCUAGAAAAGUUUGAAAAACAUCCUUUGCUGGGAAUUUCCCCUUCAAGUCUAUUGAAAGACACAUUAAAAUACUUUAGAUAUAAAAGCUUUUCCAAAGAUUUGGGAAUGACUCCAGAGAGAUUGUUAUUGCAUAAAUCCAAGAAUUCCAAACUAAUCAACCCAUCAAAUGAUUCAGGGAUAUGACCAUGUAGUAUAUUAUUUGAUAAAUCUAAUGAAACCAAAGUUUGAAGACCCCCAAAUGUGGAUAAGAUAUCGCCCAUGAGAAGAUUCCUUGAUAAAUUUAGUCUCAGUAGACUCCUAAAGUUUCCAACAUCAAUAGCAUGCGAAUUGUGAAGAUGGUUUGAUGAUAAAUCUAUUUCUAAGAUAUCUUUAAGAUUCCAUAAAGUUGAGGGUAUUGCGGAACUCAAUUUGUUGGAAUCUAACCAAAGAUAUCUCAAAGCAGAAAUAUUACCUAAACAAGAGGGUAUGGAUCCAUGCAGCUUAUUCAACCCUAAAUAC
rnacentral:lncRNA from 1 species